CUCCAGAACCGGAGGGCACGUGAGGACGGCAGCAGGUAAGUGUGUGUGUGUGUGUCUGUGUGUCUGUGUGACGCGUAAUCGCCGGCUAUGCACUCUCGAACGCCCACAGUGGAGUGUCCAGAUUAAAAAGGGAAACAGUUUGUAGAAGUGCAGGACCGCGGGACACAGGUGUGGGCCUUUGGGGAAACAGUUUAGAGACAGUUGAAUUGAGCUUGGCUGCGCGAGGAACGAGAGCGCUCCGUGCGCGCUCCCGGCACUCUCAGGCCGAGAGAGAGAGAGAGAGGUACCCGCGCGCCAGUCAGGGGUGACGGAGGGUGGUUUAAAGUCGCUCCCUCACAAUAUAGAAAGCUCAUGUUAACUCCAAGGUGAUUCUGAGUCAAAAUAAAUAAAAUAUAUAUUAUUUUCAAGAGACACACACACCACUUUAAAGAUACCAUUGAACAUUGUUUUCCACUUCCACAUCUGUCCUGCUUACAUGCUACAGCUUUAAAUAAGCGAACGGUUUUAUUGGUUAUACAUUAGUAAGUUCUAUACAGAAGAUUUAUAAGCUUGUUUUGCAAAUCCCCAGGGUUGUGUUAAAAAGGGCCUUCAGGCUUUUCAUCCUUCUUCUGCUAAACACUCUGUCUCAUUGGCUCAUUACCUCCUAACAGUAGACUCCCUAAAUGUACUUUGACCCCUGACCUCCUUGAAAUAGACAUUUACUGAUUUAUCAACAUGAACGAAAUCAGACUUCAUAGUAGAACAUCCUUAUUAUGGUCCACAUGGAGCCUUGCAAGCUAGUUUUUUUUGUUUUUUUUUCUCAGGAAUUGUUGACUCUGCUUAAAAUGUCCUGCCUUCCACUCAGUGGGACUGAUUUCCCAAGGGCUACUGCCCCAUUUAAUGCAUAUUUAAUGCGUUUUUAUGUUCACACCAAUAUGACCAGUCUAUUAUAUUAUACGGCAUAGGCACAGCAUGUUGCUAGCUUUGGCAGUAAACAAUAUUUAGUAGCUGUGGACUUCUAGGAGCAUUGCACAUGAGAGCAAUAUUUACUAAUCAAGAUGACUUGGCUUACUCUAAAGCCAUCCAGUCACAUUAUUCUGUAACAAUGUGAUGGCUACAUGUUCUGCUGUUUAUCAAAGAGAACGUUUUCUGUCUUGCAGCAUCCAUAACUUGCAAGCCAUGCAGCCAGUGAUGUGUUUAAUGCGAUAAGGUUUAAAUGUUUGUUAAAUAACAUGAAAGAAACAAAAAAAAUCAGGUAGGAAUAAGAAAAAAUAAAUUGCUGGCCUCGCUUGUUAUGUUUUACUUUUAGGGUGAAGUGGAACAUUUAAAAGCACAAGGGAUCUUCCCAAAUGAAAAUUAUUUUUAAUACUAGGUGCUCCUGUCAGUAGCCUACCCAGGAAAUGACAGAUUGUCUCCUAGCAACUCUGGUCCUAAGAUUACUAUCAUUUUCUACCAUGAAGUCUACCAUAAAGGGGACUGAACAGAGGUCUGCAACCUAUUUUACUACAUUGUACACCUCAUUAUUGCAGACCAUAAGAGAACAGACCAUUUUCAUGAUGCAUUGCAGCACAGUGAGGGUGCUGCAGUACAACAUUCUCACUUUUGAAAUACAAUGUGAAAGGGGCUUUGGAGUAGGGAUACCAUGAAUAACCAGUGCAAUAGAGCUUUAUAAGCAGAAGUAUAGCACAGCGAAGACAGCCCUCAAUUUUGUAACGUCAGGUUUAAUGUUUGUACAUAGAGGGCAGAGUUUUUCAGAGUCGGCCAGUAAAGCUGAUUCUAAUUCUGAUACAGUAUGACUCAGUGCCAAAACACGCCAGCAUUCCGAAUGUUGUGUAGCUGCUUUGCCCUUUAAAGAGGACAUGACCAUGCUAUUUCAGUCACACCUAAACCCCCAGAUGGUCUAGAGUUUGAUGGCACACUAGUCAGAGUUAAGAAAGGUGUUUUUCUUGUCAUCACAGUAGAUGUUUCUAACCCAACGAAUCAUGACGUUGUUGUGCCAGGCAAAAUUGAAAUUGGGACAAUACAAACUAUAUCCAGUGUGUUGCCUGCUCAGAUUUUUGACAAAACAGAGGGGUCUAUUUUGGUGCCUCGCCGGAGACGUGCCGCAAGCGCAGCGUCAGUCAGAUCCGCCGCGCUGACAAGGCGUUCCCAAGCACAUUUUGGUAUUUUGGUGAGCCGCGCAGCCCGGCGUAAGUAUCCCCCCUCCCUAACUCAGCUCCUCCCAGCACCAUAAGUCGUAGACGGGGAGGAGAAAGGGCGUGUAGUUGGUUUAACACAGCCGAGACCUGUUUUCACCAAUCACAUAGGCUCCUCUCCUUGCCUUUAAAUCCGCCACAGGCGAGGCGUAUUACUAUUUUCAUGGAGAAGUCAAAGAGAUCAAGAGAUGUCUGAAGACAGUUAUGCCACAAGAUGGCGACAGAGGGCAGCUCCUCAACAAGUGUCCUCCACACUCUCUCAUCUGAGCACAGAUGGAUUGGGUGUGUGUAAUGUUGGACCCACUGGUAAGACAAACAUCCUUUUCCACAAAUAAAGACACUCACAUAAAGUUGCUCAUAUUCAAACCUCACGUGACAAAGGUGGGUUUAGCGCACAGAUCACAACAUAAACUCCAAAAAUGGCAUUAAAAUCAGAACCAUCUGUGCGUAAAUGACGCAUCGCGCUCCGUGGCCUGGCUCUUUCUUUCAUAGAUGUUGGCAUAUAAAAUAAAUUUGGCUCACAAAACUGAAUAUUAUAAUAUCCGUAUGUCGGCUUAAAGUAGAUAACGCAUCUGAGCACUGAAACAAAUCAUCUGUUCAGCUGCAGCAGCAGCAAGACGGACAGAGGACACGGAGACGUGCCCAGGUCGAGCUGUGCGAGAAAUAAGAGGAAGAGGAAGAAAGAAAAGGAGGGAGACGAAUUACAUAUCUUGUUAACUUCAUCAUGUGUGUAUAUUUACUAGAUAUUUAAUUUAAUUUGAUGCGGUUUCAGCUGUGUUGAUUCGGUCAGGUUGUGUGUCCAAACGCGUGCCAAACGCGCUCAUCAGAUCAGAUAUAGAUCAGAAUAUAUCGAUAUAGAUCUAAAUGUAUGUGCUGACUCAGAUUAAUAGUUGAUGAUGAUUAUUUAUUGCACUGAAAUGUGCCUGACACUGUGGAAACCUGCCGGUGAGGCAUCAGUGACGUAUGCCGAUACGCCGCCGGUCUACCAAAAUACUACUGGACCAGCUGCGUUCCGCCUUGUGCUGAAAGCUGACCAGGUUUGAAUCGGCGAGCUUUCAGCGCACGUUACACGCCGUUGGCGAGCACGAAAAUGUCACUGCGCCAGCUGAUUCUGUCGACACCUCCCCCUGCCACGCCACCACGCCCAGCUUGGCGGAUCUCGGCUCGCCUCCAUGCGGCUCAUGCCACGAAAAUACCAAACUGGCCUUACGCUGGGCUCCGCCAGACGAAAAUACAACUGCGCGGGGCUCGCCGCCCUCUGCCGCCUCACCGGCGCGCACGAAAAUAGAGCCCAGAUUCUGAAAACCUCCUGGGAAAAAAAAGAAAAACUCAAUAAUUCAGAGUGACCUCGUUAUGGUUCAUAUAAAAUUUUCAUAAAGAUUUUUUAUCUGCUUUAUUGGCUAUUCAUACGAAAUUAAAAAUGUGCACUUAUUAUUUUUCCCUAAGUACUCCACUUAAAAGAAAGACCAGCUUUUCAUAUGAAUUGUGCCCAUGAAUAAACUGAAUCAAAGAUUGAGUAGAUGAUGUGGAUGAUGAUGUACCUUACCACUGUUUAAUUUUUAAAUAUUCUGUGGUAGUAGUUAACAGUUGUGCACAUAUUGGUACUAAAAUUGCACUCUACCACAUCCCUCAUGUUGUGUUCACAGUAAGCACAAUUAAAACCAUCUACUUAUUUAUUUGAUGCAUGUAUUUUGAUGCAUACAUUGUUGUGUAUUUACUUGCCUAAUUUGUGUGUUUGUUUUGCAUCUGCAGAGAGCCUAAACACGCAAUAGAGGAGACGGAUAGCGGAGGAGCUUCUACAUGUAAGGUCAGUCUGUUAACAUCAAACAUAAAGGUUGAUAAUCAGACCUCCUCACUCGCUUUCCUCUAGCUGAGCUCUUUUUUUAACUCUUGUCUCAGUGUCACAGAUAAGCUCUAUUCUGCAGCUCAGGUGGUCGCAUGCUGUCCCAGUCAGUUAAUCCUCCAUUUUCUCUGUCUGCAAACAACACUUCACAACAGGAGAUCUGCAAUUAUAGGCUGUACUGGCCGACUGUAGUCACACCAGUGUAAAUUAUCACAACUUUUGUCAACUCUUCCCGGUUUCUGUCUGUGAACAAGUCCUCCAAUGCCUGUUCUGUUUGUAUUUUAGGUAUGUAGUGCAGAGUUAUACCUGUACUUUCAGUAUAGCUAGUCUUCCUUUCUGAACAUGAUCACAUGAGUAUCAAGUUCAGAUACUAAAAUGUGAAAAAUCACAUCUUUGGAAGUAAAAGAAUCAAGUAAGUAGGCAGAAAAAAAUAGAUUCCCACACUAAAAUCCUGUGCAUUGUCUGUGUAAUUGGGCGUGUACUUACUGCAGCAAGGCUGGGAGAUUCAUCAAUGGAGGCUGGCAGAGGCAAUAACCUCACUCAAUAAUAAUACACAUCAAUUCAAUAUGGGUCCAAAAGUUGACAAGCAACAAAUCAGAGAAAUUGUGUUUCCAGUGUGUUUUCCCUCCUAUAAGCCCAAAUCUUAUUGAACAUGGUAGUAAUGAUGAUCAAUCCUAUCUUGCAAUGUAUUCACUUUUUUACAGACAUGACAGAGGGAACAGGAGGGAGGAAAAAAAAAAAACUAAUUUAGCAGCACAGUGGCAGUGAAGUGGAACAAGCUGCUUACUGGAUGAAAACCCCCCAAACUCCAGCAGGUAUCAGACUACAGCUGGGGUUUGAGGAGCUGUGUGAAAAAUGUCUUUUGAUCAAAAUGCAGCAUAAGCCUUGAGGGGAGAGUGGAAGAUGGUUGUUUUUAUGAAGUGUCCCAAUGUCCCAUUUGUGCAUCUGUUAUUGACGGGGUUGCUGAAGCUUUUGUUUUGUCUUCCAAAAAAUGUUAUCAAGAGGAAAAAGUCAGUGCACGUGUUAGCCUGGAGGGUUAAUCGACUUGGCUGAGCUACUGUCACAGACUGAGCUCACGUCUAUAGGGUCAUUCUGUGGACAAUUACACACAAAGCCGACAUCGCUAUCGACAAAUACUCCAGUCUACAGAGACCGUGAGUCAGACAAAGGUUCAUUACGGUUUUCUGGCAUUUAUUGGUGGCAUUUGCUUUCGGAUACAUGACCCACUGGGACACGUUUGCCCUUUAUCUGGGUGGAUAGAAACACACUUGGCUUUUAAACGUUUUGUGGAGUCUGGGAACUUCAAGAUUCUUAUUUAUCAGCAGUUUGUAUCAGAACGUUAUUCAACAGGAAAUCAAAUCCAGGAUGCAAAGCGGCACUCAAUAACAAUAUAUCAACAUUUGAUGGUAUAAUAAAAAUAUGUAGCUGCCUUAGCACAUUAACUGGAUAUUGAUUGUGAAUCCACAUGACCAUAUGAGAUCACAGCACCAAACAGACACCCUUAAGGAACCACUCAUUCUCCCUCAGAAGUUUGUUAGCACUAAAACAGAAACGACAGUUAGACAGCUAUUGGACCAACUUUAAUCAGGUUGUCUGAACAGUUCUCUAAUAAAUGCUUAUCAAACAGCUUAGAUCAUAAUGUCUGUUAUUAAAUGUAUCUUAGAGUUGUAAUCCACAGGUGUCUAAAAGUAGGCUCAAAACUUUGCUUCUUAUAGUAAGAGCUGGUUUCGUCCUGGGCCAGCUCUUGGUUAGGCUGCUUUAGGUUAAGACUACAGGAGGUACUGGUCCCUACUGCAUUUCCCCCUAUCCCCUCUCUACACCCAGUGCAGUCGGGGCAGAUGACUGUCCCUCAUGAGUCUGGUUCAGCUCCAAGGUUUCUUUCUGUUAAAAGGAAGUUUUUCCUCUCCAUUGUAACUUGCUGCAAAGUGUCACACUAGUAGUUCUGUUUUAUUAUAAAUAAUGCAAAUAAUGUUUAGAGCAAAAUCAAAAAUGCUGCCUGACUCAAUACAGAGGUUCUUUUCAAUUCAGGACAGUCCGUGUAAUCUCAGAGGUGCUUGCAAAUUUACUGAACAAAAAGCUAAAAAAGGUAUGAAAAGGUGAUCAGUCUCCAAUACUGGAACUAAAUUCUGGAAUGAUGCCAACAUAAAUCUAAAAACAUGUCUUUUUUGGUUUUUAAGAAAAUGGUUUGUAAAGCUAUUUUUGAAGCUUAUAAGUGAGAUUAAUAAUCUGUUGUUGUGGUUUCUUUGCUUUUCUGGAGGUCGGUAGCCUAAAAAAGUUGACAACACAGGAUAGGCUUUUAUAGGCAGUCUGCGUCUGCCUUUUCAGUCAAUAUUCAACACAUGAUUCUUGAUUUUGUGAUUUUGUGUGAAAUGUCAAUAUUGUGUACAAUAAUUGGUGUUGUCAUGACUGAAUAAACGACUACUACUUCUACUACUACUACACUAGUAUUUAAAGAUGGGAUGAGAGUGGGUCUGAUCUUGCAAGAUGUGGCUCAGUAUAAUCCCAUAUUUUUUGUUAAGCAUCUUUGGGAAACACUUGUUGUGGAUUGGCGCUAUAUAAAUAAAGAUUGCUUGGUUGGUUUAUUACCAAUCAAUUUGUCUUCACCCCACCAAAUUUCAGCUAACGUUAUCUCAUGACAUUUAUAGAUCAGGUCUAGACCACUUUUUUUGCCUUAUUAACAUCAACUGAAAUAUUCUAUCAUGAGCAAGCACUUGGAAACAGUGGCAGGGAAACUUAUUUUUAACCAGCAGACACCUCGAGACACUGGGAGGCAAUCAACUCAGACUAGAUGAGGCAAGAUAAGCUUCGGAGACUUUAGAGAGAGUCAGACUGGCAAGGUGACAGACAGAUAAACCCCACACAAUGGUUAAAACUAUGACAUUAGGGGAGGUAUUAGAAUAUUUUCAACAAUAGAAAUGUGACUAAGCUAAUAACCACCUUCUCAGGCUGCUCUCAUAUCUGUGUUUAUGAUCAUUAUUACAUGAUUCUUAAGACAGAGUCAACAGGCAGUGGAAUAUACCAGAGUUCUUCACAAUGUCUGAUUUGACUUGUGAGAUCAGUUUGCUGAAUUUGCUGCUGAGAAGGGUUUUUACAAAAUAGCAAGUGUCAAGGGAAGGAAUCGAGCAUUUCACACAGCCAGGUAAUAAUUAUGCAACAAUGAGACAUUAAUGUAUGAAGGGAGUAGAGCAGAGUGCACACCCUAAAAGUAUGGAAAAUGGAAAUGUCCUUUUCUGCUUACACCAAACUUUGAUGGUUAUUAUCCUUUCCUACAAUUCUCAGGUGUCGUGGCAAACUCUGCACGCCUGGGGCAAAUCAAGAAAUUGCUACCAUUUAUUUUGCAUAUUCAGCAGAAAUUCACCUCUGGGUCUGCUAAAUGAAUCCCAUUAUACUUGAAAACAACACAGCGCUGGGUGUAGGUAAAAUCCCAAAGGUCCAAUUUUUCAAACUGAAAUGAGCCAUCUGAACCAGUCAGGUCAUUUUUCAGGUUAGUAAUGCCCAUAGCUAAAAUUGGAUCGUGCACCUGCACACUUUUUGGCCGUGUUCUGUAGGACAUUUUUCACUCAAUGCACUAGGAGUCCGCUCAUAACCCACAGGCUAAAGCAAGUUAAUUAAGUCUGAGCGUCUUUCAACUGGAAAACCUGGGAAACUGCUGCUUCUUAACUUAAGUAGAAAGUCAUAUUACUCUUGAUGUUGCUACUCUCUUUUGAGCUGACAAAGGCGGCACAUACUCUGAUAGUAUUUUUCAACCAAUCAGUUUCUUUGUUUGCUCGAUACUAAUGAAAUAUCAAGGAUUGAAUCUUCAUUGCAAAGGAGAUAAGAUGCAACAAAUAGAAAAAAGGGAUUUUAUUGGCACUGCUUUGAAACACAGGUUAGAUGUCUAGUAUUUCCAAUCUAUGAGUAUUUGCCAUUGUGAGCAAAAUUGUGGAAAUAAAGGCAAACUUUGGAAAAGUUGGAUGAAACUCUGUUGUCAUGACAUCUGUGCACAUGUCAGUUCAAAUCAGACCGUGCACAUUAUUUCAGUAAAAGGUACUGUUAAAAAAAACAGAAACUUACUUAUCUGAUGCUGCUCCUGCUGUCCCAAGAGGGGACAACAUAGUGGGCGUUGGUUGGCACAGAUGAUUGUCUAAGAGCCAGUCCCAAUUGUAACUCUUUCCCAUACCCCUUGGUCUCACCCCUUUGUCUACGAGGGCCAAGGGGAAGGUGAAAACACACCCCUAAGAAAUGAGACGCCACCCAAUAUCCACUACGUUAUCAUGCCUUGCCUCUUGUUGGCUGUGUCAUGGGCUGAUGCGAUAGUACCGGUAAACAAGUUGGAAAGCAGCGCCCACUGUUGCAAUGUUUAUCUGUUGUUAGCUGUCGUUAGCCAUUGUUAGCAUUACCCAUUGAACACAACGCAUAACCCAGUAUUUUACCCAUACAAGAGCUCCUGAUGUAGCUUUUACAUUGGAAGCUACAUCAGCUAAUGUAGCUAGUACAUUAGAAUUUACUAAUGUACUGAAUGUAGCUUAGCUGUCUGAUCAUUCGGUCUAAUCAUUCAUGAAAUGCAGUACAUCAAAGUGUGUCCUGUGAAUUUGCCACCCAAGUCCCGACACUAGUUAAGCUAUCAUUAGCUAGCUCAUUAUAAUGAGCAGUGUUAAAAUGCAAACAAUUCAAAACAUGGCUAAUAUUUACUUGAAGUAGUAACUAUUGAAAUAUCUGAUAAAAUCGUGUAAAAUCUCACCUCUUGCUUUCAAGUGAGGUCCUGUUCGUCUUUGUUUUAAGGGCUGCGUGCCUCUUGCAUUUAGCCCUUCCCCUUAACCUUACAGAGAACUGCAUACCCCUUUGCUUGUCAUGAACGCACAAAAUGAGGACUCAGGGGUAAAACAAGGGAUAACUGACGUCACAGGGGAGACAAUAAACACAUGUCAGGUUACUUUAAUUGAAAAAAUAUAUAUAUUUUCCUGCCACCUCUAAGAGGGGUUUGAAUCAUUAUUUUUGAGUGUAUAGUGUCUGGGGUCAAAAGGCUACAAAGGGGGACAAUUUUUUCCGGUCAUCCAUCAAUCUCAAUUCAGUCUGUCUUCAUGAGAAAAGCCCCGUGACAACCUGUCAUUGUGUCCUUACGGCUGCUGAAGCACCAUUCAGUCAUCCACAGAUAUGUGCAGUUCAGUCACAGGGCAGAGACCCUGCUUCUUUCCACGACCAACCCAGUCAAUCAUCGCUGAGCUGCUCUGAGGAUUUCACCAUGACCGGCUCAGAGCAGAUAUGCAGUCAACAAGCAAUACAAUAGGAAAAGGGCCCUGCUGCAGAAAAUCCUCUGAUACGUGAUAUGUGAGGAGCCGUAAAAUAGUGAUCUGAAUUAAAAGUGAGACGAGAGUCAGCCCAGCAGCAGAGGAGAACGCCUUGUUUUUGCACUGACAAUAAUCAUCAACUUGAGUCUUCAACGUAGUUUCCUGAAUCUCUGAGAAAACAUUUAUGAUGCAGUGUGGACAAUUAAUCACUGCAGCGUUUCUCAAACCUUUUUCAGUCACAGCACGUUUUAAAAGUGCAUAAAAUUUCACAGCAGUUAAAACAUAUAAUUAAAAAUGACACUGCAGAGCCAAAAUGUAAAUGCAAAUGUCCUGUUUAUUUAGACGGGAAAGUGUUGGUGAACAGAGCGUAAUAAGAACUGAAAAUGCACCAGAGAUAAGCAGGAAUGUUUCUUUCCAUCCAUGCCUCUGUAGUCUGCACUACACACACACUUUUGCAAGAGGCUAAUUGAUUUUGAACAUUUGACUUUUAUCAAAAUAUUCAGAAAAAUAGGGCAGAUUUUCCCGAUGUGCAGUUAAGAACCUAGUUUAGACUUUUCCAAAAUGUUCAAGUUGGUAUUUCUCUAAGUUCUGAUUGAGCUAGAUCCAAACCGUGACCAAUGAUGUCUGCACAGAGAGGUGUUUAACGCAUAUGGGUCCAGGCAAAGAUAAAUCUCAUCUUAACAACAGCCAGUAAUCAAGUGGACCAACAUACCAGAAGUAGACAGUUGAAUAUGUUUUAGCAAUAAGAAAAAACUGCAUACAGUUUUGUAAACAGCAACUAUGGCUUAGCGGUAAAAAACUUAGUUUUAGAGCUUAUUUUCACCCACUGCCUCUAACAUUUUAUUUUAGGGCAGCAACAUCUCCUUACAUAGAGGACUUUCAUCCUUGGAUGUGGAAGAUGUGUUUUUGUAGAUGUCUGGAGUGGAGUGCAGACAACAGAUUUUGCUCUACUUUCCUGCUCUGCCAUGAUUGAGGUCUCUCUCUGAGGGCUGCUUUUGGCAACAAAUCAAAGGAAAACAUGGCCCACUUAAACUGCAGAGAAUCCACAUGUGUGUACAAGUGGCAAGAGCUUCAACUAUUGGUUUGACAGCUCAACAUGAAGCUGGGGAUUGUUGUAUCAGGAUGAGAACAGCCCUCUUAUGGUCAGUUUAAAAGCUGUGCGUCAUCUCCUCACUGCAUCAUAUAUAUAGAUAAACAAGGUUACAAGCUCUCCUGACUUGAAUUUCUUGUCACCAGCUAAAACAAGGGUCACCUGUGGCCACCAAUCAGCAUGUCUUGCUCUGUCAGAGCAAUGUUGUGUCAUGGUUUGGAAAUUAGUUGGCUGUCAAAAAGAAAGAUAGGUAACAUUACAGCUCUGUAAUUUUAAUCAGUCAAGGUAGAAAUUGAACAUACGGAGGGUACAAGCCCAAUAAAGCAGCCAGGGAAAGAAAAGACCUGCAAGAUGAGUGUCUCAGCUGAUGAAUGAAAGUGAAUCUAUAUAAUCAUUGUGUAAUUAUAAGUUUGAAAAUUUGAAACUAUAAUGGAAGAAUCAUUGCGGAAUCAGCGGCACAAACACAGACUUUAUGGUGGCCUCAGCUAGCAUGAUCUCAUAUCCAGUUCACAAUCUAGAAAAUCAAUGACAUGCCUAUUUUGACAUGCCAUGACAUGAUUGACAUGCCUAUCUAUGAAUAGUUCAAGACAUAAAAAUGAAUAUUCAAGAUACCAGGAUGUGAGAUAUAUUGACUUCAUUGUCAUUUACCUGAUUUGCAGUGACAACAAUGCAUCAAAACUGUGAUAAUUUGGGUUGUAUUUCCAUCAGCUAUAUUCAUAUUUCAGGCAUGAAAACUACAGUAUGGCAGUACUAAAGAAUAAUUUUUGAAUCCAUUUUCCUUUCUUUAGAGAGACUCUUCUUGUUUUCGCACAGUGCUUUUAUUUUGAAAUUCUGCCCAGGACACUUAUUUGCCAUGAAUCAACCCACUUGUAUUCCUCUUUAUUUGAAUUGAGCAGGUUAGCUGUAUAAAUGAAUAAAUAACACCAGGUAACAGGAAAUACUUGCCCUUCCGUGAUCUUAAGUGCCCCUAAGUGCCCUCCCUCUGCAUCCUGCAUUAAUGUGCAGCACCUGUUUUGAAUGAAAAUAGGAUCUCUGAUAAGAUUGACCAACAAACACCAAAUGACAUGCUCCAAUAUGGAAAAAAGAAUAUCAAACUCAUAAUUUGUUGGGCCUCAUAAUGCAUUCCGUUGGCGACUGUUUCCAGGAAAGACAGUGUGCGUUGUUUAAAAAAUCAUUGGGGGUCAAGCCAAUUAACCGAUCUGUCGUCCAUCCAGGGAACCGCAGAUUGACUUCACUGAUAUAAUAUUAACAUACUGAUAACAAGAGUUCUGCUUUUAUUGAUAUAUUCUAUUCCAUUGUGUGAUAUCUUUAAAAACUGUCAGUGAGUUUGUGUUAUCAUUAUUGCCAGUCAAAAAAAAAGAUAAAAAAAUCAAGAUUAGGUUUUCAAAAAGUCUUUUGAAAAGGGGGGAUGGGGUGUCUGAUAAUCAGGGCUGCCCUGUUUUCAGGCCCAAGUAGUAAGUACAUCAGGCAGUCGACAUAAUGGUGCAUAAUAAUUAUUAUACUAAGUAUGGUUUAGAGGUUGGCUGUGUAUCAACAUGAGCCCUCAAAAUUAAAGCAGCUCAGUAAGGCUCAGGGAUUUUGCAUUCCAAAUACUUCCUCUGUGUAUGUAAAUUGAGUCUGAAGCUUUCUGGCAGGUAAAAAGCUCAGACUGAUGCAUGAAUAGGAAAUGAGGCAAAGAUGACUCGGUAUGUGAAGACGUUAUUACAUCCAAAUAAGGCUUUCCAUUCAUUAGAGUUGGAAAACUGAGUGAAACAGUAAACAGAGCAGAAAAUAAAAUAUGAUAAAUCUGGGUUUCACGGUGAGUGCCAGGCAGAGUCCCUCUCUGCUGAAUAGUUGGCUGUUCAAGUAUGCAGUCUGCUGGAGAGGGAGGCUCAAUUCCUGUUAUCACUGUUUAUAUUAAAGUCACAUGUCACAUGCUCCAGGAAAAAAAAACACCUGAGAUUCUGAUCAAGUAAAACAGCACCUUUUAAUAUUCAAAGACCUGGUAGAAAUCCUCCGUAGUCAAAGCUGACAGCUGUAGAGGCUCCUUUUGUGGUCCUUAAAUGAAACUGUCUUGUUUUAUUUAUAAGGAGAACAAAAUAUACUUCAGUACAGGGUGCAAAAUAUCAUAAAGCAUGACUGCAGAAAAUAAAAGUGCUGUUUUAAAAAACUAUGUUUAUUAAAAAGCUGAUUGAAUCUAUUGAAUAACCUCCAUUGUGUUGACAUCACCUUAAGAGUAGUCCUUUGCCCCCAGGUGAGGUUUAUCUCUUUGCUCUUUGCUGACCUUUACAUGUAUAAUAUUCACAGUUUUUUAAGAUUAUGCUUCUUUCUAAGUGUAUCCCUCACUAUGAGUCAUUUAUGUUACAGAUUUUAUAAAAGCACCCACACUCUGCACCCGUGGUGGUGAUUACAGGCUUUAAAACAACUGUAUAGAAAAAAAAAUUAUGAGUGCCAUUUUAUUUCUGAUGGCCCUGUUUGUUUUUGGAAGUCACAGAGAGGUAUCUGCAUUUUAGUUUAUUUACAACCAGUUUAAAGCUCCAAGCACAGAGCUAGCAGAGAGUUAGCAGAGCAGUAUGACAGACGAGGACUUGUAGAAAAGUGACAUCUCUUGUUCACUUUGUCCUGCAAAAUCCUGGUUUUCACAAGAAGACAAAAGACUGUGAAAAAUGAAGAAUUCCCCUCUCUCCUGAUAAAGUGCGUUGUGUUUUUUGUGACUUAUAUCAUUUGUUAAGCCCGGUGUGAGGAGUGUUUGAUUGAUUAUGAAACAGCCUAAAGUGAACAGUGAUGCAUCUCUACGAAGCACAAAAGCAAAUGAGAUCAUUGAUAACAAGCCUGGCAAUCCUUAUAUUGUAAUCUUUAAUGCCUGUAACUUCUGUGUGGGGGUAUACUGAAACGAACAUUCAUGGCAGCAGAUACAGCUCACUGGAAAAUGACAAUAGAUAGAUUUUUUUUUUUGCUGACAACAGUUUCACAAGGAAGAGAUAAAAUUAGCUAUUAGGAUCCCCACCUUGUCCACAGGGGACGCCAAAGUCAACACAUACAAAAAGUUCCUCAAAGUAGCUUUGUCCAGUUGGUAAAGAGAAAGUUUUAUUUCAGUGUAUUUUUAAGUGGGGCUGUAUGAGGUACUUGUUGAUUACAGUUCCUACAAUCCCAGAACUCUGAACUUUUGGUGCGUUCCAGUUGUACUCGGAAGUCAUAUUUCCAAGGUCAGAAAGUCGGACAAUCCUCACCAACCCUGACUUAACGACAAUGUCGUAAUCCAAGAUGGCAGCGCAGUGCAUCAACAGUAAAGAGUAACUGUGAAAGCUCUUGUAAUGUAGUAUUUAUUAGCACUUUCAUUUUGGUGAAAUUAAAUAAGUGGUUUAUGUUGUACUGCCCAACGUCUAACUGUGACCACGGUGCUAUGGUGUUUGUAAGAGUAAAAUACUGUGUUAUGCGUUGUUUCCAACUGGUAUAGCUGACAACCGCUAACAACAACUGAUAACAGCUAAUGACAGCUGACAAUUGUUAACAACAGCUAACAACGGCUAACAGUAGGCGUCCAUCAUGGUUUUCCCACUUGUUUACUUGAACGCUGUUAACUCGGAUGUCAUCAUUCCCAGCUCUGACAGCUGACUUCCCAGGUAACUGGAACACAGCAUUUGCUUCAAUACCAGUGUUACCAAGGCAAACAAAAAUUAAACUCAUGGACACCCAAAGCAGUUCUCAUGUAGACACAGUAGUCACUUGAUUGCAGGCACUACUUAUGUUUCUUCUUUUUUACCUUUUGGCAAAAGCAGCAAAAAGCAAUGAGAGACUACGUUGCUCUAGGGUAGCAUUUGUUGAGGGCUUAAGUUACUUUAAAGAAAAAGUACAGUAUCAAGACAAAGCUGCAAAUAUGGAGGCUAUACCUAGAAUGUUGUACCCUGUUAUAAAGUUAAACUUUUAAUUGAAUUGCAGCAAAUGUUUUUGCACAGGCAAUGUUUUGUUCCAGAGAAACAAAGUUCUUUCCUCACUGCACCAAACAGUUCUAUAAUUGACUUAAAUAGGACUUCAGUUUCUUCAACAUGUUGCAGUGACUUGUGUAACCUCUUUCAGCCCUGGUGUCUCCUGGAGGGCUGAAGGGUUGGUAAACAUGUCUUGGCUCUGGGACACCAUGGCUGCACUGCAGCCUCAGUCACCUGUUUAAAUGGAGAAAACACAAUCGAAGACAUGACUCACCCUUUUCUACUUUGAGACCACACAGAAAGAAACUCACAAGUUUGAUGUUCUUCUUAAGCUACACCUCAAGUUAAAUGACUAUACAUGAUGCAAACGGGUUUGCUCAUUGGCUGACACUGACUGCUUAUCCUCUCUACCUUGCGUUGAAGCGAAAAACAAACAUGGCCACAAAUGAAUGAAUUAUGGCUACAAAUCAUGUUUUCAUUCCGGCUGUUAAAUGUUGCUUUCAAAAUGUUGGAGCUCAAGUAUGAACUACACCUUUUUUAUGGGUUGUGUAGAAGUAGAAUACUAACAUGAGAGUUUUUUAAAGUUUACUGGAGCAACAGAUGAUCAGUUCCCAGAUGACAGAGGCCUAUUUUUUUCUGAGAUGUCACCAGAACUACCCUGCUGAGUGUUUUCAUGUCUUUCAGCUUACUAUUUUGAUUUAAAGGGCCACAUUUCAACUGUUUUUGGUCUAUUCUCACAGCUGUAGACAAGUUUUCAUCAGAAGAAAGAAGUUGUUUAUAACACCACCUCCAAAACACACUCUGUAAAGCACUUAACAGCAGACAAUCUCACCUAAGAGCCACCUGCCAAGACAGUACAGAGAUUUUUCCUUGCGGGUGUGAUGGAAAAUAGAAAUCACAGUUGGUAAUAAUUGGAAAUUUUUAUCAUGCAACGUUGGUCAUCUGAAUAAGCAUCUGUUUGUUUAAAUAUUGGCCUGAAAAUUUACAAGUUGAUACGCAAUGUUUGUAUCCAAACUUGCCCUCAAACAAGCAAGGAGCCAUCUCAAAGUCAUCACAGGAUAAAAGGAUUGGAUAUAUUUCAUGCUGAUUGACCAUGUUGACCAUGUUUAUUGACUAUUUUAACAAUCUAUAAAAGUUGAAUCAUCUCUUCAGGAGGAUUUUAUCUCUCUUUAAACUGUGACGGUAGUAAAUUUUCUCCCAGCAACAACAAGAAGCUGCCUUUAAAUGAGAUUUAAUCAGUAAGCAGUCAUUUAUAAAUGGACUCAGCAGUCAUGCAGGAGAUCAGCAGUGUCCACAAAGUGAAAUCCUCUCAUGUCCAAUACAUCAAUCUCUUCAAGGGGAGUGAUGAAAAAGGACCCGUUCCCAUACUGCAGACAGCUGCAACUCUUUUGAUCAGCUUUAUGGCGGGUUGUUGUCUAACUGAGUAAGAACAUAAGAUUACACAGACAGGAGUGUGAGUGGGCUAAUGAGGCAAACCAAGCAUGAAAACGUUCUGUUAUGGGACUAAUAAAGGGAAAAUCAAACAGCGAUAUCAGCAUUCACAACGUAUUUUUGACUGAUUUUGAUUCAAGUCUCACUUGAAAGAUGUGCAAAAAUGUAAAUAUCUGUCCUACAUCUACUCCCUGUGUCCAGCUCUUGUCCAUCUCUAGACUGUUUAGCCAACCAGCAAAAAAAACAACACAAAGAAAAUAGUUCAACUAGCAUUAUACUUACCCUAUUUUUCGGGAGAUAAGGCGCACUGGAUUAAACAGCGCACUGUGAAUUAAUGUGUCUGUUCACACAUAUGGUGCACUGGAUUGUAAGGAGCAUUGGCACACUGGCGCAUUGAUUGGUUUAUUGUUGCUAGUGCGUACUCCAGGCCCGGGCUGCCUCACAUGAAUGCACUUCUAGUUUAGACAUUACAGUCAGGCAGUCUUGUAGACUGCUCAGGGGUCCUGUUACGGGGCUGAUCAGGUCGUGACACAGCGUACUAUGAUGAUUCAAAUAUCCAUUCAGCGGAGUGGCCUUGUUGCUUACCAGUGCACACAUUUCGACAGAUUUUUGAGCGCAUUGUACCACAUAAAAUUGGUCAGCAAGUAAUUGUACAUAAGGCGCGCUGGAUUAUGAGACACACUGUCAACUUUUGAGAAAAUGUAAGGAUUUUAAGUGUGCCUUAUAGUCUGAAAAAUAUGGUAAACAUAUAUAUAGACAAGAUGUAAAUGUGACUGGAAAUAAAAAUGUGAAACUUAAAACCAAAAGGCUUUUAGUCAAAUCAGUAAAAAUAAGUCAUCUUGUAUACUCAGUGGACCCGUGGAAUUAAUACUACACAGCUAGUUAAGUUUCUGUCACUUUUUAAAAAAUUUUUGUAGCUCCUUAAUGGACAUGGCAACAUGUAAAACUGGACAAUUACUUUUUGACUUCGUAGGUGUACAUCAUCAUCAUCAUUUAUGUAUCCACUGUAACUCACCAGAAAUAAGUGCUCUUCCUCCUUUAAGAGAACUGUCUUUCCUGUGGAGGCAUUUAUAUAAUGUUGGACUUGGACACGAAUGACAUUGUUUUUAAAAAUAAUGAACUCCUUACCUGGGUGACAUUUAAACCUGCAAGAAAGUUUAACCACCGUCACAAUCUUGAACAAUCUGCUCUCAGCUCCACAUACAUUCUGUCAUCUCAUAGAGAGAGAGAGAAAGAGAGAGAGAGAAAAUCACUUGAAUGCAGGGGCAAAAGAAACCACUCAUCAGGGAAUUCAUUUAACGAUAAAUACUAGGUUUGGUAAUGGCAUUGCAGAUGAAAAUGAUAGUUUGGAUGAAUUACACAGAGGACAAUGGCUGAGGAAAAUGGCUGCUUACAAGAGCGGGGACGAACAAUGACGAAUAGCUGGGUAAUAUUAUCAAAGGAAACUGAGAAAAUCACCAGGAGAAAAAAGAGGUGGAUGAUGAUGGAUGAAUUGAGGUGGAUAAAUACGUGAUGGAGGGUGACACUUCCUCACGCCUGUCCAUUUGCUUUUUCCAAAAGUUUUAAGUGAAGAAAAAAGUGAUUUAAAGAAACAACACUGAGAGUAAAGGUGCCCUGUGAACAUAGAAGCAGACUGUUUGUCCUCAGGUCAAUAAAUCAGACCUUUGGGAGUCACAGGAGGGAGGCACAGUGUGACAACUCAUUCACAUCGUUUCUUCAGUCCUAAGCUUCUCCUAAUGAUUUCUUAUCACACUUAAAUGGAAUAGCUAUUAUAUAUCAGAUAGGGAGCGAAGCCUGGGAGCUUUCUUAUGCUGUGAUUGAACAGUGAUUACAGAUCAAUUUCCUUUUUUUAAUGUUCUUUUUAGUUUUGAUGUCUGUGGUAGCUGAUUUUUUGUCGGUGUUGCUCUUAUAAUGCGGUUAGCAAAGAUAUUGAAGAUUCUGCAGAGUGGUCAGUCUAUCACUGAGACUACAACAACUCAAUAAUUAGCGGUUACUCUUACACUUCAGGGAUUCAAGGUUCCAACUGACUUAAUAGACUUUUCAUCAUGUGCACCAAAGAGGUUGACAUUUGGGGUUCAAGGUAAAUAUCUCUUUUGCAGUCCCAUAUGGCAAAGUAAUCUAAGAAUAAACAUAUAAACAUAUUCUCUAUCUGCAUGUUCAACAUUUAGAUUUAGUAUGUGUUGUAUGUUCUGUAAGGCUUUUAUGUCUUAUCGUAUUGUUUACUCAUGAAAGUGGCCCCUGGUGCAGGGGGCUUCCCAGAGGAUAUACUGGGGGUCCUAAAAAUGGUAAAAGGAUAAAAACAAGUAAAAACUAAAAUAUGAAUAAAACACAGACUAUAAAAUAUUUUCAGUAGGUGAGUAGAUGAAUAAAUAUGAAAUACAAAACCUAGACUUAUUAGUAUAAAUACAAAUAAAAUAAAUAAAUAUUAAUCAAAAGCUAAGCUAACAAGGUAGGUCUUGAGCCUGCUCUUAAAAACAUGAACGUUCUCUGAGGCCCUGAGGUCCUCUGGCAGGCGUUUCCAUAGACGAGGGCCAUUAUACUGGAAAGACGUCUCACCAUGAGCGUGUGUCCUGACUUGAGAAUGACAGGGAACCUGCUGCCAGAGGAGCGCAGGGUCCAAGAAUGUUCAUUAGGUAAAAGCAAUUCUGAAAGAUAAGAAGGCCCACAGCCAUUGAGACAUGAAAACAAGUAAAAGAACCUCAAAAUCGAUGCUAAAGCACAUAAGGAGCCAAUCUAUUUUAUAUAUACACUUUAAAAUUAAGCAAGGACAAGCACCUUGAAGUGUAUGAACGAUUUGGAGAAUUAGGAAUAAAGGUAUUUGAGUGACAAGGUAGUGUAAACUUAAGGUUACUGAGCUGUUCAUGAAUCUGCCAGAGAAGAAAAAAAAGCUUAAUAGCAACCCAAUUUCAGCUAACACCGCAGUAUACAGAGCAUGUGAGAUGUAGCAUGUAAGUGGAUGCUAUUCCACCUUCACAUCCUGUGUCAAGGCCACUGCUAACGCUAUCAAAUCUCCAUGCUCUUGCAAUCGAUUCUUGCAUUUUUCUGCUCAACUUCAUCCAACACUUUUAACCAGGAUGCGUUCAGGUCUGCAGAGUCUAUCGGGGAAGUGUUGUUAUCGAUCUCUCACGACCCCUCCACACUGUUUCACCCAAAUCAUUGCUAUGACAGCCAAAGAUGCUCUCUCAGGACCUGACUCUGGGACUUUUUACUUCCACUGGGCCUCAGGUGUUGUGCUGUAAAACACUCACUAAUCCUGACUUAUUGACUUCUCCGAAAGCACAAGCUCCACAACUCAAUACUUCUGUUAAUGAAGCUGUUGAUCACUUUUAUGCAUACUCAAAUUUGCUGUUGAAGUUAAAAACAUAGUUCAUUACUCAGCCAUAAUAGUCUGUCAAUAUGAAUAUUUAAAUCCUUUAGAGAAAGAUGGACUUUAGAUUUAUUAGCCUUUCAAAUAUGAAUUCAUUAAAUUCCUGAAAUGACCUCUAACACACGGAUGCGGUAGGGACUUUUCACAGCUCAAUAUCCUUUUAAUAUCACACAGUGAGAUUAAUUAUUUGAACUCCUGAGUUUGCAGAAAAGUUUCAGGAUCUAUUUUUAAACUUUAAGAUAAACUAGAAUACUGGAACUUUCAUGAGAAUGAUAAACCUGUGUAAAAGAAACCAUCUUAUCUAGGUUUUAUAGCCCUCCCUAUGCUCAUCAUAUUCAGAUUCAGAUUCAGAAAACUUUAUUGAUCCCAAAAGGGCAAUUCAUUUGCAGCAUUUUAAGAGCACCUCACACAUACAUAAAAUCACUUGUCAGUCCAUUCCAGUCACAGUGGAACCCAGAUCGAACCGUUACAAAUAUAACACACUACUCGAUCAAAAGAUGCCUCCCCUCGAAUUCAAUAAUUUAAUACGAACACCUAAUUUUACAAAGGUGUUCAUAAACCGGUUAGUUCUCCUAGCCGGAUAUCCCCCAAAGGCUGAAAAAGAUGUGAGAAAUAGAAGUGGGAGAGACCACAAAGAUGCACUAGGGUGACCAAGUUGCCUUAAUUUGUAAUUCCUGUAUGUAUGGUGGCUAGGGUCUGUCCAGGGCUUGCAGCAAAAUAGGCAAGCGGUAGAUCUUUGGCAUAAGGUUUGUGCAACAGCUAAACCUCCACAGGGUUACUCCCCCAGUAUUUAUGAGGAGGAAAAGAGAGAAAGAAAAUAGAUAAAACAUAAAGGAGAUUAACAUUUUCUUUAUUUUGGCCCCCAAAUGACAUCCCCGUCUCUCCUCAUCAAGAUCCACUGAACUUCUUUUACCUCCUUGAGUGUCUCUGCUUUUCUAGUUCUCCACAACUGAUUAUUCGAUGAACCCUCUUCAACCUACUUCUGGACAGGCCUGAUUUUCUGGCCUCUCUGUCUAGUUUCUGUUGCCAACUUUGCAUAUCAAAGCUUUGUGCUUUCACAUGUGUCCUCUGCUGAGUCCCUCCAGGGCACUGUCAGUCCUAUGAAAUAAACUUUAUGCUGACUGUUCAACCAUAACACUUUGUCCAGCUUCAAAGUCGUUCAGACUAUGAUCUAUGGAGUAAGUUUUACCCCUAGAUAACCCUCCAUCUCCCAAUCAUUAGCCUCCAGACCAGUUUAAAACAUUUCUCUCACCUCGCAGAUGAUUACUAAUCACACCCUGUAUUCACUCGACAUCUAAGACUUUCAGUUCCUGCCACUUAAACUAAUACAACUACUUAUGUUGCAUUUUAUGUCAACCUUACAACCUGACAGAAUAAGUCGCUGUCUCUGCACAAAAAAUACCCCCCUAGAGAUUACAGUGUUUAAAUGUUCUCCCUUUUGGUCAUCAUGGUCAGCCUUAAACCUGUCUGCAAAUCAGCUUUUACAGAGGGGUCCACUCUGAACUGCUAGCCUCAGUACGGUAAAGUUUUGACAACAGAUUUAUAAGGCCUGUGGCCCUGAGAUGGAAGCUGUGGGCAGCAAAUACUUCUGUAUAAUUUCCCAAACGGCUUUGGAGUGAAAAGACUGAAGUGGGUUUUGUCUUUACAUCAUUUGGGCUUUUUUUUCCAGUAUUCUCACCUGGUUCAUUACACUGAUGCUCAGUAGAUUGUUACAGCUGAUGUUGUUUUAAUUACUAGCUUCAGAGCUUUGCUGUCCUGUGUUGUGCAUAUCUCAUAUCAGUUAAUGAAGUUUCCAUUUAGGAUGUUUUCUUAGUAGAGCUGUCAUUGAAAUUUUCUAAUCAUAAGUUUUGCCAAAGAAGUUUGUUGUUUUUCAGCUUUAAGUAGUGUCUGUUUUUCACAUAUUAAUUUUACUUGGCCACAGAGGAAGCUGCUGAAAUAUUAUUUAAAUAUAUAUAUAUUUUUUUCAUUAAAUGACUGAUGACUAUUUUGUCAUCAGUUGGAGUCUGAAUCAUCAGCUGUAGAUUUAGUGGUGAAAAGUCAAUUUAGCUGGACUACUGUCUACAUAGAUCACACAGAGAAACACUUAACAAACAAGUUAAGCAGAGGCUAAGGUAUGUCACAGAUGGUGUCCUCCUAUACAACUAAUGGGGCUCUUCCACCAAGUGCGAGUAAAAUCAUCUGCUUGCUUAAUUCAUGCAAAUCAAGACACGUGAAUGAAUAGUAUUUACUUGCUUCAUUCAUGCGUCAACAGUAAUUUCAACGGUAACCCUGCCAAUUUAACCGGCGGGAUCAAGUGAUAGACUAAGGAAUUUACUAGGUGAAUUACCUGGUAUCCUCACUCACUUGCCUCCAGGCGAGCUCCUUAUUAUUCCGGUUUCGAUAAUUGAAAGAAAUGGUAUCAUAUAAUUCAGGGCAUCCACACACAGACACGAUCAAUUUGUCCUCCAUUUUAGAUACCAGUGAACAACCAUCUGUUUUCAUACAUCACCCAGCAACCUUAUUGCUGAUUAGUUAUCACCAUGUGAAUCCGCUCAAGCUGAGACAUAUUGAGCUCAUGCCUAAUCUGCGUCAUUCGCACCGCCAGAGUAGUGGGAGCAUCUAAUUGUGUCUUUGCAUUGACUUAACCAGUAAUUCAGUCACGUAAAUGGUUUUACUCACACUUGGUGUGUGGAGACAGUUAGACUUACGGGUCAACAUCCAGCAUGCAAACUUUGGAUCAUGUACAGAAUGCCUUAGCCAGUUCGGGACAAUUGAGGAGUAUACAUGUCAGAGAAAAUGGAUGUUAGUCUCAUUUGGCAUGUUUUUACAUUUAUUCUAAAAGUAAAUAUUUUUUUCAUCUUGUAGUCGUAGUGUUUGUGUGGUCAGGCGCGCAGGUGGUGGUUUGCCAUCUUCAGGAUGCAGAAGGCGACAUUAAUGCAAAAACAGAGAGAGACAAGCAUCUGCACUCCUACUCAAAAGGAAGUGUUUAUUUACAGCCGAGUGCUCCGAGAUGAGUGCAUAAGCGUGUUUCCCUAGUUUCCUUAUCUUACUUUUAGCAUGAGGCCAUUGGCAUUGACAGCGAGCUCACCGUUUGCUCAAUUUAACACACACUCCCUCUGAUUCGCACAGAAACGUACACACAAGUGAAUAAAUGGUUUGCCGAGUUUCCUGAUAAAUCAAGCACACAGCAUCAGUUAAUAUAAGCCUGCCUGAUACUGCCGGCUCAUACGGAGGCUUUAAUAAUUGAUGGUGUGCUGUUGUGUCAUGUGUGUAAAUGUUAACAGUGUCACUCUUAAUCUAAAAAAGUCACUGAUCAAGUACCGGGGGAACAUCGAUCCACCCAUCAGUAUGAGUCGUACGGUGAUCAGAGAGUGUUCUGAGUAUACAGAGUCAAAAUGGCACAACCUCUGGCCCCCUGCUCUUCCACUGUUAGAUUAGGGUUGUAUACAAAGAGCCCUCUUUGUUUUUCAUCAAGGUAAAGCUAAUGGAGGUUGGUGUGUAAAGGAAGAGGCAGGGCUCAUCUCCGGAGAAAUGCUUACAUCUGAAGAUCUGUAUCUGCUUUGUUGUUGAAUUGCAAUUUGUUCUAGUUCAGUGUCCAUGGAAAGUUCAUUUCCCACAGUAUAUAUGUGUCACUCUGACUCAUUUAUAGGCAACACACUUCCUCUAUCACUGUGAAUCCUUGAACUUUAAAGUCCAAACAACACUGGUUGAUUUGUUGUUUUCUUCCUGUGAGUGAGUGUUGUUUGAAGACAUCAAAAUAAAACAGCCUUACUUAUGUUGUUUAGUUCAAACUCGGCUGCUCACACAAUUCCCAAUGGUGCCACUUUGGUUUUGAGUGUUUUAUGUGCAACCUCAAUGACAACAAGCUUUUGGCAGCUCAACUUCUGUUGUGUAAAGUGAAACAGAUGAAAAAAAAAGGUUAAAAAGUUCUUGUGUUACUUUUGGGGAUAAAGUCUCUAAAACAUAUUCUUGAUGAAGAAAGUCACCAGAGCAGAAAACAAAAGAUGACAUCUUACUUCAUGAGUGGUUUGGCUUAAAAGAGAAAGGUCUAAACACAGAUCCCUGGGGUGCUCCAGUUUACAGCAUUGAUGUAGAAUGGGUGUGACCCCCUAUUUGCAAUGCAGAGUGUCUGUUACGGUGAUGGAGAAUAUCCAGCUGACGAGUAUAACACUAAAAAAAGAGAUCUUUGUAUGCCAGCCAGUUUCAUGGAGGAGAAUGUGUGAAAUGUAUGAUUGAAGAUGAUUUUCAAGGCAGGUAUAGCAGCUGAUAUUCCCUCCUUUGUGGGUCUGUAGCUUUCAGUGUAAGCUGAUGAGGAUCCAGGCAUGAUGGAAUGAUGUCUUUGAUGCUGAAAGGUAGUCUUUUUUUUUUUGACCACACAAUGCCAUCUAUUUUUGGCACAAGGAUGAUGACUAACUUGAAGCUUGUGUGACCACUCCUCUGUGACAGGUGUACGCUAAACUCAUCAAUAAUGUCACCAACUGGCUGGUUGGCACAGCCUCUCAGGGAAGUUUCCAGACUUCGCAGUGCUACUCAUGUUCGCUCUCAGAUGUUGCUCUCAUAAACUACUCAUGACAGCCGACUGUCUUCCAAAUGGAUCACAAUGAAAAAAAAUAAUGUAUGGACUUCACCCUGAAGCUUAGCACAUUAUGGUGGAGGGCCUCGGCUUGUCAUGGAUCAACUGCUACAUCUCUUGGCCUUACUUUAUGAGUCAUACUAGCUUCACACUGAAUGCCCAGGCAAAGUUAACGGAGAAGCAAUAAUAGAAAGGAUCAAUUGACUCAGUGUUACAUGUCAGGCAGUGAGCCAGAGACUACACCGUGCCUUAUGUUCCCUCUCUCUCCUGUAAUAGGUGUUGAUGAACUGAUUGCUGCCACUUGUCUGCCUCAAAAUCAGUGAUUAACCUGCACUCAAGGUCAGUAUUAGAGAAAGCCACUCAGACUCCCCUGUCUCUCUGCCAUUCGUGCUUUCAGUCAGCUUUUGUUGCUUGCAUCUUUUGAGUCUCAUGGUUGGGAAGUUGGAUAUACGUAGGUAAAUUGUGGAUCCCUAAUGUUUUAUUCACUCAGGAUUUUAUUUGUGAGACAGGGGUUUGUGUUUUGUGUGUUUAAAUUUAUGGGUUGGGUUCAAAUUUUAAUCAUGUUUUAGGUUCAUUUAGGUUAAAGUUUUCUCUAUUGGUUAACGUCGCACAGAAAAAAAAUCAAAUUAAUCUAGCGUGAUAUCUACUUCUUGAUGGAAAUAUGUCAUAUAUUAAUUAAUCUAAUUUAAAAAUAGAAAAAAAAUUUGCUUGUUUUGUGUGUUGUUGCUAAAAUAAAAGUAGAUGUGGGUUCUCAACUUAAACACUGAUAAUAAGCUCUUGGUUAAAAGAGUUUGACCUUUUUCCUCAGGACCUAAAGUAUAAUGCCACUGAAAGUGAAAGGUUUUGAUGUCAGCAAUAUUAAUGGUUAGCAUCUUUAAAUAUUUCAUCAAAGUAGUUGUCACCUUUAAAAUUCUGCCCUUGUUUAGCAAACGAUAAAGCCAAACUCCCCUGGUGGUCAGCAGAGAAUGUCAGACCAAGAAGCCAAACUUUCUCACAGCCAAUGAGGAGACAGUUCAGAGGGGGAAGGUUUAGGUUUUUCAGGCUGUUUUCACAUUAGCUAUUCUCUGUGUGUUGUCACUAUAAAUACUCCAAGUCCCCGACAUAUUGUGUUGCCUGUUUAAUGAGAGCUGAACCCUCAGUAUUAAAAUCCAAUAUAAAUUCCCAUACAGCUUGCAAAAGUGUUCACAUGAAUCCAGAAUUUUGAUGUAGGUACAGUCCACAGAGUUCAGCACAGCAUGAUGAAGAGAUGCUGAUGAGGAAGAAACAGUAAUUGGUUAGCAGCAUGAGUUGGCUGCAAAGUGUACACUCAGCAGACUAAAGGGAAAGCAGAGAGAAAGUGAGAAACACAAGUCGAAAUAUAAAAGAACUUUAAAGUGCAGCGAAAUUAACGCAACAACAUUAACAACAAAGAUUAUAGGAAUCACUUCAGCCUGCCUGGGAUACAUACUCGGUGAAAGCGGUGAGGCAACAUAGCGCAGGGCUGUUAUGGUGAUCAAUUUUGGCGCCCCCUGUGGACAAAGGGAUGCUUAAUAUUUCUUGUUCUGCACAUGUGGAAGUUGUGUUUUCUGCCAUAAACUUUACCCUGUUGUCUGUGAGUAAUUGACAUAAAAGGAGGUGAAACAAAAGUUGUUUAUAACCUGCACUCAAUCAUCUGGCCUGACACUCCUUGUUGCUGAUGGUAGUGCUUGCAUUGGAAGGCUAGUCCCUUUCCCAAACAGUUAAAAACUCCUUAUAGUGUCUUUAACAAUAACUAGGAUGGUGCAUGUUUACCAGCAGCCUUUUUUUCUAUUAGAAAGAAGAGAUGCUGUCAAGCUUUAAAAAUAUCAUUGACAACAAAAGCUGGCGUUUCUCGUGUUUGUUUACAACAACAUUCAUAAACCAUGAUUUAUUAUACUCUGUGAAAAAGCCAGCGGUGCAUUAGAGUGAGAGGCGGAAUGAGUCGAGGGGUGCAUUGUUGAUUUUGUCACUCUGCUUUUGUUAACUUUGUCUACUAUAUGUGCACUUCAGGCACAAACUGUCAUUGCCUCGAUGUGUCCUCCUUGUUGUCUUUCCUUGAUGCCUAUCAGUGACAAAACCACAGCUGAAUGACUCUAUAUCAUUUCAUAUAUAAUUAAUGAUGUAGUAAAGAUUGUGAUAAACUGACAGCCCCCCUCCGGUCACAGCAGGUACAGUAAGAGACUGACGUAAAAGUGCAUGAAAACUCGUAUAUAUGUUCAAAGAAUGAUUGUUUAGUUUUCAGAGUUGAAGUAAGGGUAAGUAUUGGGGUGCAUGGUAUUAUCAGGACACUCUUGGUAUUUGCAGGUAGAAUUUUAAGAAAUAAAUCAGCAGUUUUUAAGAUUUCUCUACAUGGGUAUGGUCGCUACAGUGACGCAUCCUCACCUAAUGACAGUAUUCACUCACCAACAAUGUGUUCCGACAUUUUGGCUGUAUGUAAGUAUGUUUUAGGUGGCGGCAAAAGGGGUAUUUGCAAUAGUUCAGAAGCUACAACAAAACUCGUUCAACAUUUCUAAUGUAAUUGUGCAUCUAAAGCACCAUCAUGCCGAAAGGAAAUUUGUCAUUACUAGUUAAAUGAAAAGUUGUUUGUCUUGUUUCUGUCUGUUUCAAAAACAAGUAGACGCUCAUAAAAGGAGUUAUAGAUCAAUUCUUGCACUGGAGAGACUUGGUGUUCUUUACAAUGACAAAAGAGGAGUUCAUAUCAGUAUCUAUAUCAGCAUAUCAGAUAUCUUCAAAAUCCAAUAUCCUGUAUCUCUAUUUUAAUUGCAAGUUAAGCCCUUUUUAUUGCCUUAGUAGCUCAGCAGCAUUGCAUCACAGGAGGAUCUAGGUUGCAUUAUUUAACUAUGGGACUAUAUUAUUUACAUUUUUAAUCUUUAACUUAACUUUGUAAAGAUGACUACUUUUAAACAACUGCGAAUCUAAAUAUUACAUCAAACUAAUGAGAAAGUCCAUCUUUAUUAGUAGCAUUAAAGAUGGGUGCUCAAUGCCAUGAAGAUGUCCUGUGACAAAAAACAGAAACUGCAAACAUACUUAAAAAAAAUCCUGGAUUACAACACGAACAUGUUAACACACAGCUCAUAAAGUAAACACACUGUGUAACUUUCACUGGUGAAAAAUCAACCAUAUGAGACAGAGGAGUAGAUGUCCCUGAUAUCAGUGAGAUGACAGUUAGAGUUAUUCAAAAAGAUAGCUGCAAUGGAUCUUCAUACUCUAAAAUCUUUGUGAUGGACGACCCUUUCAUCUUUGCAUCUGCAGAGAGGAACACUGACAAAGUUUUUCAAAGCCUCCCAGAUUUUAUGUUUUAAGUAUUUUGCAAAAAGUCUGACCAUUCAAAAUAAUGUCUUAGCAUGUAAAAAAGAGCAGCUGUUCAGAGCCCAUAACAUGAGUGACCAAUUCAGGCAUUGAGGGAGCUUACAGUCAGAGUAGUUAAGUAAAGAGUUGAUCUAUUUGAAAUAAGCUGGAGGUUCAUUGCUCUACAAGAAUGAAAAAUUGACACUAAAUUACAAAGUACUUUUAACUUGAGAAAAAAAAGUAAGUUUUAACCUUUUAUUUAUUUAUUUUCCAAGUGAAGAUUGAAUAAAAUAAAGAAAAACACUUGUCAAAAAGAAAGUUUGAAAUGUUGAGUCAGGGAUCAAUCCUUAGAUUUAUUGACAGCAACCUAACCACUUGUGCGCACCUUUCUACCUGAUCACCCAGCUGUGAUUAAUACUUGAUUCUGAUUGGUCAACACCCCUUGGCAACCGUUAUUUAGUUUCAUAACAAAGGCAGUGUGGGGGCAGUCUGUUCACCUUUCACACAUAUUGAAUCAAUCCAAGGAAAUGAGCCAUAGCUUUUACCUCCCCUUGUUGGUGGUGUAACAAACAUGUUCCUGUCCAAUAACACUUGUAGACAACACAAAGAGAGCACAAAGCUUUAGACUGGUGAUUAAUGACUGACCAGUCAUGACUGACCAGUCACUGAAAAAUUUAUCUAAAAAGCAAAGAUAUUAUAUCACCUAGGGUUAAUACAACUGGCUGAGUGAGAAAUAAACAGACAGAAACAUAAUGAGGAAGGGGAUACUAAAACAUGUAGGCUAAGAACCAAAAAAAGGCUCACGUUUGGACAUUAAUGAAUAUAAUAUACAGUAUAUAGUACAUAUAUAUAAAUUUAUGUCCACAUAAGAAAUUAUUUAAAAAAUUACUUUGAUAAUUAAAAACUACUGGAUUAACUGAUGCAUGCCUGACCCUGUAUUUCAUACUUCUAUUCUGUAUCAUGCACCAGUCCUGGAUGUCCAUACUAACCCUCUGCAAAGAUUCAAAGUAAGAGAUACAGGUAUUGGUGUAAUCCCCUUUUCCAACUUCUUUGAACAGCUCUUUUAUUGAACUUUGCCAUACUAGGCCUGAACCUGAUGUCUGGCUCUGCCAACCUAUUUAGGCAAUGCAGAAGUUCACACCCACCCGUCAGCUCCAAUAUACUUCUUUCAGAGACAUGCUCACCCUGUGACAUUAUCGGUCAGCGACAACCUUCAUUGCCACAGCUUGGCUUAUUCUUCCAGCUCUUUGUUGAUUUAGGACAUCUCAGAAAGUUGUUUGAAAGUGUUCUUUUAGUUGAAGAAAUGUCACAGAUGUUCUAGAUGGAAAAGAGCAAGGCACCAGAAAAUAGAGAGAUUUUUUGUUUGGGGACAACAGCCUCAAGGUAGCUCUUUAUGCUUAAAACAUCACUGGUGAUGCCUUUGCAGACAAUAGCCAGGAUAGAGUGGAUUUGCAUAUCAAGUGUAACUGAAACCUGAGGCUAACCUCCUAUUCAGGUUAAGAACCACAAGCAGUAAGGCCCUGUCUGCACGAAAACAAAUUCAGGUGUUUCAUACACACAGAAAAGGUGUUUCAGGUGACUGUAGAUCACACAUUUUGAAAGUGGGUCCAGAGCACACAAGUCCUUAUACACAACUACCGUUUCGUUUCCACGUGGAUGCCUAUCCACAACUUUCUUGAAACAAUUAUGUUACACACAGGGUAUCUUAAGACCUUGGGCGAGUCCAUCACCGACUGCAGCGUGGUGACGCAGCUCAAGGAAGAAUAUUUAUGAUCAUGUCCUCAUGGAAAUGCAAUCAGACCGAGACGCUAAUGCUGAAGAACUACCAUGUCUGCAGUACAAAAUGAUUAAUAUGGUGAUUAUUACUUCAAGGAAAUGAUAAAGUAAUGAUCAUAAAUGUUCUUCCUUGAGCUGUGUCACCCCGCUGCAGUCGGUGAUGGACUCGUCCAAGAUCUCCCUACAAACAAGCGGCUGCUGGAAGAGAGUAGGUGAGUUGUGUUUAGUCUCUUUGCUAAAGAAAUUAGGCAACGUAAAAAGAUGUUUGGUGGCUAGUUAUAUGGCUGGGACCCUAUAUGUACUGUUGAUGAAGUUAGGUGCUGUUCUGAGCAUUAUUUGUGGCUAUAGAGUUGCGUUUUGGUUUUGGCGUGUGGCUCCUGGGACUGCUGUGUAUUGCUAUCGUGCUGUCAUUACUAAAGUUGGUAUAACUAGAGAAGCAAGCGCUUGGCAACAUUAAUCUCCUGAAGGGCUGUCUAACUUGGUGGUGCUGUGUUUGACCCUAACUUAAUUUUAUAAUAACUUAAUAAUAUCCCUUUAACACUUGUACUCUGACCAGUAAAACUUAGUAAAAGCUCUGCAAUAAACUUACCAGACUGAGUAUUUGUGUUCAACCAUGUAUUGAUGCAGACCAGACAGAUUCUUCUCUGGCAGAGACUCUUGAGUCCUAAGAUUAAUCAAACCCUGUCUGUUUUACAAAAAAGUGUCUCACUCUGCAGCAGCUGAUCUCAUGGUCCAUCAUCAGAAAAAUGAGUUGUCCUAAUUCAUGAAAGCUAAUUUAUCAUUAUCUGUCCUAACAUCGGCAUAUCAACAUCUGUCUUAAAGAAAUGGCAAGGUUUUUGUCUUUUUUCCCUAAGUGCUUGUUCUGUCAAGUUGUUUGGGUGACGGCUUUGAUGCUCAAAGCUUUUUGGAAGAAAAAAAUGCCAUCAAUCCCCCUCAUUGUUUGCACACAAUCUGUCAUUCCCAUCCUUCCAUCCAUGUGCACAAACCCUGCUGCAGAACGAUUAUGUCUAUUGACCAGGACAGAUGGGUCAUGAACGUCUGAGUUCAGACAUUCUGAAUGCCAGCGCACAAGCGCAACACAAUGGAACCGAAUACGAUACGGCUUCAGUGUGUGUUCAGAUGUGACACUGCCAUCUGCCAUCAUCAUCGCAAAUGCUUUAUGAAAAAUAAGAAAACUCAAGUUUUAAGCAGAAACAUAAACCCAAAGUUUGUCAGGAGUCUGGACUGCAGGGUUUCUGUCCCUUUGUGCAGCUGACUUUUUCUAUUUUAUAUUAACAUUGACAACAGAAAGAACAGCACCGCAGGGUCAACUUUCAGCAGAUAAAAAAGACGUGUGAGGAUGUUACAUAGAGUGGGUUUCAGGUCAAAGGUCAGUAAUCAGACAAGUCUGAUGCAUGCUGUAUGAAGAGUCAAAGAAUUUAUUAAGUCGACUGUUGUGAAAAAUUACAAACCCCAAUUUCAGUGAAGUUGGAACGAAAUGAAUAAAAACAGAACACACUGAUUUGCAAAUCGUUCUCAACCUUAAUCAAAUUGAAUCGACUACAGAGACAAGAUAUUUAUGUUCAAACUGAUUAACUUUAUUGUUUUUUGCAAAUAUUCACUCAUUUUAAACUUGAUGUCUGCAACACAUCCCUAAAAAGUUGGGUCAGGGUCAUGUUUAUGGCUGUGUUACAUCACUUUUUCUUUGAACAACGCUCAAUAUGCAUUUGUGAACUGGGUUUUGGAGGUGAGAUUCUUUCUCUUUCUUGCUAGAUGUACAUCUUUAAAUUGUUCAACAGUUCAUGGUCUCUGUUGUCGUAACACACACAGAAUGUGGGUCGGCAUUGUCUUGGUGAAAUAAACAAGGAUGUCCCUGAAACAGACGUGGCUUGGAUGGCAGCAUAUUGUACGUUUCUUCAAAACCUGUCUGUAAUAAAAGAAAAAGAAAAAGAAAAGAAAAGAAAACAACAUUACCCUCCCAUAAGAGAAAGCUGCUAUGGCGUACCCUGUGAAACACAUUGAUAUUGUUAUUAUUUUUUAAUGGGUAAUGCUUAAACACAUUAAGAAGUAUACAGAGGAGCGUUUAUGAAAUGUCCGGUACAGUUAUUACUCACUGAUGUCCAGUAAUCCCAUGUUCAUGAUGAUGUCAGUUUUAAUGUGUCAGUUUUAAGAGCUCAAAGGUCAUGGGUAUUCACUGUUGGUUUCCAGCCUUGCUGCUUACAUGCAGAAACUUCUCUGGAUUUAAUGCGUCAUCACUGACAGUCCUAAAAUCUAUACUAAUGAUAAAUCAAACGGCUACUUGUAAUGUGUAACGGCUUUCUGCACCACCAACCUGCACAAAGGUAUUCUGACAAUUCUACUUCUUUUAUUCAUGAUUGUCAGCAGAAAAGUCAGUAGUGCUGCAACGCUUUAUCGAUUUGCUGUGCGUUUUAACUGCAGUUUUAUUUUCUCAUCCAUAACAAAAUAUCUGUUUUGACUAAGGUGAUUGAUCAGGGCAUUAGAGAGGCUCAGACUAAAUCCAACCAAACACCUCUGUCCACCAGCCGUUCUACUGCCACUGUUGUAGGCCAUACUUAUCUUUUCUAUAUGCGAUAUAAUAAAACUGACCAUCACAGUUUCAAAUCAGUGAACAGCAUCUUGACAUAAAUGAUGCAACACAACAAGCAGCGGUUGUAGAGAUGGUAGGUGUAAGCAUUAGUGAGCUAUUCCAGCUAUUUGUCUUGAUUCAUAUCAUUAAAGGUCUCCUAUCACGGCAUUUUUCACCAAGUUUAAAUCGGUCCCAGAGGUCCCACAGCAGUUAGCCAACCUGUACCCCCCGCCUUUUGAGCUCCACUGAGAACAGACUGAUUCUGCGCCUGUACCUUUAAAUGAUAAUGUACUGUGUGUAACUGUAACUGUCUAGAGGACCUCCAGACCACCGCUGCUGGAAGUACCAGCCUGCCUCCGCGCCCCCAAGGAACACCCGUUGCUCAGGAAUAAAAGUAAAUAGAAGCGACUCUGAAAACGAAUACCAACGAUGGUAAACACACGUGAUUGUCAGGCAUAGCACUCAUCAUACAGGCGGCGGUAGACCAACAUAAAAUGGCCCCUGACACAGACAGUCAGUACGGAUUCAGGUUGUAUCUUCAGCUUCUUAGCGAAUCCUGCUUUGAUCUGCCACUGUAAGACAGUCCGUGGUGAAAUGGUUAGUACACACAAACAACAUUUCAGAGUUGUUGUGGGUACAUUUCCAUAACAAAUAAAAUCAAUCCGCUGGGUCCUCAAAUCUUCCGACAAAGGAGGCAGAAAUAGACUCCUGUCUUCGUUUGUGCAGCCAAGAACCACGCAGCGGCUGGGUCGUAGCUUUGACAUGGUUGCUGUACCGGAGCAACCAGCAUAUGUGAGGGGAAAAAAUGGCAGACGCUACCUCAGUAAAGAAGUUUUAGAGGGAUGGGGUAACGAUUAUCAGGGGCGCUGGCAACAACAUGUAGGAGAGGCUUAUGCGGUCAUGUUGUCAUAGCGGUUAUGUCAUCAUAACUGCUUAACCCUUAUAACCGCGUAAGUCAUAACCACAUAAGCCUUUCCAUCCACCCAUUUGCGCUCAUGUUUUCAGAGAGGAGGGGAAAGCAAGAGAGGGAGAGAAUGAAAGUUUUUCAUGUAGAGGAGGGUUGUCGGCUUUGAGGGGGAUGCAUAUUAUUGGUAGAAAACCACCAAAAAGUGGAUUUUUCAUAAUAGAGGACUUUUAAUAUCCAAACUUUAGCUUUCGCAGAAUCUGAUUAAUAAAGAGUGGCUUUUUGUUCCUUUUACAUUCUUUUAUGGACAAAGGUCAUUUCCUGCUCUUUAAGCUGAGUUUCCUGAAGGACAUUAGAUCCAGUCACACCUUGUGAUUUUGAGUGUUUUGUAACCUCUAUUCAGGGUCUCAGUUGACUUACAUAGUAGUCCAUUUUACAGCUGUUCCAUUAUGCAUGUCUUGACACCAACAGGGACUCAUAUUUCCAAACAAGCGCUGACCUUUUCACCAAAACAGAGUGAAGAGGCAUCAGAGAGUAGGCUGUUUGCAUUAGAUUAGACCAGAGUUAUCUAACCAAACACCAACAUUUGGUGCCUUUGACCAUGAUUUGAACAAUUUUGGCAUUUAUUCAGCUCUUUGCUGUCUUAAGUUGUUAAAAGAAAAAGAUAUGUGAGUACGAACCGUAAGAAUGAUCAUUUUCAUCAUUUUGAUAAGAGCAGGAUGUUAACUGAUUUAUUUUAGAACUUUUGCUGAAUGCCACAUUGAGAUAACUUUCAACUAAAUCAGAUAGAGAGCACUUCACAUAGACAAUGAUGAUGAAUGAAGAAAUGUGACUGAUCAGCCGCAUGAUAUGAUCCUGUGAUCAAAAAAUGAUCAAAGUUUGGUAGUGGAGCUGAGUUUCACCUGAAUCACAAUCUACCUGACUGUAAAGCUGCAGCACCUGAAGAAUCAAAGGAUUUUAUGACGGUCCAAACUAUAAAAAUGCGACGCAAGUUCAACUUUUAAAUAUGAAUACUGUAGCUGAAUAUUUAAUUUCAUGGUUUUGAGUCACAUGCUAUACUAGGUAGCUAGUAGGGGUCAUAUCUAUUUCAUUUCACAGUUUUGUCAGAUAGAUCUAAUUCUAAUUGGUCAAUACAACAGUCUUCAACAAGGGCAGACAAUCUACAACAGCUUGAAUAAUCUCCAUUGGGAGGAAUGUUCUGCAAGUUUAAAAACACAUGCAAAGGCAAAUACAACUCAAGCACACAAACACACUGCAGAAGAAUAAGACAUGCUGGAAAAAGCAGAAACAACCCCUGGUACAUAUAGGAAAUAUUGCUUUAUUAAGUAGGUAAGUUGCUGAAAGUGAAAUGGAUGAAAAGUGCAGUUUAAUGAGGGAUAGCAUGACAGGCAUGAUGCACAGUUGUGGUUUCACCAUUGGCCAAGUGAAGACCUCAAAAAACAUUUUCCUGACUUUUUCUCUUGCAACGUUGGGUCAUUGUGACCUAGAAAAAAAUAUUCAUCCCUUUAUCACAAAUUCAUGACUUUUGAUUUUUCUCCCUCAGCUCUGUCUCUUUUCUCUUUUUUUUAAUGGUCCUGAAAAGCUAAUAUAAUUUGCACUUAUGCACAAUAUAUAAACAUCAAGAAGUACUUCAGGUUUGAUUGCUACAGCUUUAAAACCGAGACAACUCAUGAGCUCAUAUUUGAUUUUGUUGCCAAGCUACAAAUUACACAGAGUUUUUGCCAGUUUUUACACCAAUAAUCAUCCCAGUACUUGCAGGUAAGGUGAUCCAGGGACUGUGUAGUAAAGCUUCACGCAAUUUUCUUUAUGUUUGGUCAACUGUCAGUCCUCCACCCCUUGGGAGAUAAAUAGGGAUAUAUGUGAGUGGAUGUAGCUCUAUUUACAUAUAGUACUCUAACUGAACUACCAAGCAAUAAAAGCCCUUUUGAAAUUUAUGUCCUGUUUACCUUUUAACACACACACGCACACACGAACACACAAGCAUACACUUUAUAGAGCCACACAAGACCUUUUAUAAAAUUUUUAUUUGCACUAUAAAAGGCUGCCUUCAAGAGCAAUUUGAGGUUUAGUAUCUUACCCAAUGACACUCAGACGUGGACUGGAGAAGCUGCAUCGACCUGUGCCGCCAUCUAAACACACAGUACAUGUGAGCUGCAGCAGCUUUUUUGUUUGUUUCACAUUAAUGGUUUAUAUUGCUCAUGAACAUUUCUCAUUUUGUCAUAACCCUUUUUGAUAUCAUCAACUGAGAAAUUUUUUAUACAGCAGGUAAAAUAAGUAUUGAACACAUCGCUAUUCUCCUUAGUAAAUAAAUUUCUAAAGGUGCUAUUGACAGGAAAUUUUCACCAGGUGUCGAUAAUAACCCAUGCAAGCAACACAUGUAAAGAAAUCAAACCUUAGACGUCCUUAAGGUCAGGUUAUUGGCUGGACCAUUCUAGCAGCUUUAUUUUCUUUCUCUGAAAUCAUGUCAGAGUUUCCUUGGCUGUGUGCUCUGGGUCAUUGUCCACCCUCGUUUCAUCUUCAUCAUCCUUUAUGAAGAAUGUCUCAGUAGAUUUUUCCAUUCAUCCUUCCUUCAAGUAUAUGAAGUUUGCCAAAGCCGUACACUAAAAAACAGCCUGACACCACAACAUUCCCACCUCCAAACAUCAAUGUUGGUAUUUAAGGUGACAUGCAGUGCCAUCUGACCUCCAAACAUGGUGUAUAUUUAUGGCAUCCAAAGAGUUCAAUUUUGGUCUCAUCUGACUACUAGACUAUAUUCUCCCAGUAUAAUUACUGAUGGAUUUUAACAGGUGUCUCAGCUUUACAUGCCUUUUUACACCUCAGUUUCUUCAUGUGUUCAAACCUUUCCUUUUUUUUUUUUUUACACAUAACUGAAAUGAUGGCUGUCUAAGACUUCAUUUCUUUGCAUGUGUAGGUUGCAUGGAUUAUUACCCACAUCUGGUGAAAAUUUCAUGUCAACAGUACCAUUAGAAGUAUAUUUACAGAGAAAAACUGUGACGUGUUCAGUGCUUACUCUACCCGCUGUAUGUGUGUAGUGGCACCUGAACUUUCUUCUCCUUCUCAUCUAAUACCAUAGCAUUGGUCAGUUUGUACACAUGAAAUGACAAAAAACUGAACCCGACCUAUCCUGGUUAUUAAGGGUUUUACCAAUCAUCUAAUGUGUGUUAAAGGGAAACCAGGAUGUCAAACCUUUAUCAUAGCAUCCAGCUAGUAUAAACAAGCAUAAGACUCCUGCUGGAAACAAAGGCCGACUGUCUAUCCCAUGAUCUCUACUGAGAUUAUGGACUGUAAAAAAGCACUAAAGCUGCCAGCCUUAUUUCUACUUACUUCUUCCAACUUCUCUCACAUAUAUCUUAGGCCAUCUGGGAAAUCCGACCCCUUCAACCUGCACCAUUUCAUCGUCACACCUAGAUUCCUGGACAAUUGCAGAGCCCCAUCAUCCCAUCAUAUCUGAGGUAUGCCUUGUGAGACAGUUCCCGCACAUGUAGGUCUGAGACUGUAGUUCAGAGUCAGUAAUACAUCCCAGAUCUCAAUUUCAGCCAUCUGGAGACUCAUCAUCAGCUGACUUCUUGUGGAAUUUUUCCAUGUCAAAAACAAAAAGAAGAGAGACAGCUGUAUCUGUGUAGAAGUAAUAACUCGAUAAGAGCCUCCUGUGAUCAUGGGAUGUAUAUGUGUGAACUGCAGAGUGUUUGUUUGUCCUGAGUGUCAGCUGAAUAAGUAGACACAGUGAGAUAUUAAAUCUCUACCUUGUUCCCCACACAGCAUACUUUAAAAAGAAAAAGUUACAAGAUGUGUUUGCAUAUGUGUCUGUUCUAAUUCGGAUUUUAUCUCUUUGUGUUAACUCUGUGUAAGGUUCCUACACACUUUUUGAGAUCAUAUUUAUGACUUCUCGGGACCUUUUUAAGACACCAAAUUAGAAAAAUUUUACACUAUUUUUGUGUAGCAGAGAAAGGACACUUUACACAAGUAAAUCAGAUCAAAACUUGUGUUAAUAUCAAAUCCUAAAAACUACAUCUCCUAAUUAUUAAAGAUUUUUUCAACAUACUUUCAAGUCACCUAAAAUUUUUAAUUCCCCCUUACAACCAUAAAGCUGGAAAAAAAAUGUUAAGGACUAGAAUUUCCAACAUAUAAGACAUGUUACAGAGGAAAAUCAUGUUACUAUAAAGAAUGACACUCUAGAUAUAUUUACAGUAGCUUGUUAAUUUGUUAUAAUAUAUCAAAAAGGUGUAAUUUAGUAGUUGGUCAUAACAUGAUUUCCAUCAGCUGCUCUGUGAAGCUGAUGUUGCUGUGUUUUAUCACCUGCUGAGUCGGCUUGUGUUCCUCUGUCAUGAAGUGUUUCAUUGCAGUGCAGUCUGUGGUUAUAGCUCUAUCUGCAGAUGAUCAUGACUCAUGACAAAUGCACAUUCUCCUGUACUUUACUUGCCAAAUAUAAAUACAGCUGGCUCAGCAGGGUAGUAAACGAAACAUCGAUAAACUGUUUGGAUCAGUAAUACGUCAACCCAGAGAUGACCCGAUGGUCACAAACUGUAAGGGCUCAUGUCGCCACCUACUGAGCUACAACUGUAGCUCAACUUGACUGUGCAUGUAAACAUACUGAUGGACUAGAGUGAAAGUUGUCAACGAUAACGAGGUCUUCUCUAUCUGUGAUUGCUUAUGUUAAAAUCAAAUUAUAAUAGUAUCAUUUUUGCUGGUCGCUGACUAUAUUAGCUCUUUGUUUUGGUCUGAUGACCAAUCAGAGGCUGUAUGUGCAAUCAGCUGAUCUGUAGAGGACCAUCAGAAACAAGGCUUUCUGUGUCUCAGUAGAGCAGUUGAGGUAAUGAAACUUGUGAUAAAUUAGUUGUUUUUCAUACUACAAUUGUGUAUGGGCCUCAUUUUUUAUGUAUUCUCUUCACACAGAAUCCUCUGGAACUGAUAAAGGGAAGUGAUUAAGCACUGCAUUGAUAAGAUAAAUCGCAAAUGGCUUUGGCAUCAAUCAAAUCUUAUCAGUUCCCAUCUUAUUAGCUCACUUUGCUGCUCCAUACUUGGCUCUGAAAAUGCAGCAUGAGCACAGGCGAAAGAACCACAGUCUGGCAUUAGUCAUCACCAGCGUAUAAUAUCUGGCUGUUUAACUGCUAAAUGCUCUGUAUCACCAGGUGGCUGCUCUGAGUAUCCGUCUGCUCUUUUCUCUUUCAUGUCAUUUUAUCCUUAGUAAUAAAAACUUGUCUUGUCAAGGUAACGACUCUUCCUGGUUUGGGAGCAAUUAUUAAAAAUAGUAAAUGGGUGUAAGUCAACUUAAAUAUUGACCCACGUUCUUUUUAUAACACGGUCCAUAUGAUUUUACAUUAAUGGAAAAAAGAAGAGUAAAAAAUCAUAACUAAUUAUACAAGAUUUUUCUCUUACCAAAAUUGGCUCAGUAUUUGGCACAAAUCAAGAAAAUAACCACGAGCUUGUGAUGCAGCAGCAUAACAGGACAGGGCUUGAGAUCUGAGUCUAUUUUGUGAAAACAAGAAUUGCAAUUUGGCGUGUUAUGCUGUUGACAGAGCGCUGAAAGAGAAGGAGCUUGGACUUUGUUUUCCAUGGACUGUUUCUGAAUCAGAUACAUCAGAGAUGUCAACAUCCAUUCUCCAAUUUGUGUCUCUCCACAUAUUGCAGCAUGCAGAGAGAAGACAACCACUAGGGUAUGUAAGAUAGGAUCAAAUUGGUGCCCAUGCAACAAGUCUGCUUCUCACCGGUUGUCCACUUUUUUCAAUUAUCUGGCUCCGAAACUUAGCGAGAACAUUACAUGUCUGUCCCACAGAACAAAAGUGUCCUGAAGGGUGGAGCGCCUGUGCCAUCUAUAAUCAUUUAGGUGUCACUUUGCUCCUGAGCAAUCAGAUUAACUCUGAUGGUGAUGGACGUGAGAGGAAUUGGUAAUAACUCCAGAAGUCAAGUCACACUGUUUGGCGUAGUCUGCUUAUUCAGAGUGAAAAAUGGCCUUAGACAGUUAAGUAAACACAAGAAAGUGGUGCCGUUCAGGACAAUUUUGGUUAGCUUUCUCAUAUAACCCAGAGUGAAACAUUGAACAGGCUGCUAUGUCCUCAUUACAAACCUAGAAAUGAAGUAACUGUGCAUUGUUGUCAAUCAAAUCUUUAGUAGAUACAUCUUUUAUCUGGUUGCAUGACACAAAUUAUUCCAAUAAGCAUGAAAUGAUGACCAUGUUACAUCUUCUUGUUCCACUUCCACUGAUGUUCAAGUGUAAAUUGAGCAAUUUCAAUGAUUUACGCACUCUAAAAGAGACACGGAGGCAAUGCAAUUUUACAGCUUUGCCUGUAUGAGAACAAAAUCAUCUGUAAUAAUGUUUGAAAAUAGCUGCUGAUAGUAAAGGGUAUAAUUUAGAGCACAUUUAGCAUCACCUACAUGUGCAGUUUUUUUGUUGUCUCUCAGAAAUCAUAUCUUUUAUUUUUAAAAGAUGUUUGACUCAGUAAUUUACUCUUUCUCAGUAGUGAUGUAUUUUAACACCAGAGGAUGCUGCUCCAGUCCAAAUCAAGUCCAAGUCACUGGGUUGAGUCAUCAUCUGUCAAAGCCAACAUAAUUAUGGUGCAACAUGAAGCAAACAGCUGCAGCAAUUACUAAUGUUGUUUAGUGAUUUUUGCUUUCUAUUUAUCUUGAAAGUGGGAUGAAGUAGCGGGGAACAAUCCCACAUUUCAGCGGACCUUGCUCUAGAUGCAAGAUGGAAAGGCUAUUUAACCAUUAGCUCUUUAUGUUGUUAGCAUUGUUUGCUAAUACAUUGUUUAAUAUGACCCUUUGGGUGCCUUUAAGACCUGAAGUGUCAGGGGGAUUUCUCAGAUAAGUGUUAUGGGGUGCUCACACCAAACGCAAGUAAAAUCAUCUACUCGCUUAAUUUGCGCAAAUCUAGACGCAUGAAUGAAUAGUAUUACUCGCUUCAGUCGCGUUUCAACAGUAAUUUUAACGGUAAUCCCUGGCCAUUCAACCAGCGGGGUCAAGUGAUAGACAAAGGUUUUUUUACAAUUUACCAGGUAAUCUUACCUCCUCAGUUACUUGCCUCCAGACGAGCUCCUUUUUAUUCCAGUUUCGGUAGUUGAAAGACAAGGUAUCAUAUAAUUCGGGGCACCCACACAACGACACAAUCAGUUUGUCAUCCAUUUAAGAUACCAGUUAACAACCGUCUGUUUUCAUACGUCACCCGGCAACCUUUGUAUUGAUUAGUUAACAUGACACAAAAAUACGCUCAGCAUAUUUUCCAGCUCACGCCCAAUUUGCAUCGUUCGCGCCGCCAGAGUAGUAGGAGUGUCUAAUCGCGUCUUUACAUUGACUUAACAUGUAAUUUAUUUGCCCUAAUGAUUUUACUGGUGCUUGGUGUGUGGAGACAGUUCAGGGUUUUGAUAUGUACAGUGUUAACCACACUUCCCCUGUUCACCAAAAUUAUGUGUUGGUAUUCAUAAGUGUAUAAAAAAACAGAUUGAACAUAUAAACACCACUGAGGGCCACUUUAUCAACCGUUAUGCCAUGGCCAUUGAUUGAGUAAAAGCAAAAAUGCCUGAAAAUAUGUCUUUAACAAAACCAGAAAAGAGCAGAUGAGUUGUAGCAGCAAUUUCUUUCACGAAAUGCCAUUGCACAUGCACUGAUUGUUGUGUUUCACAAGGGAAUUCAAACGUUUUUAAUCUCCUGGUGCAAGGUUGGAAAAGAAGAAAAAGUCAUGUUUGAAGGGUUUGCCUCAAGUGUCUAUUUUUAAAAUAUUGAUCAUUUUAUUUCAAUUAAAAUAGCCUUUAAAGGAGUUUAAUUUACCUGGCAUUUUUGAUGUGUCUCUUUUUUGAAGAGUCGAUAAAGCUGCUCAUAAAAGCAGCUUCUCCUUUCAAAGCUUUAGCCUCUGCUUGAGUCAUCACGCCGAAGGUUUUUCAGUCCAAAAUCACCCUGAGAAAGUUUUUAGUUUAUCAACUGGAACUUCAACAGAAUACCCAGAAAUACAAUAUUCUUUUAUUAUUUCGUCAUUUGAAGUUGAUUAUUCUUUCAGAUUCAGUGAAAACAAUGUCACUCAGACAGACUAGGGUGAACAAUAAUGAACAGUGAUUAACAGAGGUUAUUGGAAAGGAACACAGGUGUUGUUUUGAGGGGGAAGGCAGUCAGUUACAGUCGUGCACUUUGCAGCACCGCCACAUUUGAAUCAUUAGCUUCAGACUUAAUCAUGUCAGGCAUGCCAGGUCCCCAGGGAAUUGGCAUUAAUUAUCUUCUGUUUGUUCCUCCUGACUUUCAUAUUUUCACUUUCAGGUCAUUAAUCUUACAUAACCCUUUUAGCCGGGUUGAGUGUAGUAGUAUGAGGGAUGAAUUCAGAGUAAAAAAUGGCAGAGAAAGUCUGUCUGUUCUCACUUUAAAGCAUGUUGGGUGUUACUCCAUCCAGUCGCGCUACUUGUCUACUUUGUUAGUGUGGUUAGCAUGAGACAGACUAACUAUUAUGUUCUAUGACAUCCCGGUUUUUCUUGUAGCUGUUAAUUGAAUUCUGGCGAAGCUGAUCAGAAACCAUCUGCAGGCAGAGUAGCAAGAGGCCCGUGAUCUUUUCUUUUGACAAAUCUCAUUUCCCAGAAAAAAAAAAGAAAAAAAGAAAUCAUUUUCUCUGCUGGUAAAAAGACACAAAUUCUCGCUAAUUUAGUUUCACUUGUAUACAAAAAUUAAACAAAGACAUGCUCAUGAGGAAAUCAAACCCAAGCUCUGCAAAUGAUUUACAUAAUGAUGUUGUCUGAGUGCUCUUUUUGGCCAGACGAGUCAAUAAGAGUGUCUGUAGCUGUAAAGGACGCUUCUAGGAACUUUCUGUUUGCUCUACGAGAAAACAGAAUAACUACUCUGGAUGAAUGUUUAAUUUGUUCUUGCAUUUUAACUCUGUGGAGGUUUGAAAAAGCUUUUUUUUUCUUUCCAUUUUCAUUUCUGGCCCCUCUAAGUGCCUCACUUUUUCUACUUUUUGUGCCACUGCAGUGACCACGUCGUAACAACCGUACCCAGCUAGUUACAAACCUUUGUCUCAUAUAGCAAACGCAGUGCAUAGGGCCUCAUUGUCUAUAAGCGCCCUUAUGUUUGCCCAAGUUCACACUGGGGGCUGCCUGCUCUUCAGGCUGGUGUCUGCAGUGUGAUAUACUCUAUAUUACUUUAGAAGUGCUCCUGUUAACCAUCACACGCACUUGUUUACACACACACACAAACUGUGCUGACAGGCACUCUUACUUCAUCCCCACUGUAAAUACACAGAGGUUUUUUCUUUGUACUGUGUACUCACUGUCAGUUGUGUUGUUGAGUCAGACAAGCUGUCUCUACCAAUUGGAAGUAUGUAAAAUUCAUAACAUACUGCUGAUAAACUAACAAGUCAUCAGAUAGUAAGAAACAGAGGGAGGCUUGAAUGUAGCUAGAGAAAUGUGAUCAAUGACCCACCUACUUAUUUAGAUUUAAUUAUUAGAUUCAGAUUCAAGUUUAUUCUAUUAUUUCAAACAAAAGUCCAGCUUCUUACCUGUUUUUAACCACCUUACUUUUGAAGACAUUUUAAAAGAAAACAUCUUGAUUAAAGUAUCAACAGUUUUUGUUUAUUGAUUAUUAAUUUGAGAUUUUUUUCAUUCACAAAGUAGCAAGGCUGAGUCUGACACAGAUUUAACAAAUUUUGCGCAGAUCUCAGCUUCAUUGUGCUGAGAAAUCUUUAUUUAGAUUUUAUUCAGCCAUCAGAAAAGCUCACUCUACUUUCGAAAUUAGUGGGUGCAACACAGAUAUCCUCUCCUGCCUUCAGAGCAAUGAUUAAUUAUUUUUCAAUCAUCUGGCCUCAAAGAUAGAAAAAUAUGACCAUACUAAAAAAAGAGUGAUUCUGACAGCACCAAGGAUGUGCUUUUUACCACAGGAGGACACGUUUAUGAACCAGAAUGUUACUGGGAAACACAAUGGUUUGUCCAGAGGUCAUCUGAUGAGCAUCUAGUAACCUAGGUAACCAGUCCAGCCACAUCUAGUAUAUCAUUGGUUAGCUGGAGCAGCACCUUGCCAAACAAUUACUUACAAGCUAACCAAACCAAUUGCUAGCACGUCAACACUAGUUCAUGAUCGCCUUACUGUCUCUCAGCUUUAAGCACAUUCAACAGCACAAACGAGCGACGGGGGUGACACGCAUGUACACUUUUAUUGACAACAUUAAUAGUCACACCCCUACCCUGCAAAUGCUCACCGUGCAUCGCUCUGAAUGAAAAAGAUUAAUUGCUUCCCUGCGACUCAACAUGUAGCAAGAGUACUGCGACCUUUCAAAAUUUUACCUAUCAAAGACGCACGGCAUGUACCUAGCAACAUCACUGAAUGGUUUAGUGAUGGCAGCUUCACCUGUCAGAGCACGCUGUCCACAUGUCCUUGGCUAAAACACUUGACCCCCACCUGCCCCUGCUGGCGGUGCCCAGUAUUGUGUGUGAAUGUAAAAGAACUGAUGGGCUGUAUAGAAAGCAACCGCUGCCUUUAGUCAGGUUCAGUGUGUGAAAGUGGUGUGAAUAAGUGAAUGUGACAUGUAACAGAAAAGCAGUUGGACUGGUCAGAAGACUUGACAAAGCACAUAAACAUAGUCCAUUUACCGACUAGACCAUUUGAAGUCAGUGUUUUGUAACAAGGCAGUAUAGACUACAGUCUAGUGGUUGGAUAAGUGGCUCUGUAGGACCAGGUUCCCACAUUAAAAAAUGUUCAUCUGUUUUAUAUGUAUACUACAAUCUGUUCCUCCAUUGUCUUCACUUUUUUUUGUUUGUUUGUGUUAUGUAAAUCACUUUAAAUUACUUGUGCUUUACAAGAAAACUCACUUGAGCAGAGAAUCCACAGAGACAAAGAAGUGAGCAGAACAGAACAGAUAAUGAGUUUUUCUAUUGUUUGAUCAAAUAUUUUUUCAAGGACGAUCAGGAAGCAACCCCCCUCCCCGACAACAAUCUCCCUGGCCCUCCCCUGCCCCCUUCUCCUACUUUUCUAGCAUGUUUUGAAACAACCAUACAUCUCUCCAAUACAUGUGCAGUUAUCCCUUUUCCUCCUGUCGUCUUUGUUACCUCUCUGGCUCUGGCUUCCUCUUUGUCUGAGUUGUCUUUCUCCUGCUGAUCCCCUGACACUUCCAACACACCCACCUAUUCAUCCCUACUUCUUCUCCUAUGUAUUGCGUUGUGUAUUGUGUAUACAGAAAAAAGUUUUCAACGUGUCCACAUACCUGAGAGGAUUGGGAAAACACAUGUUGGGCCUUAUUCUUUAGAAUAACCAGGGACUUGUUUAUCAAAGAUAUGUUUUUCUACUACAUAGUCAACAGGCUGGGGAGAAAUCAUAAACUUUGUGCAUAUGCUAGACUCUUGUCCUUGCUAGUCUGGAUUAACUGCCAUUAUUAAGGGAUUAUAAACAACAAUAAUAAGGUAUUUAUGCAGCUGGGGGAUUAAUAAGAAAUCUGAAAAAUAAGUGCUGAUGAAGUAAAGUGUUAAAGACAUAUCCUCAGGGAUAACUUAAGUGAUGAUUAUGUUGUGCAGCACAUGUAACAAUCUGUGUGUACAAGACAAUGCCGGCAGGUGUUUUAUAUGUGCACAGUUUAUGUGAAAACCGAGUCCAAGGUACAUAAUUUUAAACUGCCCACUUAUGGUCCAGUCAUAGUAGAGCUGAAAUUAAAAGCUUCAGAAAGCAUAUAGUGGUGCAGUUUGAAUUACAGCACCAAGAUGAACAAGCGCAAUCAAUUUGUUUCUUUUCAAAUGAUCGUCCAAUUUAACACACUAGACUCAGAAACUCCAUAUUCAUGUUUGAUUACCAUGACUCUAGAAAUGAAAUCAUGAUACCACUCUCUCAGCCAACACCAAGUUGCACAGAGUUUUUCUUGCUUCUGAAAAAAAAGAAAGAAAAAAAAACAUUGACUUUUUUGUUCAUGCUUCAUAGUCCUUGUACAACAUAAUGAUUUUAUUCUUUUGCUGUAAUUUGUCAGGUUAGUUUGGUCCCCAAAGUGGAGAUUUUUGACUUUUACUUAAUAGCUUCUGUUGUGUUUUGAUUCUGACACAGACCUUUGUGACUUGACUAAACUGAUUUAGUAAAAAAAAAAAGAACAACUGUUAACUUAGAGGUUGUUUUAAUUCUGUUUAGUUGUUAUGUGCUCAUUAUGAAGCCAAACUUGUUGGCUCAGCUUGUACCACUGCAUGUGGUCUUGUAUUUUCAACAUCAAUAUUCAUUUAAACCAGUAGGUAGCCUCACUUUAACCUGAUGAUGAAUGAGGACAGCUGUCAAUCACAACUACACUGACAUGUUUCAAAGAUGGAGGGCAAAGGUGAUCAUCCCACAUAACGUGACUUUAAAAUAGGUCAAGUAACUAACACUUGAGUUAGAGUUAUGAUGCCAGUUUUGAAAUGAUGAUUAUCAAUGCAGCAAAGUCAGUUGAUGUUGAAAGUUAGGGAGCAAAUCUGAUUGAAAAUAGCAGCUUCCAGGAGAAUGACAGAGGAAAAGAAUUUGAAGCUAAAAAGCGGGAUGAGGGUAUGCUCAGGGCUGUCAUCUAUCUGAACACCUUGGAGAUCAUAUGACAUAUAUUAUACAGUACUGUGCCUACCUCUGACCUGUACCCCAGCCUUGGCUGGUGUAGACAAAUGAUACAUCGUAAUGGACUGUCACUGCAGCACAGAACAGGUCUCGCCUACACACACGCCCUCAGACUGCGACGAGGCACUGCUGUCUUUUCAGACAAACUGUCAUCAUAAAGCACAGUGUUGUUUUUUCACAUACCAACUUCUGUCAUUGCACACAAUGUUGUGCUUAUUUUGGCUAAUAUUUUCAAAAUCUAAAGUGACCUGGUAAAAUGAUCAAAGAUUUUUAUCGUUGAUUUUCUUUUGCAAAAACAAGAUACACAAUUUGAGGCAUUUAGAGUUUGUUCUGUGCACUAAUGAAGCAUCAAAUUGAUUCACUGUCAGCAGGGAAUAAACAAAGUAGAAGUAAAUCUCUAAAUUCCCGUUCAACAAAAUCUUUUCGGCCCAAAUAAGCCUGGCUUUAAGUAGAGCCUCUCUAUUGAAAUUCACAACAGGUGAUGGGAUCACUGCAACUGCGGCUCUCAGCGGCUGCUCACAUCAAUUUCAAAACUUUGAUGUUUGCUUAUAAAACAGAAACAGAGAAAGCCCCCCUGCUUACCUUGAAACCCUAAUUCAUGUCUGCACCUCCUCCAAGAAUCUGCUGACAAAAGGUGCCUAAUACUAAAACAGGGCCUGAGUCUCCUCCUUUGGCCCCAGUAGUUUAAUGAAAUAUCCGACUCAAGCUGACGCGCAGAGCUCCUCUCCCAACAGAAAAGUUAUAGACCCAGCUCUUACAAGAAAACACACUCAAUGAUGUUAACGCUGGUAUGAUGUUAAUAAAGAAAUUGAUGCUUCUAACGUGGAUUUGGAUACUCAUGGUGAUGAUGGCGAUGCUUGUGGCAAUGCUACCAGGGCUAUGACACGUCUAAUGCUGCGUUCCAGUUACCUCGGAAAUUGGUUGUCGGAGCUGGGAAUGACGUUACACCCGAGUUGACGGCGUUCCAGUUAACAAGUCGGAAAACCAAGAUGGAUGCCUACUGUUAGCCGUUGUUAGUUGUUGUUAGCUAUACCAGUUGUAAACGACGUAUAACACAAUAUUUUACCCUUACAAACACCAUAGCACCGUGUUCACAGUUAGACACAGGGCAGUACAACAUAAACCACUUAUUUAAUUUCACAAAAACAAAAGAAAAGUGCUAAUAAAUAAUACAUUACAAGAGCUUUUACUGUUACUCUUUACUGUUGAUGCACUGUGCUGCCAUCUUGGAUUAUGACAUUGUUGUCAAGUUGGGGUUGGUUGGAAGCUGCCUUUCUGGGUUGGAAAUCCGACUUCAGGGGGGCGUUCCAGACGAAUCUCCGACUUAGAGCUCGGAAAUUCCGACUUUCAAGUACAACUGGAAUGCAGCAUAAGAACAGAAGAGACAGGAAAUCAAACUUAUUUUGAUUUUCAAGUUUUCCUUGUUCCUCAGCAAUUUGUUGAGAAAAUUCACUCGUGACUCCUGACAUUUCAGCUUUGGGGAAUGUUGUUGAAAGGAGAGACCAGUCUGUCAAGUGAAUCGGUGCACAACAAACUCUUCAUCCAUCCUAACUAUUGCUUGUCACUUUUAAGGUUAAAGUCCACAGAACUCGCUCAUAUAAACAGACAAACACCGACAGGAAAUUUAGAGUCUUCAGUCAAUGCACGCUGCUCCUCAGUGUCAGGAGGAAACAAACUCUCACCCUGGAGUUUGAAUCAGAUCCAGUCAAUAACAUUUCAGUCAGACUAACUGUGGACAAAAAAGAAAGGCCAAGACGCAUGACCUCAUGUAUACAGAAACAACUCUGUCUGUGGAAACCAUAAAAGUUAAUGUAAUGACAUCAGUUAUCAAAAUGAUACGAUAAAUCUCUGUCGUAUUACAGCUGGUGUUUGCCCAGCUGACAUUUCACUCUUUCCUAUCGAUAGUUAACUUCAACAAGGAGCAGUAAAUGUCAGAACAUCCCGCAAUACAGAUAUUGCUGAGUUUGUCCGUUUACAACCAUACAUCUCUGUUCUCCUUUGUCUCCAAACCUAAACUUUGUAUCCUGAAUCUUGUGGUGUUAGAGUUCAGAUCAGCACUGUAAGGAUUUAUAAAUUGGAGCAGGUGCCAAGUGAGUGGAGUAUGUAUCCCUUCCUGACACAAACAGCAGAAAAACGGAAAGGUGAAGGCAACUCUGGAAACCUGCAGUCAGAACAGUUGGUUCUCACUUGCUUCAUAGCCUCUAACACAGCGAUCAUACAUCUCAUAGAGGUUGUGUGGGAAGAAGAAACAGUGAUUUUGCCUCACAAUGUGAUUAAAAAAAGGUUAAAAAAUAGUAGGUUGCUCUUUUAAGCAGAAUUAUCAAGUUGUCUUUUGUUUUUAAAAUUGCAAAUACACUGAUGCAACUUUUCACACAAAUUUAUGGUCAAACACACCGUAACAAAGAGUUAGACACCCCGUCAAGAGAUGAAUGUUGCCGACCGCUUGCUCCUCUAGUUAUACCAACUUUAGUAACGACCAAGCAUUAUUGGUGGCUAUAGAGUGGCGUUUUGGUUGAGGUUUGUUUAUGGCUCCUCAGCCCGCUGUGUAUUGCUAUCGUGCGGUCGUUACUAAAGUUGGUAUAACUAGAGAAGCAAGCAUUUAGCAACAUUCAUCUCUGGAGGGGGUGUCUAACUUGGUGCUACGGUUAUUUUACGCCGGAAUAUCCCUUUACACUGGUGGUUCUGUGUUGUAAAGUGAUGCAGUAUACACACACUGCACUGCCAAAAUCACUCCCCUCCCAUUAGCUAAGAAAUAAAGUAAAUUCUAUGAUAUCCAGGUAUGACUAUGGAAGUUUGAUAAAUACUGGAUUUAACAAAAAUACUCCUCAGUCAGAGUGCAGACUCAGGAUUUGUUAUGCCUACUAUGUAUCUUUCAUUGUGUACAGUACACUGGCUGCUCCCUUAUCAGCUUCAAUCUUUCAGCAGGACUGCAGAGAGAAAAAAAGCAUCUUAUUCCUCUCAAGCUCUCUACAGGACUCAGUUAGGACUCACAUACUCCGUCCCACGGCCAAACCAUUCACCCUUUCUUGUAUUUAUUUGUGAAGUGUUAUUUUGUCUUUGUACCUGGAUUUCAAGGUAUAGUGUUAUAGAUCAGGCCACAACCUCAUCGUCCAAAAAUCUCAAUAGAGUUGAAAAGCACAAAUUGAGUGGAAAAAGGCGAGUUUGCUACACCUGCUGCAGUCCGAAGUUCAGCCUUGAGCUUUCAAACAAAAGUACCAGGAGACCUGAGCCCAACAUCUCAAAGAAAUGAGAAACACUGUUAAUUUCAUCGGUGAGCUGCUGUCGAGGAAAAGUAAUUACUGCUCAGAUAUUGUCUAUAAGACAAUUCUUUAACAAUAACAAUAAAAAAGCUAAUCUAAUUUUGUGAUAGGGUUUCUCUGAAGUUCUGCAAUUGCCAUGGUGGUCAGCAUUUAAGUUCAUGUUUUGAUAGUUUCAGGAUUCAUUUUAUCAGCAGCUCCCUUGUUUAGGCGAAGACUGCUACUGACAAAUGUUGCAAUUAUUUGCCCAAACCCUACUUUACAGACCUUUUUAGAGUGGCCUAUUUAUCAUCAUAAGUGUUUUCUUUGGCUGCAACCAGCAUAUAUAUCUGUAGAUUGUUUGCAGUGUGUGUAUAGAACAGAGGUGUGUGAGCCGCAUGUUAAACAACGAUGAGCUUUUUUGUGUUGUGUCCAGUUUUUUGGACAAAGAAAUUUAACAUCCUAAUAUUUUGCAUGGCAAUGUUGUAUUGAUUCAGAGCAUGAAGUUUGUUUUUUUAAUUAAUCGCAAAUAUGAAAUCAGAUGAUUUAUGGUCUGGGAAUUAAUCGACUGCUUCUCCAGUACACUUGAUAGGGCUGUUGUGGAGACCUUUAGUAUGGCUGAUCUCAGCUACACACAUCUGUCUAGUGUUAAGCCUGAUUUAGACGUGCAGGCAUUGCAGAUAUCCUCGAAGAUGUACUAUCAAAUCUAUUGAAGGCUUGCAAGGCACACACAGAUGUCAGUGUGUCGAAAUUACACUGACAAUGAUAAGCUGAGGUCUAUACUGACUAUGAAUCAGCUUUAUUUUUGUAACAAGCAUGAAAAGUAUAUGAUUGAUGCGCCGCUGGAUAUCUUUCCAAUACAAAAGUUCAAUCUGUUCUGUGGGUAGACUCCUCUUUCAUUACACAAUGCUUUUAUUAUGACAUUGGGUUCUGGACAGUUAUUUGAUAAGGACAGUCACUUGCACAGCUUUUGAUUUGAGUCUCUGCAAACCUUUUACUGAAUUAAAAAGUUUUCGAAAGCAUACUGGGUUCAGGAAAGCUACAUUAGUUAUUUUAUUACACUACAUUACUUUUUCUGUGUCAGUGUGUGUGUUUGCAAGACUAUGGGGAUUAAAAACACACUUUAAUUUAUGUUUAAAAUCAUUUUCUGAAAGCUUGAUUUCCAAAACCACUCCUAGACUGGUGUUUUUUUGUUUUGUUUAUUGAAAUUAUUUCAUUGAUUUAAAACUGUUUUUUCUUUAGCUUCAAAAAUUGUUUGUUUCAUUGUCGUGGUAAACUAUGUAGUUUCAUAUUAAUGUGGCGGUGUUGAGACCAAAUUGACUCAACUUCUUCAACAAUCAAAAUCAGACCCGACCUGAUGUCAGGAAUACAUUCACUCUUAUUGCCUUAUCUUUAAUGUUAACUUUUGUAUUGAACAGAUGUUUUUUUUCCAUGUUUUUGUCCAUUAAUCUUCAGGAAAACCCCCAGGAAAGUCUUUUUAAUAUAGUUGUAAAUAGUUAUGACAGAUUCUACAAUAUAUGGUGUGUUUGAGCAACAUUCUCAAUACUCUCAUGAAGUGGUUUCUUUUAUUUUCUUCAAAAUAUGUUGUACAUUGACAGCUGCUGUUGGUCAAUGAGAUGACAACUAUUUCCAUAUCAGUGGGGUUAAAAAGAAAUCCAAAAUGAAGAAUUUUUAUCUUGUCUAAAGAGUUUAAGUUGGUUUAUGUUCAUCUUUGCAUCACAAAAACUCUUUAUAUUACUAAAGACAAAAGUCAAACAUAACACUCCACACACAGUGUUCAUGUUCUUUCAACUUUCAGAGUAUUAGUGGUUUUUAAAGUUCUGGAUUCUGCCAAAACCCUGUAGGUGUAAAAGUGGGAGUGGAAGGUUAAUGGAGUAUGUGCCAAAUUAAGUACUGGACUUUGCUUCCUACAGGAGUUCAGCUAUCCUUCUGUUAAUGAGAUAACUGCUGAGGACAUACUUAACACUGAAACCUCUCCUCGCUGAUAAGCUCGAUUUUUAGAAAUGUGGUAUUUUAUCAGUCUUUUUGGAGGAAUUUUCUAUCAAACAUGAAAGUGAGGUCAGGAUUAAGUAGGUCUGAAAGGCCACACAAAACAUAAACUCUGCAUCAAUACCUGCGGUUUUCUUAGGAGAUAUGAAACAACAAAAAGAUGGUUGCCAUGUUGGAAAAACUGACUUUAACUUACUCCAAACUUCAACAGCUGUCAGGAAGUGGUUCUUGCCAAGGACAAAUUCAGGAACAGUUUCAGGGCAGAAACAUUUAUCUUUUAUCUCAGUAAGGAGGCUUGGUUGACCCUGUUUCUAGGUAUGAUGAAUUGAAAAAAAAAAGAAAAAAAAGUCUGGUUGAGCCAAAAGAAAAAGUUUUUAAAAUGUCGUCUUAGUAAUAACCAGUGUAGUGACAAGUCCUUUACUGAAGCCACUAAUGGGCCUAUUGUUUGGACGUGUGCUCAAUAGAGGUAAUGAAGUCCAGUCCUUUUAUAGUUAUGAUGCGUUUUAUUCUCUUGACAAUUAUAAACAUAAACCACAAAUAACAACUGUAAUCGUAAAUCAGAGUAAAGUCAAAAACUGCUUCCUCAUCACUGAACUUAAAACACCUGUAGCAACUCUCAGUUGCCACCAAAAUCACUCUUGGUUGCCCUCUAGUGACUCGGAGGAGCAUUACCCAUCAAUUCAAGUUAUGGUUCUUACAAUGAGAGGGAAUUGCUUGAAUUGUUUGAAGGCACAUGGCCACAGCGCUGUAGUCUCUUAUGUAGAAAGAUCAACUAGUGUGUGAUCUGCACUCUUCUGUAGAUGAUGAGAGACAGAGAUGGCAGUUUUUUUACUCUUUUCUACAGUGCAUCGUGUGACAACUCAUGGUAAUUAGGAACCUUUUAAUGCUGUUACUUAAAUUGUCUUGUGCAUCUUAACGUUGCAAUCAUCAUUAUUCUGAACUCACUUGGUUUUAUUACCCCUUUACUAGCAAGCCUCCCUACAUGCUAAUUGCUAAUUAUACUCUGACUUCUUUCCUUUCUGGCGAUAUUGCAUGUUGAGUCAGCUUGUACAUGAGUCUGCAGCUGGGUGCCUUGUAAUGGCCAAGAUCAGAGCCUGUACGAGUGAAUAAAGACUGUCAGCCAGGACUGUUUCUCAUAUUGUAGAUGAUAAUAAGGUCAGCAUUGAGGUGAAUUACUCACAUUGUGACUAAGAGUACCGCUUACCGUCAGCAUCUGCAUGACCUCUGUGCGGUUCUGUUGCUCAGAGUGAAGUAUGUGGAGAUAUAUCUAUAUCCGAAUUAAUGCAUACUUCCUCUGCUGCUCAAAGUUGUUACCUCCUCAGCAGUGCGUGGGACAUUAAGCUCUUUGCAUGUGCUUUGUGAGGCUCAUUUACACAGGUUUGGUGGGCACAAAAACCACUCAGUCCUUUUUGUGAGUCAGGCCCUCACACUGAGCGAAUCUGGGGUGAAGGCUUGCCUUUAAUACUGGCCUGUUUCACAUAAAGGCCUGGUACCUUCUUCAGAAAAAAAAAACAGGUAAAAGACUCAGGGCCUGACCUACUAGGAUCCCAAAUAUGGGGCGCUAAAUAGUGUGUGCAAACUAAAACUUGCACAUGCUAUCUGUAGGCGUGUUGCGGAUGAUCUACCAUGAUUGUGUAUGCAGCUGAUAACGUUCAAAAGUGUUCCAGACCGCCCUCUUUAAAUGAGGAUUUUGCAUACGCUACCAGCUGUCACCAUGAAGAGUUUGGGAGGGCAGAGUGGCUGUAAACAAACAAAUGAAGUUUGAAGCUAUGGAGUUGGAGGUCUUGGUGGAGGAGGCAAAUAAACUCACAAAUAAACGCAGAAGAACAAAUGAAAAACUUUAAAAUAUAACCUCUGCAAAUAAAACCGGUGGGGGACCAGCAGAAAUCAGCCUUUAGCCCAAAAAUGUCAAUGCUGGAUAGACGAUAUGUCUCUACUCUUAUUUCUCACAGUCCAAAUAUGUUGGCAGAUGCACAGGAGACUAUCUCCCUCCAUCAUUUGUCAUUGCACCUUUGCCUCCUUCUCGCCACAAUGAAGGCAGCCAUUUGUACGUAAAGCUGUGCCAGUUUGCACCUGCCUUUGAAACGUGCUAAAUAUAGACGCAAAAACACCAACCGCAAUUAGUUUCAGGAUUCGAUAAAUCACAUUGCAGGUGCCAAAUAAUUACAUUUGCAUCUCCUCCUCCCAGUAUUUUGCACGUUUAUAUAAUCUGCAUAUAGUCUGCAUAUUUAUAUGCUAAAUGGAUUGCAUAUGGUAGUUUCCUCAUUUGACAGAUGAAGUCCUCGAUGCACCCGGUUAGCAGAUCAGUGUUCCACACACUAUCAAGUUUGCACAUGUUGAUGCACGCAAAACUUUAGUAGAUCAGGCGUUUAGUCUAUAUGUGAAUAAAGACCCAUUCUUAAACUAUUUGGACAAUUUAUAUAAAACGCUAAUUUAAGGACUUUCCAAGAAUUUAAUCGAUAGAAACAGGUAAACAAAAGAACGCAUACAAAACCCUGUAUGCCAAAUUGUUCCUUUAGUAUUGCAAUUACUAUGGACUUGUGAUAGCCUCUCAUCAUAACAUUAACAUUUGUUACAUCACUAAUAACUACAUACAUUUACAAUUUGCAUUUGCAGAUUUAUACACACUGUAAAGUUGGUUUUAUAAAUGUGCACCUGGUUCAAGUUGAAUUCUUUUAUUCUUUUCUUGUUCAAUAUUUAAUGUCAGUCAUGAAAUAUAUUAAACUAGAAGAGGCCUGAUGUCUCUUCACACAGGCACAGUUGGUGCGAUCAAACCAAGUGAGCAAAGUGAAUUCUGAGGUGUGAGCAUCGAGGUGUGCUCAACACUCAAAGCGGCGUUUAAUUGGUGUCCUCAGUACUGCCAAAAAAGCAAUCUAGCACACAGCUGCAGUUUGUUAUGUGGGCCUGCACUGAUUGCUUGGAGCUAACAGUCAAGAUGCAUACAGCCUAGUGUGACGCCAAUUUGGAAAAAGGCAAAAUUCAACUCCUGGAAAAUAUUUAGCGUGACAACAUAAUGAGUCUUAUUGGAUAGUUUUCAACUGGAGGAUUGGCCUAAUUCUGACAGUUUGGGGAAAUUUGUGCCACAGUUGACACGAUGAAGAGAUAAUGCAAAACUUCCCCCAUCCUCUUUGUCUUUGGAUUCUCCUUCUUUCAGCCUUGAAAGUAUCUGCCACAACUUACAUUUGAUUUUGUUGAAUGAGCUGAUAAAUAUAACUGUUAUUGACUGCCAGAGUCCAGGCUUGACCGUCUCCGAGCAAUAUAAUCACAGAAUAGAGAUAAAUAGUCUGCCACUCCGAGCAGCUUCAAGAGUGUAGGAGAGAGAAAUCACAGCUUGUCCUUCAAACUUGUUAGCCUCGGACACAAACUCUCAACCCUAUCUCUAACUGGCAGCAAUAAAAUAUAGAGAGUAAAAUCACUGUUCAUGGAGGAGAGGGUGUUCAUGGAUAACUUCUGGUAGUGUAGAGAUCAACGUGUCAGAUGCAUCACUGUAGUUUUCUGAGUACUACGUCUAUCUUUGGACUCCCUUCAAUGUAAACAUAUUUAGUCAUGAUGUUGUAGCAGCUAUGGCUACCAGCAUUUCCAAUAACAGUACACUAUCUAAGCAUUCAGCAAUUUGUAUUUAUCCAGUAUCAGUCAAUUGAUUUUCAAGAAUGAACUCAAACAUGCCCAUUUUUGUUUAAAUUUUCCACCAAGUACAGAUAAACAAACAGCUGUGUCAUUACUCUGAGCUGUGAAGGUAGUAAUUUGAGUUUAUGUUUUAAUGUGAAUCAACCAGCUAAAGAUGUAAAACACAGCAGAGACAUCUGUGAGUGUGUUUUUUUUUAUACCUCUACGCCCCAUACCUUUACAGUUGGUAUUAGUUUAAUUAAUUGAUGAUUUUAUGCAAGGAAAAAGGCUAAUGAAAUGCAUUUGAUGUUGAUGUCAUAAAGAUGAUCAAACUUUUUUUUCUUCUUUUAAUUAGUAAUUGAUCAUAAAUGUUUCCUCAGAUUAAUCAAGGGAAACACUUUGAUUUUUCAGCCUAGUUCAGACUUUAUUAUUUAUGAAGCACUGUCCUUUAAUUACUUCUUAUUCGUAUGUAAUUUAUUAAUAAUACAGGUUUAAAUGUUUUAUAACUGAUCUAUACAGCAAUCCGUACGUUGUCAAAUUAUGUUUUUCACAACUAUCACAUCAAUAACAAAGCAGUUAGGAGUUGUGGGUGAUUUAUAUAAUCACCUGAAAUGUGUUAUUAAUUACUUAGAUAAUGAUUCAAACUCAUAGUAAAGCACUCGACCAAAGAACUCUACCAAGUAGCAGGUCUCUCUGAAUUUUCUGAUUUAUUUAUUUUUAUUCUCAAUGGUUCAUGGUAUCAGUAUGACUGAGUUAAACAUCAUAGCCCUUUGUCUAACAAAGGAAUCUUGUUCAAGUCUGUCUGUUGUCCGUCUAACAUGAUAUUCAGUGUUUCUGCGAGCUUCAUCUAUAUUUUAAUAUAUAGCUGUUCACAGCUCGAGUCUGUUUUCCUUGAAUUUAUGUGUGUUACUUACGCACUUGCUUGCUGGACUCGGUGUCUAGCCAAAACUUGAAAGACCUCUGCAGCAGUGCUGAACACAUAUUGUGAAGACGCUGACCUCCAUUAUUGACUGAAGCUGCUGCUGUGCCGGGCCUCCUGUCUGUUCUGCAGAAGUGUGACAAAAAAAGAAAAAAAACAGAUCACAGUUGUUGUUGUUUUUUUCAAACUGAGGCAUCCAAAUAGUUACCUUGAGCAUUGCAAAGGAUUUACUGAGAAAGAUGUUGUAAUCUUUCUACUCUGCAAUGACAAUCUGCAUGAUUUUAAGAUUUUUAUGAUGCACAAGCGCUUUAGUGAAUAAGCCUCGAACACAUGAUGAACAAUCCUCAUUUUUUCAACACUUUGACUGAUUAUUAAAAAAUAAAGUUGAAUAUAGUUGGCAAGGUCAUCUGUGCAAGUCUCACCCCCAAACAGAGUUGUUGUUUUUUCCUCACACACUGACUUACCUGAACCGAACUCCAUUGUUUCCUUAGCCAAACCAUCAAAUUGUCUCUUAGACCCAAUUCCUGCCAAGCUGCUGAAAGACAUCUUCCUCUUAAUCAGCUCCUCUUUACCCAACACGAUCAAUAUGUCCCACAGUCUUUUAAAAUAGCUGUAAUUAAACCUCUUUUUAAUAAAACCUACCUUAGAUUCAGGCACUUUGGCUAUAAUUAAAGGCCUAUCAAACCUCCCCUUUAUUGCUAAAUUACUUGAGAAAGUGCUGGCUAAUGAGCUCUGUGACUUUCUCAACAGCAACAGUCGAUUUAGGGUUUUUCAUCCAAAUUCAUACUAACGACACAACAUUUUACAGUAGAAAUAAAGAUAUCAAAUAAGAUGAACAAAGCUUAAAAAACUGACUGACACGCUGAAAACAUCAGGACCCGUAUGUCCUUAAAUUAUCUCUAAAAAUGGAGUGUGUGUGUGUAGAAGUUCAAGUAAUUUUACUUUUUAACUACUGAAGUUAAUUAAAAGGAAAAAGUUAUAAUGGUUUAUGGAUUCUGGCAUCUUUCUGUGGUUAAAAAGGUCAGACUUUUGUGAUGCUUUUCAGAGAAUAUAUUGUCUAAUUAACCUUUUAAAUUCAAAGAAGAGACGACAACCGCUUUCAAGAUCUGUUCAUCCUAUUUGUAAAUACAAUAUCUCAGGUCUCUUUAAAUUUUUGAUCAAACUUGAAAACUAAAUUGACAGAUUAAAAAAAAUGUACAGUAUACUUACUUAAAGUGCAUCAUUCAGUUUGAAGAUAAAGCUAAAUCUAAUCCCAUCCCACCGAUCUGCCCUCUGUCUACCCCAAAAGCAUCCAUUUUUCUUUUGUUAUUACAUAAAGAGUCCACUGACAGCUACAGAGAAACUCAAAGAGGGAUGAAAAUGUGGUGUCUAUUAUUGAGCCCUAUGACUGUAUCCAAUUCUCCUAUAUUUUCAGUAAACACAGAAAAAUACCACACUCAAAACCGAAACUGCUCUAUCAUUUUUUAGGACACUAAUGGAUGUAAAAUACAGUUAUGACGAGGUUCAAACACUCCGGCAAUAGUUUUCAUUUUGACUCAGCAGUUUUUCAUUUGAGUGCAGAUUCCUGAGGGAUACCGGGCUUGAUUUGGUCGGAGAAGGGCAAAUUGGACAGAAAAUUGAUGUUGGUGCCGCGGAACAUUUCAAAAUCUGCAAGUAACCACCAGUGGAGAGAGAGAAAACCUCACUCAGGUCCAUUUAUAAGCAGUGUCUCUGCCUCUUCUUUGUGGUUAUGCAGAUUAUCAACAGAAAACAAAAUCAGUUGUCUCACUCUGUCCCCAUUCUCCUCAUUUUCAAGGCUCAAAUAAUUACAAACACAAAAUAAUAAGGUGAAAAGGUGUCUAAUUGAGGUCUCACUAAAACAAAGAAAUCAAUAAAGCAACCAAACAAGCUAAAAGAACAGGCGAGGACCUGGAUAGUUGGCUUGAGAUUUCCAAUUAGGCCGCACAAAUCUGCAGAAAUAGCACCUGGCCUCAGCUAACCUGCCUGCUGUGAAACAAAAUAUACUCUGACGACCUGUGGAAAGAAAAGGACAGAGGCGACUGAAAGGAAAACAUCAUGUUUGUUUUUGUAAUUUCCACUUUGCUCUCUCAUUUAGUCGGAAUGACUGUGUCCUGUUUUUUAUCAUAAGAGCUCUUAACAUGUUCUUUUUUCAGCACCUAAUCAGUUCCUUGUAUCCAUCGAUAAAAACAAACAACAGCUCUUACCAUUUAAUGUGUUUGUGUUGUUAAAAUGAAAUUUUGGAUCUCGGCACAACAAAUGUGAACCAGAUCAUAUUUUAGCUGGUAUGGCCUUCUACCAGAAGUUGCUGAUAGGAUAAAUAAUUUAUGAAGCAGUAAUAGAUGUGAAAUGUCAUAUACAACAAACUAUAUAUCACCGAGUGUCACUGCUGCUGUACAGCCAAGGUGACACUAACGGGAUCAUAUUUACAGCUGCUGUUUGUUACAUAGCCUUUGCUGUUUUUAAACACUGUUACAGUGACAGGGUAGUAGCUGUGUUGUUUUUUUUCACAUACAAGCCAGCACCAAUGAUCGGAUGGAGAUACAUAAGUAGCAUUGACUUAAAUAGCUCAUAUCCAUAAACAGCACAAUUAACGCUAAAAAAGAAAAAGUAUAAAUGUGUUGGAGCAUCAUAUCUGACCAUUAAAGGGAUAUUCCCGUGUAAAUUAAUUUAGGGUCAAACACACCAAAACACCAAGUUAGACAGCCCCUCACCCCAACUUUUAACUUUCGUUACGACUGCAGGAUAGCAAUACACAGCGGUCUGAGGAGCCAUACACAAACCUCAACCAAAAAGCCACUCUAUAGCCACAAAUAAUGCUCAGAACAGCACCUAACUUCAUCAACAGUACAUAUACUCACUACAAAUAAGCGGCUGCUGGAAGAGAGUAGGUGAGUUGUGUUUAGUCUCUUUGCUAAAGAAGUUAGACAAGGUUAAAAGAUGUUUGGUGGCUAGUGCUGUGGCUGGGACCCUAUAUGUACUGUUGUUGAAGUUAGGUGCUGUUCUGAGCAUUAUUUGUGGCUAUAGAGUGGCGUUUUUGUUGAGGUUUGUGUAUGGCUCCUCAGACCACUGUGUAUUGCUAUCCUGCAAGCAGCUGCUGGAAGAGAGAAGUCUUGAUUUGUAACCCACUAAAAACAACUGGUGUGCUAUGAAACAAAGGGUACACCAAAGGACCCUGAACUGCUUAGCAGCUGGAACUUUUAACAAGAAUGGGACGAUGCGUCAUUUUCAAAGCUCCAAUAACUGGUUGCCUUGGUUCCCAAACACUCUCAUAGUGCUGUUUAAUGAAGAGGGGAUGUGUUUACUUCUGUUUUGACAGUCCCUUUUGUGUUGGACAAAACUGAGUUUAUAUUCCGCCAUGAGUCCAAAAUAUCUGUAAUUGUCAUUUGUUUCAACAGUUUCAUUUUCAAUGAUGACGGGAGGCUGAGGUGACUGAUUACUACUGAUUGUUUCUGAUGCAGUAGGCAGGCACAGCAGAUUGGCCCUGUAAGCAAACUGGGGGAAGUCCAGUUGUUUUACAACCAGCAUGAUAGUGAGCAACAGCUGAUGUCCCAGGCAGUGCAUGAUUAUGGCUGUGGUGAUAGGAGUAUUGUUGCAGUUUUCCAGAGGGUGGAAAAUGAGCCAGACUGGUAACUGAAUUUUUUGGUGGCGGUUCAUUGGCACAGGCCUUUAGCACACUUGUUGAGAUAGCAUCGGGCCUCUGGGCUUUGCCUAGCUUGUAUGUCCUCUGCUGAGAGGGAGGUUGGCUCGUAAGGAUACUGAUGGCUCAAUGCAAGUUGCAGGAUGUAUCAACUUUUGCCAGGUGCAUAUCUGCACGGAUUUAAAGAGUCAUGUGACAGUCCUAUCUAUGUAAAGCCUAUCUAUGUUUGUUCCUCCUGAUUACCAUUAAGAGGGCUCGACAGCUGAAAUGAAAGGCUGAUUAUUACUUCCAUCUGAACAAACCCUGAAACAACCCAUCACAUUAAAAAAGAAAAUGAGAGAAGCUGAAGGCAAGUCUGGCAAAACAGUUUCUGAAGAGGUGGGUGAAAAUUGGUCAAGCUGUUAUCUCCUCCACAUGAUGUUAAAGCUGGAGGGGGCACUGACUUUGCUAAGUGGUAAAUAGGGGAACUAUUAAACUCAUUUUCUCUUCUUGUUAUGUCAGAGUGGGACACCUGCAGAGGAGCUCAAAAAAACAUCUGAUACUGGUGUCUGUGAUGACAAGAUUAGACUCCUCUUCAUGAUGCACUCCAUUUUAGCUCAUUUUUCUCAGAUAUAAAAUCCGACUCAGCUUGAGGGUGUUACUUUUUGAACAGCCUUGUUUGACUGAAAUGACUAGAAUGUAACGCCCUAGACAGAAAAGCCCUGGGGCUAGCAUUUCAUUAGCUGCUGUUGUGUCACUUUCAGUUUGUGGUUCAAAUUCAGCUCAUACUUGCUUAUUUUUUCAAAGGAGUCGUAAGUAAAAUAGAUGAGCAGCUGUGGCUGUCUCUCUGAGACAAUAAAACCUACCGACUGUUUUCUGGUGCCUUUGUCAUUGGGAUAAGAGGGUAACUGCUAUCUUCCCUCACAACCAAAAUGUGUCUCUCACAUUAUGAAACUUUGCUCAAUGUCAGUAUAACAACCUGUAACACUAUGGGCCUGACCUACUCAGAUCCCAAAUAGCAAAUGCUCAAUUGCGUGUGGACAUGCUAUUUGUGGGCGUGUUGCGGGUGGUCUACUAUCAUUGCUUGCGCUCUUGAUAACAGUUGCAAAAGUGGUGCGGACCACCCUCUUUGAGCAAGGAUUUUGCGUGCGCUAUCGGCCAUCACCAUGGAGAGUUUGUAAGAGCAGAGUGAUCGUAGAUAAAAAAUGAAGUUUGAAGCCAUGGAGUUGCACCUAUCGAUUUGGGGAAACCAGAAACAGCAUAAAAGGCAAAGGAAGUUUAUUUGUAUGGCACCAUUUAUAAACAAGGCAAUUCAAAGUGCUUUACAGAUGAAAGAAAAUAUAUUAGAAAUAAAAAAAACAACAUACAAACAAUUUCAAAUGAAUAAGACAAACAUAAAUUUUUCAGACUGUUCUGUGUCGACCCAAUUAUAUAGCAAAUCCAUCAUUUACUAGAAAAACGCUUUUGCACUUUUGUCUCCUUCUCCUCACAAUAACUGCAGCUAUUUGUGUGUAACUCUAUGCCAGUUUGCCCGUACCUUUCAAACAUGCUAAAUAUAGACCCAAAACAGCGACCCCAUUUGGUUUCCAGGUUUGAUAAAUCACACUGCGGGUGCUAAAUGGUUCUAUUUGCAUCUGCUCCUCCCAGUAUUUUGCACAGUCUGAUGAUCUACAUACAAUCUGCAUAUUCAUGAGCAAAACUGCACGAAAUGGAUUGUGUGUGCUGUUUUGCUCAUUUGACAGAUGCAAUCCUCAGGGCACCCGGUUAGUAGAUCAGCUUUGCGCGCGCUAUCAAGUUUGCACGUGUUUUUGCACACGCAAACCUUAAGUAGAUCAGGCCCUACAUGUAUUAAAAUGCAGGUCAGCAUCACAGGUCCCUUUAAAGUUAUAUACCCAAUGAACAUUGGCUGUAUCCUUCAAGUAGAUGGCACAGCUUCCUUCUCCGUCCAUUUUCCAAUCUUCAGUAAGUAAAGGUUUAUAAGCCCCAAAUAUAACUUGAAAUAAACGAACAACUUAAUUAAUAAACCCAGAUAUGACAUUUUCUUUUUGUCCCUACAUCCUGAAGGGAACACAUUCAUCACGUGUUUAUUUAACCGAAAUUAUGAGCAGUCUUCAUGUGUUAAAACAUUCAAAAGUAAUGAGCAAUGGAAGUGUUCUCUUCCCUUUCUGCAAAAAAAUAAAAUAAAAUAAAAACAUGCAAAGAUUUGUCCAAAAAGUCAAGAGCUAAUUCCCACCCUCAGACCUACACUUAUGUCUUAUCAAGUUAUCUUUCUUUUUUUCUUCCCUGGCUUGAUUCUGGGAUCAAAUCAUGGAGGUUAAUGCAUCUGUCCGCCUCCCUAAUCACCCUGUGUUUCUGGGCUGAUGAAUCUGCCCUCUGUGUUUAGUAUUUAACUAAUAGCAGCUUCAGGCAGCACUGACAGGUUAUUACUGCUCUCUCUGUCUUUGGCAGAGAAGUUAUUUGUCUUUAGCCGCGCUCAUGUGAGUGAAGGACUGACAGUCUGCCUGCUUUGCUGUCAAGGCACCAUCGCACGUACAAGCACACACCCUUCAUGGUCACCUGAUGGUAAUGACUAAGAUCUCUCAUUUUUUAAUCAGAAAGUAAAGAAGAAGAAGAAAGAAAAAAAACAAGCUCAAAGCGCUCUCUGUAGAAUCAUCUAUUAUUUAUGCCUCAACAGUUUCCUAUGAGUGUGUUCAAAAACUACAUGUGCAAAUUCAUAAUUAAAUGUCAAAAGAGAAAUGAAAGACUGAAAUAUUGAAUAGGACUUGUUAAAAGAAAGUUGCCUUGAAAGCUGAUCCUGACACGAAAGAUGUAUUAUACUAAACUAUGAGAGCCACAGAGAGAAGACCAGCAUUGACGCGACCUUGUAAAACAGUUGGAGGCAGGAGUGUUAUUCCUCUUUUCAGCCUCGCUGUUCUUUGAGACAUUAUACCUCCACCUUUGAGCAGACAGCAGAGGUUGGAAAGGGUCGUGUAUUUGUAAGGACUAUUAUCAGAAACUAGGACUGUUGUGGCUGCUUGGCAUCAACCUGGCGGGACAGUUUUUGUAGAAAGUGUAGUGUGAUAAGUCCCUUUAGAGGUCGUAAUGUAAGACACCCCCAUUAAAAAUCUACAUUUUAUUAAAAGAUGUAUUGUCUCGUAGAAAUGUUGUUCUCAUUUUUAUCUUGCUGAAACAACAUGUUUCAAAAAUGUUGGACAGGGGUAAACAUCAUGUUAUUUCCACCCAUCUUUUAAGUGUGUGAAUUGCACUAUAGCGUCAUGUCUGUUGUUAAUGCGGUUCCGUCACAGGAUCAGACAAGCAAAGCUGGAGCACAAGUAUCUCUGUAGAGCAUCAGGGCCAUCUGAACAGAUGUUUCCUGCUGAAUGAUUUCUAACGAUGCAGAUACUCUGCAUAUUAAAUCAUUUAUUUGCCUUUAUAAGUUUUGUAGCUUUGCAAUACGGUCAGUUAGAUCCAUCAAGUUGUUGUUGUUGUUACCUCCGCCAAGGAGGUUAUGUUUUCGGUAGCGUUGGUUUGUUUGUUUGUUGGUUUGUUUGUUUGAUUGUGAACAACUUUACGGCGAAAGUAACAGACCGAUUGACCUGAAAUUUUCACUAGAGGUGCAUCUCAGCCCCAGGAGGAUCCCAUUACAUUUUGGUGGUGAUCCGGAUCGCCUUCUGGAUCCAGGAAUUUUUUGAAGGAUUCUUUAUCAUUGUGAGAUAGGGCAAAUUUGGGAAUUUUUGCAUUUAACUCUAUAAAAAUGGCCAGAGUCUUUAGUAAAAAAUUACACAAAAGGAUCUCAAUGAGUUUUAUGAGGUGUCAAAGGUUGAUCCGGAUCCAGACAAAAUUCCGGGUACUGUGAUCCAGAACAAACAAAAAUAAGGGUGUCGUUGGAAUUUUCAAUGCUGAAAGAUAACCAGUGGGCGGCACAGUGGUGUAGUGGUUAGCACUGUCGCCUCACAGAAAGAAGGUCCUGGGUUUGAAUCCGGGUCAGGGCAUUUCUUGUUUUAGGAACAUUAUAAACAGUGAACAUACCAGUUUAGACACAAAUAAAAGUUAAUAAAAGACACGUAACAGUAAAAGUUUUGGUGUGAAUCACAUUAUAAGGGGGGACAUGAGCUGCUUGGCAGAGGUCUGCGCUCUCCAAGUGCUUUUCUAGUUUAGAUAUUGUUUUUUGUUUUGCUAAGUGUAAUCAAUAAAUGAUUUUUUGUUUUUUAAAGUCAAUCAUUGAGAAUAUUUGUGUAUCUUGUAGACUCAUAUUUAAAACCAAACGACAAAAAAUUGGACAAUUAAACAAAAUUGCAAGUCUUGAGUUUCAUCUUAAAAAAUUGUAAUCCUUUUUGAGUAGCCCUAUUUUAUUAAAGUCAUUUACAUUUCAGAAAAAUGCUCAUCAAUCUUUACUUUGGACCAAUAGAAUUCGCUCAACUUUGUCCAUAAAUUGGUUGUUUUCUUUCUGAGAGAAAAGGAAACAAAUAUGACCUUACUGUCUUUGCACACACAGCACUGAGAAGUGAUACCCCUGAGUGUUAGAGCCAGCAGGACAAGGUACAAACAGAAUAACAAACCAGAACAUGUGGGUCUGAGGGAGUUACUCCUCCACAUGAAAAGUUUUAGUUACUGUUUCGGUUUUUGGAGCAUUUAGAGAUUAGUUUGUGAGACGAGGGCACAUUAUUGUGAUACCAAAAAGGACAGUAGAAUAAUUACUGAGAUCUUCAAGCAGCAAGAACACUGUAAUUUGACACUGCUCUGAAAAUUACAGAGGAAAAGGUGCAAAAACAUCAAACUUGACUUUUGUUAGUCAUUAAGUAAAACUGACUAUUUUGGGGGUGUUUAUUAUGUUAUGUUUAUUUAUUUACAUACUGCCAUGUAGAGUGAGAGUUAUCAAUACGAUAUCCCAAUACAUUACGAUAUUGAUAUUGGAUAUCGGUCCGAUAUCAGCAAAAAAACAAAUGUUGGAUUGUAUCGGCCUGCAUUCAAAAUCUCCAAUAUCAGCAAUCCAAUAAAAGCAGUCCAUUCCAGACUCCACUCUCGCACCUCUAUCUAGCGGCGCCCUGAUCCAGUAAGCAAAGCCCGCAAAAUCACAACAACAGAGUGGACUAAGGUACUAACAAUGUAGCAAGGAGUAAGAGUGAUGUUGGCCUUUAGCAGUAUUUUUUGUUUAAGUCCAAAAAAGUAUAUUGGAUAUAAUAUUGGAUCAAAAUCGGUAUCAGUCAUUAAUAUCGGUAUCGUAUUGGAAGUCAAAAAGUCGUAUUGGGACACCUCUACUGAGAACAAAAUUUAUUAGUCUACCUGAAGAUGUUCUCUAAAUUGGAGGAGUCAAAAGUACAACUGAUGCAACUCUCAGGAAUGUGUCGAAUUAAGUGUGUGCUAGCAUGCUGGCUAGUUAUAGUAGUUAAAACGUGAUUUAUGCUGCGUUGCUCUGUGACAGACAGGCUGAAUGAACCCCGUGUGAACUUUACAGUUAGUCUGUGCUCAAGCCGGCUUCACAACUAAGCCUUAUGCAUAAUGACAAAAAUGACAGUGAUGAACUACCAUUAAAUGUCAGCUCUAAAUGUCGUGAAAUGUCCCUUCUUUGUCUUGUGAAAGCUCGAAUUGAACAUUUGACAUUGGACUUUUCUCAGCAGUUGUCAGUCUGGAAGAAACAUAUCUUUGAGAGCAAAAGGCAGCUGAACACAGCCAGCAACAGUGAGUGAAAGCCUAGGAGGUUCUCCAUCAUUUAUCAGUACGGCCCAUAUUACCAUCAGGUGGUCACCCCUUACAUCCAGAAUGUCAGUGGAACAAAGCCGAGUCCUGCCAGUUAUACGACGGUUAAUCAAAUCGACUCCAGCGGCUGUCAGGGACCUCAUCCAGCAGUCUGCGUGGAGCUGUUUUUCAAAUCAGAACGAGAGCCGUUUACAGAACUAUUUAAACCGCAGGAUGCUUGCAAGGACCCAGACUGGACUGCUGUGCAAUUAAGAAGAAAACCACAGGUGUCAGUCAUGACCUCAGAAGAACUGUAUGCUUCAAUUACCAAAAUUAAGUGAUUUCAAACAAAAGCACCAUGUGCCAUUGGCAGGAAGGGACACCAUGUGUCUUAUGGUUGCUAGUCAGCAAACAUGGAUUAAUUAUGAUUCUGGCAGCUUGCUCAGAUGCUGUAAAAUGGCCCUAGUAUGAAGGCUGUGACCACAAAUAAAAACAAAAUAGGAUGUUGACAUAAACUUGGGAUAGAUGGAUCUGUUUUUUUUUUAAAGAAACGGACAAACAGUCUUGUUUUGUGUUGACGGCAGAACUGGGAGAUCAAUAAGGCUUCCAAAAUCACUGAAUCCGAAAGGAAACCUGGCUGAGUUGCAGAGCAGCAGAAAAUGCUGCUGAGCCAAAGACCUUCCAAAUCCCUCCAAGCUCUGCUUUGUUGGCUCUGUUUCCCCAGAGACCAUCAGGCAUCUACCCUGCGUCUCUGAGGAUACGCCCCCCCUCAUCCUUCAUCUCUUAUCCCCUCUUUCCAACACCGAUCCAUCUCACUGAUCUGUCAGCUGAAAAUCCUGGAGGGACUAGAGCAUUGUUUGUCACAUCAAAUCAACAAAGUCACUCACUGUAUUCUUACUCCAUAAUAAGAAGAGUUUCAAAUAUAUCUAAAAAUUCCCCUCUGCUAAAUCAUUUCUUCCUCCUCGGUUUCCCAUCUGAAAAGCAAUCGAACCUUUCUCUCCCUUCUUAUUCUCUUGUUGCAGAAAGUGAUAGGGCUGUUGAUAGUCAUUUUCUUGAAGUUAUAACCUUAUGUACUGAAGCUUUCUGUAAAAAAGGAAGUGGCUUUAUUGACACAUUUUAUCAUCACAGGGACGAUGUUUGUUUGUUGUGGAAUCCUAAAGUUCUAGUUGUUGCUUAAAGGGAUAUUCCAGCGUAAAUUCAAGUUAUGGUCAAACACGCUGUAACACAGAGUUAGACACCCCCUCAAGAGAUAAAUGUUGCUGACCUCUUGCUUCUUUAGUUAUACCAACUUCAGCAAAGACCUUACGAUAGCAAUACACAGGGGUCUACGUCUCCACAUGCAAACCUCAACCAAAACGCCACUUUAUAGCCACAAAUAAUGCUCAGAACAGCACCUAACUUCAUCAACAGUACAUAUAGGGUCCCAGCCAUAGUACUAACUACCAAACAUCUUUUUAGCUUUGUCUAAUUUCUUUAGCAAAGAGACUAAACACAACUCACCCACUCUCUUCCAGCAGCCACUUGUUAGUGAGGGAGCCUAGAUGAGUCGAUCACCUAGUGCAGCGGAGUUUCGCAGCUCAAGGAAGAACAUUUAUGAUUAUUUCUUUAUGAAAAUGCAAUCAGACCGAGACACUAAGGAAGAAGAACUGCCACGUUUGCAGUGCAAAAUGAUUAUUAUGAUGAUUAUUACUUGAUGGAAAUGAUUCGCUGCACUCGGUGAUCGACUCGUCAGGGCUCCCACUGUGUUUGCUCAGAAUUAAAUAUCAUCUCUUUUUUUCAGACAUGUCAAUCUGGUGACUGGUUGUGGCUCAUUGCAGAUGAGUGACUGAAUAAAGUUUGUGCCCCUCAACUAAAUCAGACUGUUACAUGAAUGCACUGCUCGUAUUUUUGGUGACGAAUUAGAAACACAGUGCUUGAAAAUUAUCAUGAAUUUUGUUUAAAAAACAAAAAACAAACAAAAAAACAGUUCACCUCAAACAUUUUCAUCUUGUCGUUGUCUCAUUAUCAAAAUCCAAACAUAUCCAUCAGAGUUUUUAUUAUCAGUUGACCAAUAUUUGAUGUCAUAAUUCUGUGGAAGUCAACAGUUUUGCUUGAUUUAAUGGGCUUAGAGCUGCUGGCAGAGUCAUUGUGAGGAAAAAUGGAGCAUUCUUUGUUGAGACUACAAUCCUCCACAGAGGCUGAAUUUGUCAUAAUUUUUAAAUUGAAGUUAAUUUUGCAAUUAAAAAAAAAAAAAAAAAAAAAAAAUGCCGGAAAAAACAACAAUCCACUGCAUGUACUGUUGAAUAUGGAUGAUUUCAUAGAUACAUAGCCGAAAAUCCCAAUCAAAGUUACAUUCAGAUACUUUUCAAAGAUGACAAGACUUAAACUAAUUUAGGAUAUUUUGGACAGGGCCCAAAAUACUAAAUAUGAAUCUACCAAUAAACAAGCACUUGGCAACAACAUCUUAAACAAAUACAGAAACUUUGAACCAAACUAGAUUAUUUUGCGAACAAGUAUCAGUCUGGAAUUGAGCAAAAGGUGAAAAAGGGCAAAGAGAAAAAUAAAAAUAGAUUAUUAGCCAGAUUGUGUGUGCUGAAGUUAAAAUCUGCUCACAGUGUAAGAGGUUGUGUCAAAGUGGUGAAAGGCAGUAAGAUAUACAACCAAAAAGGAAAUCCACUGUGUGGCAUACACUAACAAAUGAAGUGUCUUGGUGCUCGGUGUAUAUUUUCAAGGUGCCAGAACUGUUGGCUUCAUGUCCUGCUAUACCCUUAAAAAAUGUUUUAUGUUGCAUUUAAUGGAUUCAAGCAGACAGUAAAAGCAAACCCAAUAUGACUUCAGUGAAGGAGAGCAGGAGGAUAGAAUUAGAUAAGACUGGGGGAGAAAACAGCUGUCCGUAGUUCAUGUAUGUUAAUUCGAUGUCACCCUGCAUGAAUCCAUUUAAAUGCAAAAUUAUUUCAUCAGCGGGAACCAAAGGGCUAAGCUCUAUGGCUGGAUUUAAAGGUUUGACCUACAAGUAUUGGCAUAAAAGCAAAUAGAUUCACAUGAAAGAGCAGUUAAGUAUUUAAAGGCUGCCUCUAAUAUACAGUUAUUUCAACUACUGAGUCAAAACAGUUUAUUUUUGUUAACAAUGGGCUCACUCAGGCUGGUUGUCACUGUCUCCCUCAGUCAUUUCUGACUUAAAUAGUCAGAAAUGACUGAAAAAAGACUAUAUCUACAAAUUGUGCAAAAGAGAUCCUUCUUAGGAAAAAUAGAAAAGAUUUGGGGGAUUUCAAACGGUGCAAUAAUGUCAUUUAAGGAUUUAUGAUGUCUGAAGAAAUCUCUGAAUACAAAACGCAGGGCUAAAAAAACAAUAUACUGAAUGGCUGUGACCUUAGGGCGUCAGGCAUUGCAUCUUUAACAGUCAGGGGAAAUCAAAGCUUGGGCUCAAAGUCUCACUUCAAAAAAAAGGGAAAGACUUUUUUUUAUUUUUUAUUUUUAAUAGAAAGACAGUAUCAAAGCAAGAAUCUAAAGAGUCCAAACUUUUCUGCCUAUUCUCCUGACUUGUCAAGCAUAUCACGGCAUAUCAAGACAACAAAGCAGUGUAAACAGAAUGGCCCUUUUUACAUUUGCGGAUUGGAUGUCAGCCGGUACAAGCUGGUGUUAGCUCGUACUUCGAUGAAUAUUUGAACAUCUUUUAAGAACAUCUGUGCAUGACUAACAAAAUAUUUAUUGAAGUGUUGGAGAAUUUGGGCAAAAAAGGCUUUUACAGUGUACAGCAUGCACCUUUUCCAGUGUUAUGGCAGUGAGGCUUUCAAAAGCUUCAAGAUAAUCUUUCAGACAGUUUGUAUGAAAUGAGGCAUGCAAUUGAUUCUUCUGUAAUAAGACAACAAAUCAACCUCUUUCUUUAGAGAGUCCUGAAACUUAAAAUGGACCUUAAGACAGCAGAACGGCUUGUUCCAAACUGUGCGACAGAGACAAACACUUAUCUCCUCCCGUCCUUGUAAAGGAACAGGGAAUUGUUUGGCUGCAUCCAUAUGAAAAGUAUGAAUUCGACCGCUGCAUGUUGCAUCCCUUAUUUAAGCAGUCUUCAUGCCUAUGAGUCACUCGCAGAAAGACAGAGAGCGCACUACAACCUGCCAAGGACAGAGUGCAAAUGAACUUGAAUCUAAUUUAAGUCUCUAAUUGCUGUCUGAGUGCUGUUCUCUGAUGCUUUGAUUAUGCUGACCACUGGCUCCGGUGUCGAGCCAGGACAAGUUAUGGUUUGUUCUGUUCAGGAGUCGUCUGCCAUUACUUAUUUCAGUACCACAGCUGAAGAGUUUUGUGAUUUAAACUUGCUGAAACUGCUGCGGUGUAUUGUCACUGGUAAUUGCUAUUGAUGUCUCUCAGGUCUUUGAAUGAGUCCAAAUUACAGUCAGCAUACUUAAACUUUGUCCUUUCUCAUCAUUGCUUCAAUCUAACUGUUUGCACAUGAUUAAAACUGGAAUUUAAACUAUUCAUUUGAAUGUUUCAAGAGUUUAAUCACAAAUAAAUUUGUUUCAAGGACAGUGAAACCCCAGCACUUCUAGUGGAAAUAUUACAAAUGCUUCUCUCUGGUUUUAAACCUGAGAGAUAUCUUCUGCUACUGUUGGUCAGAAAGUUAGUCGAAGGAAAAGAAAAACGCUCUUUUAUUCUCUAAAAAGAAAUUUAACAAGCUGGACCGGAGAGAGUUUCUCUGUCCACUACAAUAUCACUGCUCUUCUGCAGAAAACAGACUCACAUCUCUGGCAGGAUAUCAAAGACUUUUUGGCUCCAGAGUCUGCUGUCUUAAACACUUUUUUAAGCCAGAGUGCAACAUGAAUAGAGACAAAAACAAACAGUUCUGGAUGCUUAUAAAAAUAAGAAGUGUUGAAGCAAGAAGUUGAGAAAUAGGUAGCAUUGCUAACAGUACAAUUAUGUAUACAGCAUGUUUAAGAUUGAAGUAUCAUUAAAAGCACUCAUCAUAAAAUCUGCAACCUAAUUCACACUGGUAUAGACCAUAGACUGUAUACAGAAAGGACGCUGUCUGCCUCCCCGCUGGGUAAAGCCACCGCGAGAACAGCACCCUCUGGUGACGGGCUGCAGCAUAGGUCAUAAAUCCUAUGCAUAGGUUCAUGUUUUCUAUGACUGACACUUCUGGCGGCACCAAGUUGUCCAUAGUAUAUACAGUCUAUGGUAUAGAUGCAAUGUUUGUCAGAGAAGACAGGAAUUUGAAUUUUCUUUCAAGAAGACCUCCUUUGCAGUCAUCAAUGAGUUUUUCAUCUGCAGCACUUUCUCAUAUCAGUUUUUGCUAUUUCACGUUGUAUUUGAGCUCAGUCGGUCAGUCACAGCCUGCCACGGGAAUUCGCAAUGCACGUCAUCACCAGUUUAAAUAUGCAUUCGGUUUUCUGAGCACACACAUUUUGAAUUUGGUCCUGUGAUGACAGAGAUUGACUUCCCCUCCCAAAAAAAAAACUGAUGCAGCCACAUUUGCAGUAGUGUAGUGAAACGAUUUGUGACGGACAAUGACGAGAGCAGCUGCAGCCGGCAAAGUCAUCAAAGAGCACCGCCUCCACCUUGUGAUAGAGCAGGUCUCAGUAUUUACAAUGCAUGGAGUGCAUAUACGUGAGUGCAUUAAAGAAAUCAGAUGGAGUAGUGAUCUUUUCUCUCCAAAUUUGAUGCUGGUUGGUAACAAGUCUUCCUGCUUGGAUGUGUAUAAAUUGUUUCAAACCCAAACAGAUAAAAUGAAGCAAGCCGUUGUGUCAAUCACUAUUAAAUCCCAGCUUUGCUAAAUCUGAGGGACUCAAUGCCAAACACAUUUCAUUUCUGACAAACUCUUCACAAUAAAAGCCCCUACGUGUUUUGUCUUGUUCUCCAGGCAACCUGAGGAAAUGGCCUGUUUUCAGCAGCAGCUUAACACAACACAAUCAGGAAAGCAGGAAAUAAAUGAAAAUUAAAAACUAAAAUAAAUUGACUGUAGAAAAACAAAGCUCUAUAAAAUCAUCUUUGGCUGCUCUCUGGCACAGACAUAUGUUGAGUCUAUGUAUCACAGGCUUGUUUAAGGGGAAGAGGUGAGGUCGUAGUAAUUUUACAUAUAAAUAUAUGUGAUCCCUGAUAUUAUCUAAUACCAGAAUUUAGUAACACAACUGCAAAAGCAAAAGAAAUUUAAAAAAAGUGAUGUAGAUUUUAAGUCAUAUCACUCACUUCUAUUCUUUCUCCAUAUUUCAUGCUCUGGUUCUUGCACAAAUCCCUCUUGACUGUUCUUGCAUCAGUAAGGUUUCAUUUAAUAAAAGCAGCACCUGUUCUUCUCUCACUCGUAUAAUUUCCCCUUUAAAUUCCUUGCAAGUUGAUGAAAUGCCAUUUUUACAAGGUCACACAUGGGAAGCAUGAGCCAGUGGCUAAUAACUUAGAGUUAUUAGAUUGCAAGUGUUGCCUUGACCUCAGAGAAUUUAAAGACCUUUGUUAUACUGCGGCUUUCACUGCAUGUGCCACAGUGGUCAGAGUGGGGGGAUGCUAACCGGCUGUAGAAUAGCUGCAUGGAUAAUAGAGGAGGGGACUGUAUAUCAACAAGCUGAAUCUUGAGGGAAGGCAAUACUGACAACAAGAGCAGUGAGUGCAGAAGCUUUACAGAGGAAUUCAUGGAUCAUUAUCUGUUUACAUAUUCCAUAUCACUUUGGUGUCUCAAGAAAUAAAAAGCUUUGUGCUUUGUGCCGGCAUUCAGAAGCACGGGCCCUUUUCUGAAAUCAAUCGAGUCCACAAUAUGUGUUUUUUAUAGAAAUGCUGCUAUCAUACUCAGCGGGUGAGGGCUACACACAGACAACCAUCUUUAUUGUGAAAACACAUCAUUUCUUCUCUGUUUGGGCCCUGUUUCCACUCUGCUGUGGCUUAUCAGAGCUCCUGAACAGAAAACUCUUUCUAAAUUCAGGACAGGCAAGAACAGAGACUCAGUGCUAACACUCAAACAUGCUCAAUGACUAAGUCUCAUUAUAUAUAGUUCAAUAAGCUCCUCAUGAUUUGUCACAUUUCUUCCCCUUUGAACAAAUGACUAUAUCCUUGACUUGUGGCUCUUUGAUAAACAUGAAUUGUUUAUUCUUGAUGCUGAUGUUCAUGCUUCUUCAUGUCAUACAGUUAAAUUCUGUGUUAUCAGAUCAGUAGGGAUGCUUUGGAUAGGAGACUGUAUGUCUUUUUCUCUAUAGUUGUUUUAAAAUGAAAAUCUUUAUGUAGCUUAAGUUUUCCUUGUUUUUAUCAGGAGCCCCCUUCAUGCUUGCACAAAUUUCCUUAAAGUCCUACUCUGAUUUUUUGUUUUUUUUGUUUUGCUACUUUAAGUGUUCUCAGUGGUCUUUAAAUUGUAAUUAUGAAGUUUUUAGCCAAAAUCGCUUUACCUUUCUAGGGCUUUUUUUUCUUCUGCAGAGCUCCAGUAGCUCAUUAGCAAUUCUUCUCUGAGUCAUGGGCAGAGACAGCGCUGCUCUGCACUCUCCUCUUCACUUUAGCUUGUAGCCUAACAUUGCCGGUGCAGUAGAAGUGGCAGGUAACACAGGAGCUACCCAGCUCUGGGACACUCAUGUCUUUAGCGGCAUGAUGAAAGCUAAUAUCAUAAUUAGCUUUCUUACGAGCAUUGCAAUCCGCUAACGCACACACUUGUUUCGCGAUUGUCCUCUCUAUUUCUGCCUACAUAGCAGGGCUUGGGGGGCGGAGUUUGAAGUUGUGAUGUAGGAAAUCUCACUUUUUCUGGUCUGCCAGAGAUUCACAGCGAUUUGAUUGCAGAAAUACUCAGAAAUGUAAGUUUGCACGUAUUUUUCUCACAAUAUGUCCUGUAGCAUCAGAAAAAUGCCACAUGAACAUGUAGACGACAAGAAAAACGUGAUUUUCAUCAGAGUGGGUCUUUAAAACCUCUCCCAAGUUUAUCCAGGCAGACUGCAUGUGUAAAUGCAAACGUCCAAAGUUUUCUCCCUGACUUUACCUGGACUUUAUCCUACCAACCCCUAACAACAACAACAAAAAAUGUCUGCAAGAAGUCUUGGUGAGGCGAUGUAUGAAAGCAGCAGGAAAAAGGCAGUUAAACUUACUGUGAGAGAGUGGGGUGAAAGAAUUUAAUGAGUGUUGAGUGAUGUUGAUCUGCUUUAUAGUCUUUGAUUUGUAGUAUUUGUAGUACCAUAAGGCCUGGCUCUAAUAAAUGCUAUUGGUGCCAGUGCAGAUCAUGUUCGUUCAGCAGACCAAAGAGGAGGCACUCUAUCCAAACAGCCAUCCAAAGACUUAAUUUGAAAUUAGGCAGAGAACUAAUUAGCAAAAUAUGAAUAAAAUCAGAGGCAGGGUCAAUUAAAAAGAGUGUGAAAGUAUAAAGAAGUGAUGGUACCAUUUUUGGUACUUUCAUUAUGCAUUAACUCAGAAAUUCAUUUUUUAUAACAUCUACUUACUGGAACUUUUUACUAAUUCUUACUACUGUGACCAAUACUGAUACCAAGAGCCAACCUGCCGAUCAACAUUGUACUGUUUCACUAGACGAGUGUUAACACAGAUAAACAGCCAGCUGGACUCUUUUUCUAAGGACUAGGAAGCUCGCACCUUUUAUGACUUCACUGAGAAUGAGUCAAGAAGGGAAAAAAAGCACAAAAAUACUGCAUGUGAUAGACUACUUAUGGAAGCAACGGGUAAAUGUAAAAAAUCUUAAAUUAACAUUAAAGAUGUAAUUGUGAAACUGUUUAUUUUUAAACUGUUGCAUAUGAGCAUCUGCAGUAAUAUAAAUGUAAAUCAGAUGAACAGGUGGUUCAUACAUGAAGGCUAAGUCAUCCUCUAAGAUCUAACAUGUUAAAAUGCUCAUUAAGCUCAUCAGUUGGAAUUACUGUAGUUCUAAAUAGUAUGUUACACUUACAAACAUAUCUGUCUGAGGAGUUCACAGCCAGAUUUCUUCAGAUUCGACAAGAAAAUCAUACAAACGCAGCCAUGCUAUUUUCUCUUUCUAGUGCCCCUUUACAUCCCACUUUCCUGUGGUUUUACAGAUUUCAAAACAAAGACACAAGAAUCUAUGAAAAUAGAAUGUCUUUCUAACAGCCAACUUUUUUCUUCUUUGAAAUAUAAAACACCUUAAGGGCAGAACAAGCAUCUAAUGUAAGUUCCUCCAACACUCUCUCAAAUCAAUAACUCAGCCUUCAAGAGCAAUUUGGGGCUCACUAUCUUGCCUGAGGAAACUGUUAAAUGCCUCGCUAAAGCAGCCUGGGGUCCAACAGCUGGUUUUCCUGCUGGAGGAUGAGCCUUAUAAAGCCAUCAAGUGGAUUCAAGUUAGUUUUCAGUAUGGACACAGCAGUUUUAGUUUCUGGGGCAAUAUUGCACUUAAGAAUAUGAUGAUAGAAGAUGCUGCACUCGGUGGUGAUAUUGCUGCUCAAUACCAAGAUGGCAAUUUAUAUCUUUAGAAUCCAGAUUGUACAACUCUGUCUGGACAACAAUCUUGCAAAUGUAAUGUUUUCCAAAUCAAAGAAUAGUGGGCACUCAAAUCUCCUGUAAAUGAUGUUUUUGUCACUUUUGGCGCAACCUUGUCUGACUUAGUCUGGUCUUUAGUUAAAUUUUGUUUUAAUCUUUUAAUCUGCAUUAUGUGAUUUUACCCUAUUUUAGUCCUAGAGUAACUAUUUUGUGUUUUAUUACCUCUUUUUUUGAUUUACUUUCUUAUAUUGUUAGAUUUUAAGACUGUUUUAUUUUUUAUUGAAUUAACGCUUUAUCGCUUUAUCACCUUUGUUAUAUUUUAUCAUGUUUUUGUCGUUUUAGUCCUAUAUCCAGUGUUUUCUUUUUUUUUAUCUUAAGAUAGCGUUUCCUCGAUCAUCUGUGGCAAGUUGUAGACUCCUCACCUGGUCUUUUGCGUGUGCAUCUGUGUGUGUGAGCGUGUGAGUGCUGUAUGUGUUGAAUGGGGGUUGGGAGGGUGGGCGGUGUUUGGUAAUUGUAUUUUUAUUUAUUUUAUUUCAUUGUUUUUAAUAUCCUGCUUGAAUAGACAGCAUUUUGUGCUACAUUAUAUGUAUGAAAAGUGCGAUAAAAAUUAAGUUUAAUUAAUUGAUUGAUUGAUUGAUUGAUUGAUUGAUUGAACCUUUGGGAAAACAGCUACGCCUAAUUGCUGAUUUUGUUUUAUGGUAAUUUCCAAUAGAAAAUACGUCACUUAUUCAACAGCUUUAAACAAGUCACCUGAAACGCAACCUCCAGCAGUGAUUUCAUACUUAGAUCAGGCUACAAAUUACAAGCAGGAUUAUAGGCCAGCAGACCCAAGUUUUCAAGACUGACCCCAAAAAUUGAUCAUUUUAAUCUGCGUAGUUUGUAACAGUCAUUCAAGGCCACGUCCGGGCCUUGGCACACAUCACAACCCUCCAACAUAAAGUCGUUAUGUUUGAUUUUUCUCUUUGUCGUCAUCAAUCUGUUUUGUUACAUCAGCAACAAUGAAGAUAGAGCACACAAGGACAUGUCUACUGCGGAGUUUACUCCUUAUUUUAGGUUUUUCUGAACACGACAAGUAUGAUACUUUCUACUCUGGACAUCAUUUACAGUCUCUCUGAGUAUUGAGCUCUUGAGUCCUUCUUUCUCAGUUUGGCGCAAUGAUUUGUCGAUAUCUUUUAUCAUGUUUUACUGUGCUUUGCAGAGACUGGGCUACUACAGAAAUUCUUGUCACUUGGUUGCUGAUAUUGUUGGUCUAUACAGUUUUGUUUUGGAUCAGAACAAGCAGAACACAAACUUCUUUGCUGCACUUUUUUCUCUUUUAACCCUCGACUCACAUCUCUUACUGAAGAUGGUGAUGCUCAGGCUCUUGUUACAGGCUUUUAGAAGUUGAGAUGCUGUUAUUUUUUUCCCCUCAAGUAAUCUCUGUGUUGUACUGAACAUGAAAUAGUGGAAUAAUAUUUUAGAAUCUCUGUAAUAUUAACUGUGCUAUUGCACUGCUCUGGGUCCAAGCAUACAUUUUAUGGCAGUGGUAUCCAGGCAACAGAGGCAAAAUCUAAAGCAAGCCAGCCAGGCUGUGAGUCAUCAAGCAGCUGUGUGAUAUUAGCCACUGGCUCAGUGAAAGUGAAUGGAAGAGAGCUGGACCAGACCCUUUGAGGUGAGCGUUAAUGGUUCUGUUUGAAAGUCCAACAACUGUCAUGACUAUAAAAAGAUGCAAAUGACUAUAAGACACAAAAAGACUGCCGAAGAGAUGCAAAAUGAUGAGAAGAAAAACAAGCACAAAUUAGAAAAAAAGAUUAAUGAAUUAAUCAUGCAAAAGCAAUCAGAGAAAUCACUAACUAAAAGGCAAAACAACUGCAGAAACACGCAAGUAUAGCCACGGAAAUGGACUCAAAACAACUUCAGAGAGGACCUGAGUAGCUACAGAGAUGCAAAACAACUACAAAGACUGUCAAAAUGAUCAAAAUGAUUAUAUGUCUGAUAGAGAGCCUUAGAGAACUUCUCUAUCAAAGUCUUUCACAAAUUUAGGGAAAAGCUUAAAGUAAUCUCAUCUAUAAACAAAAAUUAGUGGAAAAUUAAUUAUAACGCUUCACUCUCCAAAAUAAAAAAAAAGGUUAAUUCGGUCCAACUGCAAGACAUUUCUCUUGUCUAGACCAGUGUUUCCUUUUUUUUUUUUACCUUGAUAUGUUUCAACUGCGAAGUUCCCGCAGUCUUCCUCAGGAGAGUCAUGUGAGGUUGUUGUGAUGAUGUGUCUGUUGACUGAUUUUUAGAGAUUUGGCCGUUCUACCUACAGCCCUGUUGUCCAAUGCUACAAUAAAUGAAAUUGGGAACAUAAAAUUCACUCAUGAGGAGGAGACAGAAAAAAUUUAUUUCCUUCCUUGAUGUGAAAAUUUAGCACACAGAAAAUGGAAGUAGAAAGAUGAAACUUUUAGGAAACCAGCACACACAGAGGCUAAUACAUCAGAGUAAAUACACCAUGUCUCUCCUGCAAUAAAGCAGAUAAGGCAACAGAAACAUCUGGACCCCGCACUUGGGACAAAACAAAAAGCAGACCAAGAAAAUUUUAAAGCAGCCAUUUAAGACCACCGCAAGAGAGGAAACCACAUCAUGGAGUGAGAAAGGUCAAGAUCAUUUCCUCAGAAAGCAACAGAUACUAACGUUAGAUAAGAGAGUCAGUGGAGAUCCGAUAGAGAGCCUGGAGGACGGUCAACUGGGAUGUCACACAUCAGAGAUACUAUCAAGAGACUGUCAGACAACAGCAGGUUUGGUCAUCCUGCUGCAACAUCACAUGACUCUUUUGAGAGGGACUGCUGGAAAUGUGCAGUCGAGACAUGUCAAGAUAAAAAAGGAAACACCCUGGUCUAGAUAGAGAGAUAUUAGUGCAAAAAGCUUCACUGUUGACUGUGUUUCUGUGUUGGUUUCAGUCCAGCUGACACAGGCCUCUUUAAAGUACUGUUUAUGUGGCCUCCUCUGCUUUUAUACUGUCAUUGUUGCAAAUUUCCAAAAGACUAUCUGUUUUGUCUUUGCCCUAAACUACGCUGCGUCCAGGUGUAGUAGCAGAAUGAGAGCCAUACUUUGGAUUUGAUGUUCUUUCUUUCCUCGACCCCUCUGAGUAAUCCUGGCUGCAGUCAUGUGACCAACCUACGGCAAGUGAAGAAGGUUAUAAUUCUGUGCAAAAAGGAGAAGUGAACCCAGUGUGCUAUGUUUUCACAACACGCAGAUUAGGCGAGCCAUACCGCAGACUUUUAACAAACCGUACUGAGGCCACCUCUCAGUUCGGUUUGUUUUAAAGGGGUCUGAGCAUAGCUGGAGGGUUCACAUAUAGACAAAAAAUGCUGAGUCAUCGAUCUGAGUUUGUUUAGAGUGCUGAAAGGGACCAAGUGUGAAAACACCUUAAGACUGAGACUGUGACUAUAGGAAAAUGCAGGAAUGAAGACUGUGAGGUAGGGCCGGGUGAUAUGGCCUCAAAUCUGUAUCACGAUAUAUUGAGCAGUUCACCUCGAUAAUGAUAGACAAUAACUACUCAACAAGCUGCUCCCACAUGAACUUUGUCUACUUCAGACACAGACUGGAUGAGGUGGAGUCAUGUCUGAUGUAGCACAGAGUCUUAAAGAGACAUGAGACCAUGGCCUACCUACACACAUCCAAAACCAACUUUUAUCUAUUUAUCUUUUUGACACCAAAUAUAGUGAAAGGGCAAAAUGACGUCAGUUACUUUCAUACAUUUCGGUAUCAUUUUCGGUUUAUCGCCCAGCUCAACUGUGAGGUACAAUGACCUGGCAACAAGACAGUGAGAGACGAGGUUAAAUACAAGAGGUAAGGGUGAUGGGACACAGGUGGGGAGAGACAAUGACGAAGCAGGUCUGACAAGGCAGGUGCAGGGCAAACGGAACGAAUCUGAAACAGAGACAGGGGUUAAUGACUUCAAAAUAAAACAGGAGGGACAUGACAUGAAAAAUAAAUGAAUACUUGACAGACAUGACAGUCACAGGGCGCUCUCUCAGAAAUCACAGUAAAGUUGAAAAAAACACAAGCAUGAUGCUGGUUUUUAUUCACAUUCGGCCUCCCAAGCUGCAGUGUAAAAAUAUUUCCAAAUUGUGCAAAAAAAUGAUUGAAUUACUUGCCAAAAAAUGAGAGAGAGAGAAGAGAGAGAGAAAGACUCCAUGCGGUGCCUGUAGUCAUCUUCUCUUGUUCACUGCACAUGAAUGAUUGCAACUCCAGUUCUGAAAAACUACAGCGUAUGUCGCCCAUUUUUCAGCAUUGCCCCAAAGCUCUCAUUAAGUUAACAUCUCAAGUCUGCUCUCCCUGUAGAUUUUGGACAAAAACUGCUUUAAUGCAGCUGCUCCUCCAGCCUCUUACAGAUAUUUCCAUGCGUCACGUAUUGAUCGGGUCAACGUGGGACUUCAGUCGUAAACAUUCAGCCUCCGUGAGGAAAAUAAAUCUUUCCUGUGGUUAAGGAAGAGAGAGUAGGAGGAACAGUGCCGCCGUAUUUGGUGGGUAAUAAACUCUGAAACAACAAGAGAAUGAUGAAAUCAUCCAAAGCAAUUGUAUAUCCUCCUUUUAUCAUCUGUCUGACAUGAGGGUCAGAUGACUCAACCAAGAGUUUAGAGUUUUAUCAAAAGCCUGAGGACUGUCAGUCUGGUGAAUUAAAGCUGUAACCUGUGGGCUAAGAGAUACAGAAACUUCAUACAAACACAGAAUAUCUGCUAAAUGUUGAUAUUGAGUCCUUGGUCUAGGUAAACUACACCGUCAUAAAAAAUGACACACACACACAAGCCUCUUUGGUGCCCAUGUAAUCGUGUUUUUAGCUCAGCUGCAGCAAAGCUCCUGUCAGAGGGUGACAGUGUGCACAGUGAACAGCAUUUGGUGUUUGUGGUUUUGUUAAUGGAGCAGCGAGGGAGAGGUGCAAUGGCAACGUCGGGACACUAAUUAGCAGCUUUUUGGCUGCAAGGUUUGGAAAUGAAUACUCUAAAGGGGGGUCUCCUGGGUCUACAGUCAGCACUGCUGUGACAAAAACUGAGUCCUACAUCCUGCCAGGAGAUUAUCAGCUUUUCCUCUUACCCCUUUACAGCUGUAUGUCAAGGUGAAAGAGAACUGAUCUAAUACAGAAGAUUCGAUUUUCUUGUUAAUAUUUGUCUGAAAUUCUUUUUAAGAGCAGUACUUACAAAAACUGAAAAUUUAACAAAAGAUUUAAAACAUUUAAAGGGUAAUUCUUUUUAUUCGAACCCUCUAUGCACUUUAACAAAUAGGUACAAUUUCUAUAAAAGUAGCUUUAGCCAGCAGCUUCAAAACAUGAUGCAAUUCCUUUCAGGAUAAAUGUGCCUGAAAAGUUGCUUGUUAUUCACAAAUUAUGGACAGAGCUUGUUAUCAAAACUAUCUAAAAAUUACAGAAAAUAAUAGACUCUUUAAGUAAAAGUUAACUUUUUUUGUAAAUGUCUCCAGUGACUUUGAGGAGAGCUGAUGUGCCUGGUUUAAUAAUGAGGUUUUCACCAUAUAAGAAGGUCAGUGUCUUGAGAGAUCCAUUCUGUAGUGUUUCAGACACUUUAAAGGGAUAGCUUUGUAUUUUGAAGUGGGGCUGUAAGAGUUUUAUGUCACGAGUAAGUGUACUGGCCACAUUGGAUGCCAGUCACUUCUGGCAUUUUAAUGAGAAACUGCAAGAGAAACCACCACACAAGCUAGACAACAUUAUCCUACAGAAGGAGCAAAGUCUGACACUUGUUGCACUAUUUGCUGACAUCUGGUUUAACUCAUGAAUACAAAAGAUAGUUAAAAAACUGCAGCACUAAUGAUGUAGAUUACACUGACAGCAAUACUUUGUUGGAUCAAAAGGUAACCUGGGAUCUCUCCUGCUCUCCAGUUUAUCCAAAGAUUUCCCACUUUUUUCUUUUGGUCAGUUGAAUUUCAGUUCAAUAUUAUCUAAACCGUCUGCAGUCAUCGCUGCUGUCAGAAUAACUAUCAGUUUGGUUGUAUUUAUGUCUCUUUGAAGCCCACAGACCCAUACGGCUGACAGGCAUCCGUUGUACACCUCCUACUGAGAUGAAACUCAACUUCAUAACUACAUAACUUUCCCUCUAAAGAACAAUCUGUGCCCAUCUGUGGCAAAGUUUUAGGGGAUAUACUAUGUGGGUUUGGUGCUUUGUCUGAGGGGAUAACAUAAAUCUAGUAUUGCUGCAGCAGCUAAAAAUGGGAAGACUCUAAAUCCUGUUGAUAGGCAGCCAAAAUAGAGCCCAGCUUUAAGAAAUAUUACCCAAAUGUCAGAAUAUACUACAUGAUGUGCUGCAUAAAUUUCAGAAUAAAAUAGCUCAAUUCUGCACCUGCAGUAAAUAUUCUUUGCCUUAGCUGGUUGACAGCCAGCACAUUUGUUGUGAAGUGAUUCAUAAGAUAAAUCCCCAAGCAGGUGAACUUAGUUGGUUCAGACUUCCCUCCCAUGCAUCAGGUCAAAAGGCUGCACCAACAUUUGAACGUAUAAAUCAAGAAGUAAGCCUUGGGUUCACAUCUCAUCUUCCAUUCAGCCCACGCACAAAAUCACACACACACACUCACACAACCUUAUUUGAUUUUUUUUUUUCAUUCAAUCAAAUCACUUUUUGUUGGAACAGGUAAUUUAAUCACAGAAGAGUUAAAGAUGUGAGAGGAGAGGAAUUCAUCAGUACAGAUGCUGCAUGUAUGAGAUAUAUAAAGUUAUUCACCUUUUGACACAAAACAAACAGUCCAGAGGGACUAGCAUGACGCUGCUGGCUGGUUUUAUAUUUCAAACAUAAAACUAAAUCUUGUUUAGUAGGUGUGGUGGCUGAGCCUGUGAUUGUAUUUUUAAUCACUUAGGGGAAUUUCUCUCUGGACUCAGGCUCUGGAGUUAGGGGACUUGUAUUUCAUAGUAAAGUCUUCUCAACCACUGGGAACAAUGUCAAACCAUUUUUUUACAUUCACCUAAUCGUGUCGCUUUCAAACAAUCAAAGCUGGGAGUGCUGUGGUAGGUGGCCAUCAGCAUUUAUUAUUCAUACCCAUUCACACAUCUCUGAUGAUGUCCCUGGGGACAGAUUGUCUUGCACAAGGAUAUUGUCACUGGAGGACUGGGGACAAACCACUAACCCUGUAACUGAGAGAUGACCCACAGUCCUCCUGAGCUCCAAUCAUAGACUGUAUAGACUAUGGACAACUCUGCUCCGCCUUCCGUCAUUAUACGAAUUUGAAGCCGAAUUGCUCUCGAUAUUUCUGGGAUUUUCUCCACUUCCUGGAACCACUGUAGCGUUGUACCUAUUCUGUGGGAGAGUCGCUGUGAUGACACUCUGCUCAAACCACAUAUCCCCUGGGUGAGCUACCCGAUCUUCGUACACCCAUAGGCUGUAUCAAGAAAACAUGAACUCCCUAAUAAGUUUUAAAAAUGGAGCUGCACAGGAAAAAGAGGACUUGAGCACAAACCAGUCUUAAUAUAACUACAUGUCAACAUCGCAAGCAGGGGGGUGAAAAAUCUAUAUUCUGUGUAAUUUCUAAAGUUUGUCCACAGCUCCAUAAGGAUUGCUGGAGGAGGCAGGAUUUAUGACCGAUACUGCAGCCUGUCACCAGAGGGUGCGGUUCUCACGGUGGCGUUACCGAGCGAGGAGGCAGACGGCAUCCAUUCUAUAUACAGUCUAUGGGCCCAGUCAAUCAGUCACUGGCAUUGGAAUGAGGGAGAUACCAAGAUUUGUGGUACCCCCUCCCCAACAAUAGAUUAGAAUAAUACUUGGCAUAGUCAUAGCCAUGGCAUAAUCAUAAUCUCUGACCCCAACAACCCACAGGAUAUGUGUGCACUGCAUCCUGGUUUUGCUCUGUGUACGGUUGGCCCAUAGGGUGGAGUUGUGUGUUUAAAAUGCAGCAUGGUAUGGAGCAGUUGGACUCAGUAUACAGACAACAUUUGCAACAGCAGACUUUUUUUUUUUCUGGCUUAAUCACAGAUAGAAAACUUGGCAGCUCAUGAUCCUGCUGUGUUCAAGAUUUAUCAUGGAUGGACCAUGGGGUUGUUUUGAUUAAAUCUCAUCACGCUGAUGCUCUGUGUUGUUGUGCUGUUGUGGUCUGAAAUUUACCAGAUGGUGUGUGAUCCCCAUGUUUAAUAUCCUGUCUGGGUCGAUCCCCUCUGUUCAGCUUGAUGCGCAGUGAGUGCAGGCUCUGUUAAGAUUGGACUCAAUGCAUAUCUAUAGUAAGUUGGAGCUAGACGAAGCUUCUGUAAUAGAGCUGAGACGUGCUGUGGUGCUCCCUGUGUGGAAACAGGAGCGUUGACUAGAAUGGGCACAUAACACUGCACAGCACUGACAGCAGGCGGUGCGUGUGGAUCCUGUGGGUUUUAGGAGUGAGUAUCCUGUCAAGUAGGUGUUUAAUAUGAUGUGAAUGACUGUAUUUAAAAAUGUUAUAAAAUAUUAUAACCUGCUGGAAAAGCUUAUGGCCUUCCUCUUGCACCAAACUUUAAAGCCAUUUUUAUGUACCCACUGUGAUCAUCAAAAUGUCCUCGUUCAGAAGAGAGAAAAGAGGCUAAAACUUUCAUUCUAAUUUCUCUUGGGAGUGUCCUCUGUCCUGUAAAGUUUAUAUACACCACUUUUGGUUUUGCUGCCAAACUGUGCUACGAUACUAGUUGCUAUGGCAUUAAUUUGAACAUGAAAAUAUUUAAAAUGCAAAAACAGCCUUUUUGAUAAUGAAGAAAUAACAUUUGUAUUUUGUCAUGUCUUCUUGUGUGUAAGCUGUUGAUGCAUGAAGCUGCGAGUUUUGUUGACUGUACAUGAGCUGUGCUGGCUCGAGGGUUAACUCCCCCUGUGGUCUUCAUUAAUAUGAACUAAUUGAAAAUGAUUAUAGCACAGCAAAUCAUGUUACUGCAGGUCUCUGCUGUUGUUUGGGUAGUUAUGGGAAUCCUCAGGUCAUCCUUGAUGUGAUUUGGUAUCUGGGUUUGUGAUGACACCCAUUAGCUAUGAUCAUAAUGGAGGCAAAUAAGAAAAAAAAAGGAUAUGAGUGGUAAAGAGUAUGAGAUGCAUGUCAAAUACUAUCUAGCAUGAAGACAGGAGGAGCAGCAGCAAAGAUAUGCGCACAGGAUCAGUAACAUUUCAACACUUGUAAAUUCAGAUGUAGCAUAGAAAGGAGGAGUUCGGUUGAAGCUACAAAGCGGAUUAGAGCAGGAAGAGUAGGCAGACCAGAGCAGUUCAAGCAGGACAACCAUUCUGACAUCUGCUGAUUGAAUGUAUAGGAGGUAAUCUCCCGAGUUUUCAGCUGAUACGGGCUGGUGUUAGAUCAGAAGAUGCGCUGUGAGCUGUGGUCCGUGGCCUACCUGAACUAAUUCUACGCUUAGUUUAAAGACAAUAAGACGUGGACAGUGAAAAUGCCAAACUGAAGGCUUCAAAACAGCAAUUCACAAACCAAAGGGAACCAUUAAGAUGCGUCUGUGGCUCAGACACACAACAGAGCCUGAAGUGUUGAUGAACCCAGGUGCUGUGUGGGCUUUUUAAUCCAAUUAAUGAUGAAUCCCUCCUAAGUUUUCAACCCACCUGGUAUGCAUCAGAAUAAGAGAAACAUCAGUCUCAACUCACAGCGUCUCUGUGGAGGAUGUCUGAGUCAUUCCUCCUUUAGACAUAGUUAUACCUGCACAUAAACAGGUUGUUUUGAGAAAAGUCUGUGUUCCCUCUGGUCAAUGAAAUAACACUGUGCUGCUGCCACCUACAGGCCCCUGAAUAAACACAGUGACAUAUUUUAUAAAGCUGCUUGCAUUGAGAUGAAAGAAAAAGUAGUUGAUCAUCAUUUCUGUUUAGUCAGAUAUUAAAUUAGGUGAAAUUGAGCAUAAAAAGACGUAUAUAUCAUCCAAAAGUUAUGUGUGUAUCUGGUUGUAAAUGUCUCUUUUAAUCUCUCUAUUGAAUGCUAAAGAAAAAAUAUUGGAAGAAAUAAAAAGGACAUUGUAAAAUAAGAGGCAGGUGGUACAAAUGAUAAGCAUGUUCAAAUAGUACCAGCAGGGGGCAGUAAUGCCACAUUAUAUCGCACGAGAUGAGAGCAGACACCAGGCGAGGGCGGAGUGGAAAACUCCCACAGUAUAUAAACCCCAUUUCUCUUCAUUCCCCAUAAGUCAAUGCUCAGGUCCAUCAUUUUCCUUGCACUGCUCCUCAGAAAAGAGGAGUCCAGUCCUGUGGAAUUUGAAAAUGAACACUGUGUCACUCUUAUUAUGUCCUAGAGUUAAACCCAGGGCAGAGAAGGCUCAUUCCUGCUCCUGAACUGUCUUAUUUAACAAGCCUCUGUGACAGGUGGUUUCUAUAACCGGCAGCUUGAGAAGAGUUUUUUUCUUUCUUUCUUUUUUUGUCAGGAACAAAUUCAAUCACCUUGGGGCAUAUGUCUCUUUUCAAGUGGAAUUGGCAGUAAAUAAAUGUACUGUCAAACUCAAAGAGCAGAUGUACCAAACGGAGGUCAGUGCUUGAUUAUGAAGGAUGAAUUAACCUGCUGACAACCCCAGAAGGCAAAAAUGCAUUGUGAACUCUUUGGGAACAUAUCUCUGAUCGGUUGUUAUUUAAAAGCAGAUUUUUUUUCCUGAUUUUAAAACAGUUUCACUCUUAUAUUGAUACACAUGAUAAAAUGACAAGACCAGUUACUUUUAUAAUGACUUUUAAUGAUUGUGUUUCAGUUGGAAUUUCGAAAGAAUGAGUUUACAAUGAGCACUCAGCUGCUUACGUUCAGCACGACAUGUGUCUGUAGUCUACAUGUUGAUACUUCAUGCCUAGUGUCCUCUUAGGGGUGUGACUGAUACUCACUUAUGUCUAAAAUCACCCAUUACUCACCCAUAUAGCUGCCUUUAUCAUGAAUAUACCAUUUUGUGGUGCCGUCCAAAUUCUACUUAAUUAUUGUACACUAUAUUGUUAACAGUGCACAGUGAAAGGUAGUGCACAAGUGUUGGUCUCAAACAAAGCUAUACACCCUAAUUCAGUCAUUACAGUAUUACUCUUGCUCUUUAAUUAGGGUUGGAGUUAGGGUUAGUGUUGGAGCUAGGGUUAGGGUUGGGCUUGGAGCUAGGAUUUUUCUGAGUGCAAUGAACCAACUCCCGAGUCUCUAGGACGUUCCUAAAAAAAAUUGAUUUUUUCCCAUAGGAAUGCAUGGGUAAGGGUUAGGGUUAGGGUUGGAGCUAGGGUUAGGGUUAGGGUUAGGGUUGGAGUUAGGGUUAGUGUUGGAGCUAGGGUUAGGGUUGGGCUUGGAGCUAGGAUUUUUCUGAGUGCAAUGAACCAACUCCCGAGUCUCUAGGACGUUCCUAAAAAAAAUUGUUUUUUUUCCAUAGGAAUGCAUGGGUUAGGGUUAGGGUUAGGGUUGGAGCUAGGGUUAGGUGUGGGGUUGGAGUUAGGGUUAGUGUUGGAGUUAGGGUUAGUGUUGGAGCUAGGGUUAGUGUUGGAGCUAGGGUUAGGGUUGGGCUUGGAGCUAGGAUUUUUCUGAGUGCAAUGAACCAACUCCCGAGUCUCUAGGACGUUCCUAAAAAAAUUUGAUUUUUUCCCAUAGGAAUGCAUGGGUUAGGGUUAGGGUUGGAGCUAGGGUUGGAGCUAGGGUUAGGGUUGGAGUUCGGGUUAGUGUUGGAGCUAGGGUUAGGGUUGGGCUUGGAGCUAGGAUUUUUCUGAGUGCAAUGAACCAACUCCCGAGUCUCUAGGACGUUCCUAAAAAAAUUUGAUUUUUUCCCAUAGGAAUGCAUGGGUUAGGGUUAGGGUUAGGGUUGGAGCUAGGGUUAGGGUUAGGGUUAGGGUUGGAGUUAGGGUUAGUGUUGGAGCUAGGGUUAGGGUUGGGCUUGGAGCUAGGAUUUUUCUGAGUGCAAUGAACCAACUCCCGAGUCUCUAGGACGUUCCUAAAAAAAUUUGAUUUUUUCCCAUAGGAAUGCAUGGGUUAGGGUUAGGGUUAGGGUUGGAGCUAGGGUUAGGGUUAGGGUUAGGGUUGGAGUUAGGGUUAGUGUUGGAGCUAGGAUUAGGGUUGGGCUUGGAGCUAGGAUUUUUCUGAGUGCAAUGAACCAACUCCCGAGUCUCUAGGACGUUCCUAAAAAAAAUUGAUUUUUUUCCAUAGGAAUGCAUGGAAAAAAAAAAUUGAAAAAUUUUCUAAUUGCCAACCCAAUUUUUCACCUUCCAGAAUUGUGUUAGGAGCACGUUUCAGGGCAUGGGGAGUCUAUAGAACUUAAUUCUGGGGGAAGUUUUUUGAAAAGUUUACUUAGGGUUUGGGUUAGGUGUGGGUAAGAGAUACAGUGAUAGCCCCCGCUUUCGUCUGUUGACUUGGCGGUUUGGGGUAGGCUAAUCAAGGGCUUGCACUGGCCGUCGCAUGUCGACCUGUCACAUGUUCCCAGUCGAGUCUCCGAGCUCAAUCUGUUAAUAUGAGUUACUGAGAAGUACAGAAUACAUCGAACCAGUUUGUAGUGAGGAAUAUUGCACAGUUAAAGAGAAUAUUGCACAGUUAAGCUUAAUAAUUAAUGCAUUAUUAGUAUUGCCAUAUUACCAUUUUACCUACAAAUUGCAGAGGUGAAUGAAGUUAAAUGCACGUGAAGGAGUUUGCAGCUACUAUAUGAGAUUAAGUUCAGGGACAGGGAUGAGUUAUAAAGUUUAAUGUUCCACAGGUAAGAAUGACUUCCUGUGAUGCUAUAUUGUGCACUCGGGGGGGAAUAAGGCUAACACUGAAUGUGCUCCUGUGUUUAUCCAGUGGGUUAUGGAGUGGAUGCUGGCCAAGAUUACAUGUACAGUAGUUUGGACAGCAUCCUCCUCUCUGUCACCAAUGUCAGAGAGUCCAGCUCUACACCCACAACCUCACCGGCCUUGUGGGUGAGUUUGUCAAGUUAGUUGGCAUCCGCUACCCUCAGUCUGCUGCCACAGACAGCACUGACAUUAUUAUUAGGCAUCAAGGAUGACAGCAAGUACCAUCCGAUCUGGCCACAUGGGCCAGCCUUUGCUCUUCACACAUUAAUGAGCCUCAGGGGAGCCACGAAAGAUUUGGGACCCCAUGAGAAAGUAUCACAACGGAAACAAAUACUUCACUAAUGCAUAUAGAUUUCUGUAGGGCCCCAUGAAGAAUCCUCCUAAAUCUCCUCCCCCAUACAGCACCCCUGAUGAGCCUUAGCUUAGUCGAUGAUCCUGUCAUUAGUCCUCUGUUUUCUUUCCUUGGACCACUUUUGGUAAGUUCCAACUGUUGUUGCCAUAAUACCAAAUUUUUUGUGUGUGAUGCCAAUCCUAAAACAAUCCUUAAAACUGAAACAGUACUGGUUCAAUACUCAAUACCUAGAACAGAUCAGGAUGUCUACAAGAUAGUGUCAGGUAUGCAGCUCACCUGUUUUAAAAGGCUUGUCAUGUUGUGUUAGAUGCAGGGUGUGUCUGACAGUGAUUUGCUGAAGUUACAUUUCACAUAUUCUACAAUUUGGCAGCUCUUGGAUAAUUUACAAAUUGGUUUGACACCAUACAGUAAAAACUUGACUGACAUCAAAAAGUGACACAUGCUGGUUAUUCUAAUACUGUACUGGGUAUUAUAUCAUAUAAUACCAUUAAAAUGAAAAGUAUUAAAAAAGUAUGGAGUAUCUCUUUUACUUUUAACCUCAAACCUACAGAGUAAUCGGUGGUUAAAGUUGCAUGCAUGUAGGUUUGAAGGUUUGCAUGCACACAGUGCAGCUGUCUCAUGUUAAAGCUGCUCUUUGCAUUUUGACAGCUGUGUGACAUCCUGGUCCAGGGUCAGCCACAGGCCAGUUUUGUGGGUCUGUGAGAGACUCUUGACCUCUCAUGUUGCUCUUUGCAUUUCAUAACCUUGAAUCUGCCUCUCUCUUUCAUCACCAACAUCUUCUAAUAGACCUCAUUUACAAGGCCUCUUUUCAUCAGGGCAGCUACUAGAUGUUAAACAGAAGGAGCUGUGGCUCUUAAUGAUGGGUUGCAAAAUGUGUUGUGGUAAGCCAUUAUUGUGUUUUAUACAGGCACCCCUGUGGAUAUAUUUGAGAGAGUAAUUGUAGGCAAUCAUAGAAAUUCUCUCUGAAGAAGGUCCAAUUUCCAAAUAUAAUACACAGUUUAGUCCCAUCCUCUUUCAGCAAAUUCAGCAGCUCUUGACCAACAACUCAAAUUGAGCAAUUUUUCCUGGAGUGCCUUAAUUGGUGUGUUCUGAUCACAUACUUAUAGCAACACUGUAGUGCAGAAACAAGAGAAAUCAGGUUGAAAAAUUCAACCCAGUGUGAGUAAAUUUUCCUCUCCACACCACCUCUUUCACAUCAGUUCAAUCUCAUUGGCCUUUUCUCUGGUUCUGACCAUGUACUUUGAUAUUAUUUUUUUACAUAAAUAGAGUGGCUGUAGCUACCUUGACAUCAAACACAAACAGCAAUCAUAGGUAUCCAAGAUUAGCUGUUAUGCCAUUGUUGUCUUUCUUGCCUUCACCUCACAGUUUUUUUUGUUUACUUAUUGUCGAUAUUCAGGCAUGAGGUCGAAGCUAGGGAGCUACAAAGGGAUUGCUUGGUUAAGAAAUCAAAGCUUUACUUUCUCUGUCUUUCUGCUGCCCAGCCCACAUCUUUGUUGGCAGAGCAAGAAGCACUUGAACCAAAUGAUAGAAAGAACCAGUCUUUUCAUCAGUGCACUGCCUACUUCUGUAUUGGUAGAAAACACGCAAUCAUCCUAAAUCAUAUGCAAAGUAGGCUACAGUGCCAAAGUAUAUGACCAAUAACUUUUUAAGUUUUCUAAGAUUUCCCUCACCUUCAAAUAAGAACAUUCACAAACAUAUUGGUGGGAUUUAGUUUAGCACUCAUUCCUACUGAACACAACUUAAUGGACCAGAUAGAUGGAUAAAUGGAGUUGGAUGAAUUGCUCAAUUUGAAUGGAUGGGUGGUUGGAUAGAUAAAUGGAUGCACAGAUGCAUGGAUGGAUGAGAAGAUGUAUGCAUGGAUAAAUAAAAGCAUGGAUGGAUGGAUGGAUGGAUGCUUGCAUGGAUGGAUGGUUGGAUAGAUUAAUGGAUGAAUGGAUGCACAGAUGCAUGGAUGGAUGAGAAGCAUGGAUGGAUGGAUGGGUGGAUGCUUGCAUGGAGGGAUGGAUGGAUGGAUGCUUGCAUGGAUGGAUGGUUGGAUGGAUGGAUGGAUGGAUGGAUGGAUGGAUGGAUGGACCCAUGGACGGAUGGAUGGACCCAUGGAUGGACCUAAAGGAUUGCUGGACUUAAUUGAUCGAUGGGCAUGAUAGAUGGAGCUAGUAGAUGGAUUGGUAGGUCACAUCAUGAUUGGCAGUCAAGUACCUGAGGAGCUACUUCACACUCACACUACAGUCCACACUCUUGAACAUCUGCUUAAGACUGACACGAAAAGCUGUUUAAGUAUUUUGGGUACAGGUUAGAAGUCAAUUAGAUCACACCACCAUCUCAUGUCCAUCAUUAUAUACAGUCACUAGUCAUACCUGAGGUAACAGCUAGCACUUACCCAUCACUCCCACGUGACCAUGUCCCUCGAAAAUGAAUUUUGGUUGCAGAGUUUUAUAAAAAUCCACCCUUUUACCUUUUUUUUUUAAGUGAAAAAGUAAGAUGAGAAAAUUAUCCAUGAAGGUAAAAUAUAUCUGCCAAAAUGCAAAUGAUUUUUCUUUCAAUAGGGCUCUAAGUAUUAAACCACUUUUGGAGCUAGCUUCUAGUGGCUACAUGAGGAACUGUACUUUCUGGCACUGAUACAUCAGUUUCACUUUUUUAACCUUUUCAUUCAAAAACAACUUUCACAUCCAAAUCGAAUUGUGAAUGAAAGCAGAAACCCAUAUGGAUACAGGAAAUGUGUAAAAUAUUACAUGUCAAACUACUGAAGGAAAUCUGAACAAGCAAAAUUCAUAUCAGCUGGUGGAAAAAUGGAGGCAAAUGAUCAUUCACAGCAAGCGAAGAAAUUUAGAUUUUGGGAGUUUCUGUAAGAUGAUUUAAGUCAGUGCAAUUAAGAGCAAUUUAAGAUUUUAAAGGAUGCCAUAUGUUCCUUCAUCCUCCUCUUCCAUCCACAGAAGUCACCGAGGCCAGAUUGGAGCGGCUCUUCCAAUCACAGAGCAGAACAGGGAUGAUUACAGGGCAGUCACCGAAAUGGUGGAGAUGACAUCAGCAACCAAAAAUUGGCUGACUUUAUUUGGUCUCGCGGGAAUGGCAGUGAGAAAGGAAGGUCUGGCCCAGGGCACAAUGACAGACCAGGGUAAAAUAGGCUAAGAGAAGUUUUGGUGAUAGCAGAUGCCAUUUCAAAUACAGAGAAAAGCAGGGCUGAAGCAUAUGAAAUCAAAAGAUUUAAAAAACUGGACACUUGCCAUUUUAAAAAGAGUCAUUUUUCUCUUGGUUAUAUGAUAGCAGAGGAGUGUUGUUUACCUCAGGACUGUGGUUGGAGCUCCAUUGUAGAAUAUUUCUAUACUCCUGAACGUGAAAUUAUAUAGACUUCCUGCUCUUGGCAUGAACUCCUCACCUCAGCUCCGUUUAUUGCGUGUUGAGCCGAAAUACAUCCUCCUCUUCCUCUCUUCUCUGUCCAGUUUCUCUCCUCCAUCCCCACUUCUUUUCACCCUGAGUCCCCACAAUGCUGUCCUCCUCACCCCUCCCAUACCAAAACCACAGCCCUGUACUGGAGCUGCAGACAAAGACACAAACACAACUUGGCAAUCUCUUGGUCAAACCCGCGUGAUGGAGACAGUCUCAGCGGCUAGAAGGAGGAAUUCCAGCAAAUGGACAAAUACAGUUUUAUUGCUACCUACCUAAAACAGUUAAUUACAUAUGGUCGUUGAUGUGGAAUCUUUUCUGUAGGCUGUCUGUGAACAAACUUUGUGGUUCUUUGCAAGCUGCCUAUUUGACCUUCUCUGUGUAUUUCCCUCACACUGGCAGCACUACAUUGACACGUGCUGUGAGCUCGGUGCUGAGGAUAUUCACAGGCAAAGAGACAAGAACCUUUUAGUCAACGGCAACAAAAGAGUCCUUGAUCAUAUUCACAACAGCCCUCUCAAACAUUUAGUGUCAAAAGCUGGUGAGGAGCACCACUUUUCUUGACACCAUGCAUGGCCCUCUUAUGCUCCCUCCUCACUGAUGCACUGUGUGCCAAACUAAAAAUACACUGUGUGUGUUUGUAGUUCCACUAUACAGGGUGUCAAAACAGAGAGCCGCACACAGGAUCCGUGUGUUUGCUUUUAAGCCCUUAAGGCACAUGACAACUCCAGUGUGUGAGAACCUGGGUAUAAAUGGAGUACAUCAACAUCCACAUGCAUAUAAAUGAAACUAAACUUUAGACAUGUCAACAUUAACAUGCUGUGUAAAACACAGCAGUGCUUCGAGCGACACCCUCAGCAUAAAAAAAUAGGUCACUGUGUAAAAUGUUUGAUGGUUUGCAAGUAAUUUAGAGCCAAUUGAAAAAUUGCUAAGAUCAAAUAUUAAACGUCAAAUCUAAAAACAAAUCUUUUGUUAAACCAAAAAAAAAAAAAAAAUCCUGCCUGUGUUAAAUUUGAUGCACAGCAAUACAUGUCAAAAAGUUGGGAAAGAGUAAACAAAACAGGGAAAACACUUAAGUCCGACUAUAAUCGGAGCUUGAGCACUCCGAUGGGAGUCGGAGAACUCUAAUUAAGACACCCAGAUAAUGCGAUUGGAAUUCGAUUUUCUCUACUAUGUAACCGGGGAGUCAGAGUAUGACUGGAUAAGGCAUGUGCUCAUGUCUCACGCCCCCGUAACCCCGGAACAAAAAAAACAGAAAAGAGGAGAAGGGUGCAUCUCAUCUGCAGAAAAAGUAGCACGUACAUCAUGUACAACAAAAACAACACUGUAUGAUGCUCAAUUUUCUUGCUUGAAAAUACCCAGCAGCAGUUGUAGCCAUUUCUGACGUCUGGCAUGGACCUGCUGUUGUUGUUGACAGUUGUAUGGGGUCAGAAACAGCUGAAAAGACCCAUAUCGCCCCCUAGUUUUGGGGAGGAAGACAGGUUCACGUCAAUAAUCUGAUUUUCUCAGCUGCAUGUAUACGUGGACAAGGAGAGAAGUCCGAUUUGGCGGAAAAAAAAACGAAUUGUGAGCUUAGUCUGAUUAAGAUGUGCAUGUAAACGCACUGAGUGAAGCACUCCUUCAGUAUUUUUGUAAACAAACAAGAUAGCAGCCUUUACAGAGUUCACUGAUUGGUUGAAGGUCUGUCCAGUUCCUUCAAGAGACACUUCCUAGAAAGAGGAACACACAGAUACAGACCCGAACACAAAGGCAAACUGGUUUAAAAUUGUGAAGAAUUUAUCAGCUACAGAAAACCAAUACUGAUCCAGAAACAACAGUGACCUCUCUUGGAGGUCCUGCAUGCUUGGCUUCAAAGUCACAAGAAGGAAGAUGCUGAACCAAUGCAGUUAACGUAUUACAGCAUGCACUCCAAAGAAAAAUACAAAACUAUCCUUACUGUUUGCAGCCUUUUGCCAGGUGCAUAAUUGUAUAUAAAACAGGACCUUCAAAGGAAUAGCAUUACCUGGAUAAGUCCCUCAGCUAUCACUGUGCAUCUCUAGCUAAUCCAGGUCUACGUUUGCAAAUUUCAGGAAGCUCUAGCCUGUGUUUAGCCUAAGCCAAGGGAGAGGAGAUGGAGCUGUGUCAGUGUGCUAAUACCUACUUGUGCUCCUUUCCAAAGACCACUAAUCUUGCCCCGGGGAGAAACAGACCCUGAUCUAGCUCACAGGCUGUGAAGAGCCUUGUCCCCUCUCAUCUCUUUUUUCUUGUCUCCAUUCUGGUUUAUACUCUGUUAGCACAAGUGAUGUUGAAUUAUCAUGUGAAAGUUCAACUUUCUCUCAUCAAUUUUUGAUAAAUUCUCUCAUGAGUUUAGAUGGCAGAUAUUGAUGAUUUUGAAAACAACCAAGAGCAGCCUGACACAGUGACACAGCUAAAAAAAACAGUACAGAUUAGGCUAGAAAUCACUGUGUCCCAGGAUUAUAGGCUAAGGAUAAAGUCUCUACCUAUCUGUAUGAAUGAGACGUGCAGCUUAGGGGUCCAGGAUAGGGAGACCACUUCAACCUGUUGAUCGAUGAGACAUCUCAUUCAGGUGUAAAUGUGCUAUCACAUCCAGUUUUUUCACCGAGGGGCAGACGACAACUAUUUCAAAGCACAAACAACCUAACUCAAUCCUCUAAGAUUUAUAAAUUAAAUUGUAUCUAAUUUAAUCUAAUCUAAAUUUAUCUAAAAGCACCAGUGCUGAUAUUUGCUUCAAAUUGACUGUUGUGUCAGUCACCCUCUUCUUUAAAUGUAGAUAUAUUGACGAUCACCACACUGACUGGCUUAAUAACAGCCUUGUGCUGGCAGGCGUGACAGACAUAGCCGCUGGGACAGCCAGUAAAAGCAGAAAACCUCUGUCAUUAGCAUAUCAUGGUGUUCUUUACUCUGAUUCAACACCAGAAACCGAAAUCCCCUUUUCAUUUUCACGUACAGACCAAAAUCGAAGCUGACACUUUAUAUUUGGUUCGUAUUAAACCAGGAAACCAAUGACCUGGAAUUUUCCACCAUAAUAUAACCCCAUGUCCCUGUUGUGUGGUGCCAGGGCAGUAAAUAAAAGGACUCAGGCUGCUUGUGUUUCUUUUGUGGGCUUUUAUGCACUGGCAUAUGCGAGCUGUGUGACUUCAUGCUGGUGUGUAAAAGAAGCAGAAAGAAACCUAAUUGAAAAAUAAUUGUAUCAUUGACAUAUAUCAUUUUCCAUGUUUCCGUGAUGUUGGAUAUUUAUAUCUAUGAACAGAUAGUAUCUUUACAGUCAUCAUAUCACAGUCAUGUUUGGCCCUUUCUCAGCCAGCCGUGUCUAAUAAGGGGAAAUACGGAAAAGCUGCUCUGCUAACAAGCCUCACGAGAAGUGUGAGAAAAAACAUCCGGCAGGCUUAUACUUCAUGGCGCGCAGUGACAGGAGUGAAAUUGAGACCUGUGAUGUUAAAGUGCAGCGUAGCAGAAAGUGUGAAUGUGUUUUCUGGUUCAGAGUCAAGGGAAACAAACAGAUGUAAUAGGCGAGAGCACCACGGCUUAUACGUUUCAUUUGAUGUGACCACAAGUCUAAGACUGAGUGACAGCGGGAGGUUUUUGUGAUUUGGUGCAAAACAAGUCAAUAUGCAAGACCCUAAAUCUCAUCCUUCAAACCCACUCAAAAAACCUACAAGUUUUGUAAAGGGGUGGGGUCAUGUCUCACCCUGCUGUUAUUCCAUUUCAUUUUAUUACACAUAAAUCCAGCAACCAACUAAAUAUAAAUCCCAGUUGUCAAUAAGUACUGUGAUUAUUUUAAAAGAUUCAAUUAUGCAGAUUUAAAUAUAUAUAUAUAUGUGUGUGUGUGUGUAUAUAUAUAUAUAUAUAUACGUAUAUAUACAUAUAUAUACAUACAUAUACAUAUAUAUAUACAUAUAUAUACAUACGUAUAUAUAUAUACAUACAUACAUAUAUACACACAUAUUUUACAUAUAUAUAUAUAUAUAUAUAUAUAUGUAUAUAUACUUCAGAUUCAAUUUAAGGUCAUGCAUUUUUACAAGCAAUUUUAAUAGGUACAGAUGAUAACCCUACAAAGUCCUCAUGGUGUCUUGUGAAGACAAAUAAAAGCCAUAUGAAAAUCCAUGUUCGCAGUUUAUUAUCCCUGUACUCACAUUUGUCAGUUGCUAUGACACAGAUUCAUAGUUUGCUCACAGAUGACAAAUCCAUGGGUAUAAUCAUUUUUAUGGUCCCCCGCGUGUAAAUUGAUUUGUAACCCAUGCGAACACAUUUUCAAGCUGUUUGCAUGGAUUACACACAGUCAGCUUCCCUUUGCACAAAGGACAAAUCCUUUCAUUACAAAUCCAUGAGGAUGGAUGCUCAAGGAUUUGCAGAUUGCUCUUUUUUUCUUGAUCCAUAUCCCUGUAACUUUUCUGUUGGCCUUUACUUUUCAUUUAAUUAGUCCCAUAACACUGACAAAGUCCAUACAUUACAAAGUGCACACCAUCCAUCCAUUUAUUCUGCUUUGAACUGGGUUGCAGUAGCAGCAGGUUAAGCAGGGUGACCAUCACUCUCCAGUGCAAUGCUUUCCAACUCAUCCUACUGGAUUCCAAGACACUUCCAUGUAGGGCUGAAACGAUUACUCGAGUAACUCGAGUAACUCGAUUAAUAAAAUUCCUCGAGGCAAAUUAUAUGCCUCGAGGAAUCGUUUAAAUCCGGAACCAUGUGCAGCGCACGGUGUUUGACACGGACGGUUAUUUCUGUUGCGCAGAAGCGUGCUCUUUCCGCUCCUUCCGCUGCCGCGCGUUUGGUUCAAUCAUGGAGGGAAACGAGGACAGACAGAAGCUGUGUCCGAAAUGGCAUACUGCCUGCUAUUUACUUACCUACUCAAGCAGUAGCUACUGCCUACUGACUACUCAAAGAUGAUUUGAGUAUGCCGCGGCUGCCCGAGCGUUUACACACAUACAUACUAAAUACCCCAGAAUGCAUUUCGUGCCGGCCGGACGCAGCGCCGGGAAAAUUUAAAUAGUCCUACCACAAGCUACAUAGAACGACUGCAUACCGGACAAAUUAUAUAAAUUCAUUCAAUAAUAAUAUUUUUUCUAGCGAGAAAGUAAGUGUUUACAUCACGAUUAUGAGCCCAGUUGUUUGAAAUAGUGGCUGUUUGUAAAUUUGUCUCGGCGUUUUCGGAGACCGAAGCGUCCACUUGGUCGGUGUUUGCGUCUAUUUACCGUAAACACCGGGCAGCAGCAGCUCCCCCUUCACGUUUCCAAAUUAUUGCGAAGUGUUUUCAUAAUCAACAUCUACACGACACAGACCGGGCGGCAGUGGAUGAAAAAAAUCACACAAACAUCCGUGUAUCCAUGGUGAUAAUGCUAUACACCACCUGCUAGGCGUGUGAUGAGCAGCAGAGGGCUGCAAAAUGACCAACACACAACAACAUGUAAAUAAAAAUGUAACACUUUUAUAUAUUGAAUAAAUGUACAUUUGCUUGUCAAAUUAUGUUAGUAUCCAAGAAUUAUAUUAUUUCAGCCUAUUAAUUAAACAAGUAAAAUUAGAUCCAAAGCCUGGAAAUAGUUGUGACUGGUUUAGUGAAAACUGCAAAGAUCAUUACCAUAGCAAUUAAAAGACCAUCUGCAGACCUUGCCUUCAGUAGUUUCAUGUGAACUACAUGGUAAAAUGUAAAACUUUUGGUUCCUGAUUUAUGCAGUAAAAAUAUUCAUUUGAAAGACCUGGCCUAUUUCAGUUUUGUGUUUUACUGAUGGUUUUUAAUGAGGCAAACGUGAUUCAAUGCAAAGUAUUACAGUGAGAGCAAAACAUUUCUUAUCCGAUUACUCGAUUAAUCGACAGAUUAAUCGAUAGAGUACUCGAUUACUAAAAUAAUUGAUAGCUGCAGCCCUACUUCCAUGCCAGACGGGAUAUGUAAUGUGCCCAGGAAGCCUGCUAAUAGGAGGGUGACCAUAUGUCCUCUUUUACCCAGACAUGUCAUCUUUUUUGGGGGCUGUCUGGCUUUGUCUGGGGGAGUUUAUAAAAUCCUUGUGAUGUCUGUGGUUUUGUACGUAAAUUUGGAGUUUGUGUUACUUGGACUUACCGAGUUAGAAGCACGUAAAAGACACUCGAUCCGACCCCAAAAAACUCUCAAAAUUAACUUUGUGCGAUUCUUUGACCCCGCCCUCACAUAGUCGUGUCCUCUUUUUGGGAAGUCAGAAUAUGGUCACCCUACUAAUAGGGGACCCAAGGAUGACACCCUAACCAGAUGUCUUAACCACCUCAGCACACCCUAAAGUUUAGCAUUUUCUAAAUGAGUGUGAACCAAUAUUAAAAUAUUGUCCAUGCCAUCUACCAGUGGUAUUACAAACCAACUUUUGCCUUAUUAUAAACAGGAACAGGUGGAAUUUUUAACAUUUCCAAGUGCCAAAAUCCUUUCCAGAUUGAUUUGAGGUGUAGCAUCUGAUUGUUGCUUGCAUAGCUCCUCCUAUUCAGAGCUAAUAUUAGCUAUGGGGCUUUAAACAAUCAGAAUCAUGUGUGUAACAUUGCUGGAUGAUAAGUGAGAGGGCUGAUUUUAAUAUUCUAACAGAAUUACCUUAACAUUUGUUGUUUGUCUUUUUCCUUGCCUUGGUUUUUAUUUAACUCAGCCAUUUACAUAAAUGUAAUCUAUCUCUCUCUAGUUUUAAAAAAAACUUCAGAUCUGAAUAUUUGUUAGGUUUUAUAAAGUAUCUGUGCACUUUUAAUGUCACAUACGUCCAUACAGACAUAUUCCUGCAGCAUAAGUUCAUCACCUGACUCUGUUAAAGUUACAUAUAGACUUAACUCAUCCUACAGGGAGAGGAAAUCCUAUGAUUCAUUUAUAGGAUGUAAAGGCUUUUGAGGAAAACUUGUUACUCUGGCAUCUGUUCAUAAAAUUAACUUGACGUUUUUUCUUUGAGAGCGGAAAUACUGAAGUCUGUUGUGAGUGAGGUCUGUGGAUUGUCUUGAAAACCCACUACAUCUCUGGAAAAAAAUGUUUCCAGUGUUUCCAAAAGGAUUGAGCACCAGACACAAAAUUCCACUCACCUCCACGAUCAGGAUUCUGUUAGAAAUCUCUGUGGCUGAUAUUUAAAACCUGGAAAAACAAUCUAUACCUCACUUUAACAGUAGGAGUACGAGAGGAAAAUAUGUGUUUUUAUGAUUUAGGUGAACUGACCCUUUAGAGUCUGUCAGCUCUUUCACCUCACAAUAGUUAGCAUACUGGCAGAAGGGAGCAAUAAACGAUAACACACAGCGCAUAUUUCUGCAACGUGACUGAAGUAUUCAUCAUCUGUUAUAAAUCAUAUCAUCAGAUCAGCUUUACAGCUGUGAGAGAAGGAGCCCGAGUCUCUGUAGCUGUGUGCUACUCAUUUUCCUCUACAUGGAUGUUAAUGUGCAAUGCCACAGUCUCAUUCACAGUGAGGCACAAAUCCUCAAGUUGAACAAGUAGACAUACCCACUUUGGCAUCACAUUUGUUGGUUUAUGGACUAAUUUCCACAAAUCAACAUGUGAUUUCAAAAUAAAAGCAAAAGCAUGUUGACAUAAAACCAAGUUGAUUGUGUUUAUUGUUGAAGUUUAUGAAGUUAUGUGUUGGCCCACGCUUGUCUCGCCUUGCCUGUUUCUAAUUGAUUGUGUUAUUUUCCAAGAUUAUCACAGUUAUUACCUUGAUAUUUUUUAGCCACGAUAAUCAAAAGGUGUAAAUGUGACAUUAUUUCAGCCCUGUAAAUGAAAAAUAUAAGAAAAAAAUAUAUAUAUACCUGCCCACAUCAAUCAUACCUCAAAAUAUGACCCCUGUGAUCAGUCACAUGACCUUUAUUGUGUUAUAAUUCAGAAAAAUGCAGCAUGUGCAAAGUGGCUGACCAUAACCACCUCAGGAAACAACCUCUACUCCUCCGUCUUAAUGUCAUCUGUAAGAGUGUUUUUCCUCUCAGCCUGAGAAUUAGCUUCCAACUUUGGCGCAUGUCAAAAAUUCAAGGAAUGCUAAUGAAAGAGCUCCUGGAUGAAGGCGAAUGGGGAAAUGUAAAAAUGACGGAAACGGUGAGACGUUAAAGUCAGGUCAAGUGCAUAUUUGAAAGGUCACACAUACAGUGGGUGCCAUAACUUUUUAAGUACUUUUAUUUCUUUUGCACACAUUUCUGCAGCCUAUCACAACACAGUGACUUUUUAAUUUUCUGUCUAUCAUGACUGACAGCAAGAAUAUGAAAAUGCUAAGUUAAAGAUGAAAAUAAAAAAAUGCUAAUGACCCUUUAAAAUGUAACACAAGCUCUGACCUGCAGUGGUCUUAUGUAAGUUCUGCACAUAUCUUAGACAGUAUUUCACUCAUGACAGUUUAAGCAUGACAGUCAUAAUUUCGCAAACUGCUACUGUUAACUAAAACCUGCACUGUUUGGGUUUGUUGGACACUCUGGAUUGAAAAAAACAGGCUGACAUAUCUAAGUGACUGUGACAGAGAGGUGACUGUGCAUCCAAAGAUGAGUCAUGUGACAUGUUGCAUUAUUUUAAUGAGACUGAAUAGCACUUCAGUUGUGAUCAACUCUUAUAUAAAAAUAAAAUAAAAUUAAAAAACACAAACAACACAUGUCCCUUUUGUAUGUAAAGGUGAAGACUGACAGUAGCCUGGACUGGGUUACCUUUUACCCAGAGACAUCUCUGCACCCUCCUCCAUAGCCACAACAGGGUUAAUGACGUUAAGUAGGAUUACACUGUAUACAUUCAUGUGGUUAGUGUAAAGAUGUACCUUCAUGCAGGAGGUAUGAGUUCUGCAGGGCUAAUCUGUUCUGUACCGUGGCCCUCUCCUAAUGCGCUACUUACACCCAUAAGAGCAUUUAAGCACUUGAGAGGAGAGUAGAAGCUACCAGUAACACCAGCAUGACCAGAGGCUGAUAGCUAACAGCUCAGACACUAAGAAAUAAGAGAAUGUUGGAGAAAAUUAAUCUGAAUAUAGAAUCAGUGACUUUUUUAAAUAGAAAUGCAAAUGAAGGUCCUUUUAUUUAUCAACCAGAGGUUUCCAAAGUCAGAGCAAUUGUCUUCCCAGGAUAUAAUUUCAUUUGCUUUUAUUUCUUAAAGUAAAAUACCAUAUCUACUUAUUUAAGUGGAGAAAAUAAAAAAAGACUGCUUCAUCGAGAUGGUGGAAAAAUGACACACACUGAACGUUUUUCACAGGAGUUUGGUUCUGUUGCAUUAACAUCAGUAGGUCAGCUCUUGUAAUAUCUUUGCACCACUGAUCGAGCUGCUUCAUUUUGGUGUUAUUCCAGCAAGCACCCAUGAGCGUAUUAGUCGUAAAAUAAAGUGUAGUCAGACACAAAGGUGUGGCAUUGCCAUCUUAGGGAUGUCCAGAAAGCAACUGUGCCAUCGUUGACGCAGUUUAAAGCAUAAAGCCCAUGACCCAGUACUCCACUUUUUAAUAAAAAAAAAAAAAGAAAAAAAAAAAAAUAUAUAUAUAUAUUGUUUAGAUUUGGUCUAUUCAAAUCCAAAGGUUGAAAUCUAAAGCAUAAAAAAGCAGUACACCUAUUUGCAAGCAUGCCCGACUAUCAAAGAGACUAAGGAUAGACACACUGUUUGGUUUGAAAAAUGAACCCCAGGAGGCUCGGUGUGGUCUCAGGCUGAGCUGUGGUCUUAGAGAUGGUGUCCUUGUCCUCUUUCAUUCAGUAAUUGACCCCAGACCUAGAUCAGAAUUAAGAUAUAUGGAGAUGAAUGAAAAUGUGCUAACCUCUCCAAGCCCUCUGUCCUAAUAAAACAACUUGAGCAUACGUAUAUGAGCAAAAGCAUGUUAUUCUUUAGUUUUCAUCAAUGGGUGCACAGCUGCACACCUCUGUUUGUGUCUAUAAAGCAAAGAUCUGCAACUUGGGAACUUAUAUAUCAAUCUUGCAGCACCAGGCCUUAAAGAACCAUAAACAAACCAAUGAUCAUGGGAGAGACUGAGGGUAAAUGUGUUAAAUUGUAAAGCGAGAGUCACUUACCUUUUUGUCUAACAGGUAUUUUUUUAACUCUGCUAAUGCUGAUGUUUGGCUAAGUUCAGUUGAGAAGGAAAGGGUUUAAAUUUCACAGAAGAACUAUUCAAAUUCAACGCCAGCUCUGCAUUUGUUUUCUUCUUCCUGGCUGCAAGAACUGUUUCAACCACACUCACAAAGGGUUCUGUGUUUCUCAUUUUCCAAAAGGAUAUUUAUCAAAGCUUCUGAAGGCCAAAGCAAUUGCUCCAUUAAAGGUACUUAAAACCCAGAGUGACUGCUUUCUCAGUGUGAGAGCUCUGCUUUGGUCCAUUUGAUUAUAAAUAAUAAGAAUCAAUAUUUAAAUAAGGCCUGGGCUGAAUUCCUGGUUGGCAACAAAAAUGUGGAUAGUGAGAAGGAAUGAGGUAUGAAGAAACUUCUAGGAGAUGGUGUUAAGAUGCUCUCAAGGUAGUUUGUUUAAAUGCCGUAAUGUUAAUGAAGCCAUUUAGUUUGAUUAAAAAAUUUGGGAGGACAUUAUUUUUUAUAUUCACCUCAUAAAACUAACUAAUUUUCCCCUCCAUUGGUAAGACACAGGUAUAAAGUCAGACAAACCCAAUCAUAAGAGGACUCCCCAUAGGAGGAUUACAACUUUAUUGUCAGUCUCUCUCUGUAUCCUCUGACCAUAGCAUCUAUUAUGGACCUACUGAAACUGUCCAAACCAAACACAACAGUGAAGUGCUACUAACAGAAUAACAAAACGGCUGUUAUCAAUAGUCUGUUGGAUUUGAAAUAGCCCUUUUUACGGAUUCCUGAAGUUUUGUUUCUGUAACUGAAUCCUUCCAAUUUGGUUGUGUGGCAUUCAUAGUUUUUAUUGGAACCAAUGCAGGAAAAAAGGAUCAGAGAAAGUUGAAAUUCUCCCAAUCUGACUAAAAUGUCUCCAAACACCGAACUGUGAUUCACAUAGUUCACAGACUGAAGUUUUACCAAUAACUACAUGGCAAAUUUACACAAUUUCAGAGAUCACAGUUUACUUCUGCAGUUCUAACAAAAAAUAAAUAAGAUAUCCAAGUAACACUAGCUCUUUAAUAAUUAGGCUUAUUAUUGAACCCCUGCAACCCAUGACUUGUUUUACCUUCAGCUCAGGCUGCUCAGAGUCAGGACUACUGUUUUUCAACCAAAUACCUGUAAAGCUAAUGACAUUCCCAUCUGCCUCAACAUGCAGAAAGUAGCACACCAACAUGCUUGUCAGUUUUCAGUGAAAUAAAUUAAACCAUCUAGUUGUCACACUAGGAAUUUAUGUCCAUCAGUACAUUAUUUGAAAUACAGAAGCUGACAACAUGUCCACUUAUGGACAUUAGCUUUAUUUUUAUUUUUUUUAAGGAAGAGUUCAGUGAUUUUUGAAGUGGGUUAGUGAGAUUCAUCAUUAAUAUAGUAUUGAGGAUUCAGGAUUUAAGUCAUCUCUGCCUCUUUGUUGUGAAGCUUGUAUAGCUGUUAUGACCUGCCGCAGAUGAGGUCAACAUUACCAUGUAAACAGGCCAAUUAGGAUGUGGUUCUAAGCAAAUGAUUACCAAGAAAAUCAUCCCUGCUUUACAAAGUGAGCUUAUUUUUUCAUAAUUACACUUACCCCAUUAACACACAUUUAAAAUAAAAACACACAGACUGUCCCUUUUUUCCCCUUUACCAUGUCUACAUGUAUCUCAAUGUUGUAAUUGAGUCACCAAACCUCAAAUCCGAGUCAAGUCUGAAGUCCUCAGGUUUAAAAUCUCAGUUGAGUCACCAGAGAAGGAUCAGAGUCUAAGAUAGGUCCUCAUUUCCUUAUCAGAGCCUUCAGUCCUCAUAGUUAAUAUCAUUAUUAUUCAGCGAGGAGCGCUACUUCAGUCCCUAUAGAAAUCACAUUUCAUUUACAUCAGAUUCUGACUGAUUGUGUUGGCAUGCCUGGAUAUUUUAUUUAUCAAACAAGUUACUGUGAAGUGUGUUGUAGAUGAAUGUGUAUCACUUACCUCUUAAUGAGGAGAGGUACUGCUGCUGUGGGAUCUCUACAGGUGUCUAAUAAACUCAGAUUGCCUGCAGCUCAACAACUCUUUGUCAGAGUUAAAUCUGACCAAACGUCUUUGUCUCCAGGGUUUGCAAGCAGUUAAGCUACCAACAGUCCAGGUAACUUAGGCAUUACUGUUCUGAGGAUCUUUCUAUGAGAUUAAAGUUAUAUUUUACAAGAUUAAACAUCAUAAUACUGCAAAUAAAGAAACAUUGUGCUGUGAAAGAAGGAGUAUUUUAUAUUAUUUCUUUGAUUCAUUUAUUUUACUGUUGUUGUUGCCUUCGUUUCUUUUGAUAGUGAUUUGUUUUACCAUUAAUUUGUUGGCAUUUGGUUUAAAGGUCAUACAUUUUAGCUGUAGUCCUACAGUAAGCGACCCUGCAAGACCUCCAGUGACUUACAAGACUGUGAUUUGUUGGAAGGUGUCAAACAUUAGUUUUCUGCCAGUCUCUUUUAAGGUUGUUUUUUUUUUUUUGUCUUCUGGUGUAUGGUUGGCAUGAGGAAAUGUCAGCGCUGGUUGCUGUCAAAAAGAGAUGUGUUCAUAUGAGUUAGGAUCUUAUUUCCAUAAACAAAAAGCUUCUGGGUUCCUGUGCCAAUCCUUCUAACUUCCUCGAAAUUGUGUAAUGCAUCAAAAACGAGACAAACCUCAGGGCCUACCCCGUUCUGUGCUCUGCCAUGUGUGUCUGACUCCUUUGUUUUGAAGUCCUGUAAGCUGGAGGAUGAAAAUGUAUAGCUGUGUGGUGGUUGCUGUAAGUUAUAAUGUGCAUUACUAUAUGUCACCACCCACCAGCGGUCUGGCCAGACGCUCUACGAGAUAUUCCAUCACUCUAAACUCAUUUCACUUUUCCACUCCUCCCCGACUUCCCCGGCCUGCGACACUGUAAAUAGUAAUCCAUGAGGCUUCCGUCAGCCGGCAGAUUGUGAUUCCUGGAGCUUUCCCUCUGUUUCCGAGCAUUCCUCCUUUUGAUGGUCGCAUUGGCGUUUAUGAGCACGGAAAGUUCCUACCUAAUUAGGGGUGCAAUGGGGAGAAGUCUUUGGGAAAGAGCAGGCCUGUCCACUUAUCGAGAACAGCCGGUGCGCCGCAGAGGGAGAGAAAGAAAAGGACGUUUUCUUUAAAAGCCGAUGAUCCGUAUCAUGACUGUACAAACCUGACUGAAGGACUGGUGAAUGGCUGUGUCCUGUUUUCUCAAGGGACCCACACAGUGUGCAAGUCUAAUAUAAGGCUAUCUAAGAAGAUGACCUCAGAUGAGAGAGAGCGCCAGCAAAACAUCACCACCGCUUUGUAUCUCUUUGUCCGAUCUGAAAGGUCAAAAGUGUCCAAUAUCACGUCAUCCAACUCCCCUUUUCCGUUGAGAUUGGCUCUAAAAGUCAUUGAUAAAGUGAAAAUGCCUCUAACUAAGGGUUCAUUAGCCAUCGUCUGUGCACAAAGAUCCGGCUUCCCUUAAGGAAAUGAUUAACUUGGCUGGCCUGGGGUGAUGCUUACCUAUGUAUUCAGUCUCAUUAGUUGGCACCUUCUUCCUGUCAGAUCGGCAACAGGCUCACAGGCACAAUUUAGCAGCAAAAUGAGUUGUUGCUUGGAAACAGAACACCUACAGUGUAAAUUAGGAGUCAGCAGACAGCAGGAAUAAACCGAUCUAGUAAAACAGUGUUCAGAGAUUCAUAGAGAGAGUAAUCAAGCGUUACUCUUCUGCCAAUUUUAUAUUGUGUUUCACUUUCCUGGCUUUUUUAUGCUGCGUUCCUGCUGUAUUAGGAAGUUGAAACUUCCAAGAUUCGAGUUGAAAAUUCAUUUGGAACGCACCCCUGAAGUCGGAUUUCUGACUCGUUAAGUCGGACGAUCCUCACCAUACCCAAUUUGACGACAUCAUAAUCCAAGAUGGCAGUGCAAUGCAUCAACAGUAAAGAGCAUCAGCGAAAGCUCUCGUCAAGUUUUAUUUAUUAGCACUUGUUUUUUUUUUGUUUUUUUAUUAAAUAAAUGGUGUACGUUGUUCUGCCCAACAUCGAACUUUGAACACAGAGCUAUGGUGUUUGUAAAAGUAAAAUACUGUGUUACACAUUGUUUACAACUGGUAUAGCUAACAACAACUGACAACGGCUAACUGUAGGCGUCUAUCUUGGUUUUCCGACUUUUUAACCGUAACACCGACAGUUCGGCUGUAACGUCAUUCCCAGUCCAGAAUUCAGAGGUAACUGGAACGCAGCAUAAAUCUUCUUCAAUUUGUUUGUGCAUGCAAACAUCGCAUCCUGAUUUCAGAAAUCCGCAUAAGCCCCUAUUAGUUUCUUGGAAACUCAAAUUCACUACCUGUAGAACAGCAAAAUAAAAUUGCAUUGCAGUGUUGUUUUCGUCAGGCAGGAGGAAAACUUAAAUGACGACGUCAGACCCCUUUUUUCCUUGACGAAAAUGAGACUAAGACGAACAUCACCAAAGCUCUGUAAAGACUAAAAUGUGACGAAAAUUGUAUUCAUUUUCGUCAGACGAGAACGAGACGAGACUAAAUUGUUAUUAGGUGAACGAACAAAUUUUCAAAACAUGCUUUUUUUGUCGUAACAGUCACGCCCCCAUCACACACGCACCAAAAGCCUCGCUCGCGCACAGCUGCGCACACACUCAUACACAUACAGAGAGCGGCAGGUGGACGAGGCGCGCACGCACACACACACACCAUGGCGGCAGGCACAGCAGCGGUACCCGGUGGCCGAAAAAAGAGGGAUGAUUUAUGGUCCUACUUCAGAUACAGUCCAAGUGACAUUAAAACACAAUGUCUUGGACAGGGAGACGAGACAGACGACAGUUGUGGAGCCACAGCUUCCUCAUGCUGCGGCUUCAAACUGUCGGGAAAGAACACCACGAACCUCAAAAGGCACCUUUUCGUCGACUAAAACUAGACUAAAACCUUUUGAGUUUUCAUCGGACUAAAACUAGAUGAAAACUAUCAAGGAUAGAAAUGACUAAAAUGGGACUAAAACGAAGAAGCAUUUCGUCAAAAUGACUAAGACUAAAACUAAAUCUAAAAUGCCUGCCAGCAAAAUAAAAUUGCAUUGGAUGAUUCUUCUUUUUUCUGUUACUUCUGCAGUAUUUGUAAAGCUGCAACAACAUAUCCUCGAUGUUCUUCACCAGCUUUCUACACCGCUCCACUGAGCCAUGCAGUGAUGGAGCAUGGAGCGGAUGUGUGCUGUCAUGUGUGCUGAGGUGAGCACCGAGUCACGUGUUGAGCUGCAGCAGCCGCUGUGUGAUUAAUGGAUCAGAAAGGUAAACACAGGCAGAUCGUAGGGUUGGUAUUGGACAGGGGGGAUGUUGUUCUGCAGCUCAAAGCUUCCACAGAUCUCUGUGGAGAUCACUCGACUGCUGCAGGAGGAAUUUAACAUGGUGGUGAUGUUACUUCUUGUAGCAAAGUAACCCUGUGAUUAAUCUCUUUCCUUUUAAAACUUGUCAAGCCCACUCAUCAUGCCUGCUCUUUUUUUUUUUCGCUUGCUUUUUAGAGGAGAUCAAAUAACCUUAGCAUGCAGAGUCAUGAUUUCCAUCUUGUCCACAUGACAGAUGUGUUUUGUAGCUGCAGGGGUUGGUGAUCACAAAUGAACUGUGCUUGACAGGGUAGAGGUCACUCACAUGUGCCCCUCUGUCUGAGACCAAACAUAAAUCAUAAUCUAAGGAGUGUCACAACUGCAUUAUUGGGUUAUUUUCCCCUGAAUGUGCAGUAUAUGCAUGCCUUUAGACGGUCAUUACGACCUUAGUACUUAUCUUUAAACUGAACCCCAUCUUUAAAAUUUUUAACAGGAUAAUCAAUCUAUUUCUGAUGCGUUUUGGCAGCAAAAUGUGAUUCCAUAAAGCAUGAUUUACUCAUUAUUAGUCUGUAAAUAAUCUGAAGCUAAUGUUUACACACACAGUCAAAGGAUGGUAGAGACUCCAAGUUAAUUCUGCUUAAGGUUAGAUUAGAUUAGGUACAACUUUAUACUUAUUAUUUUGACAAACUUUACUUUUGAAAAGUUUCCCUCAAGGAAAUGAAGGUUAGAUUCAGUGAAAGUAAAUUUGAAAAUGGAGCUAAUAGUCUGACUGAAAGUUUACUUAAUUUACACACUCUGUCAGUGAGCAAAUUCAGCUUUAGUCUGAGUCAAAGAGGGCUUUUAAACAGGAAUUAAUCUACUGGUCAUGUAUUUGAAGUUGUUUUUUUCUCGCAGAUUUAGAUAUCGUGGGAAUCUGUGCUUUCAAAUAUACCGUUCUUCUCCCAUCCUUUGUUAAAUAGUGGCUUUCCAGGAAGUUUUUACUCAAUAUUCGUGUGACUAGUCACUUUUUCUCAACCAGUUACUGUAAUUAUGACAAGCUGACUAAGAGAUGCCCUACCCAUUUUCUUCCCCUGUUUUUCCCUUGAUACGGAUAAUUUUAAAAUACUGAGCCAUAAAACUUGUUAAUAAACGGAACCACCAGGAUGUGGUUGGAAUAUACAAUAAAUGGAUGGGGGGGUGAAUUUCCAGCCAGGCUGCACCUCCUGCAUUGAGGGGGUCUGACUCGUCAUUGCACAAGUCUGUAACAAUCAAAACUUGACCCAGUGGAAAGGGAUAAUUGAUUAGGUAUAUCUCUGGAAGAAGCCUCUUUAACUUUGAAAGAAUUAUGAACCAUUUUAAUUUGAUAAAGACAGCCUUUGCUUGUAAAGAGACGUAUGUGUACAUUGACCAACUAAUUUCCCUAACCUGGUAAAACCGGGGGCUGUUCCAUCUGUAAGGACCUCCCACAGAGUCUCAAAGCCACAAGCUGUAAAUCAGAUUAUAACAAAGCUAAUGCUAUUAUAGCAAAUGUAUGCUAACAUGGCUAAGUGGGUGCUCGAUGGGCACAACUUUCAGGUUGUCUCAUGAGGACAAAGUUGUACAAAAUUAACAUUCACAAGGUGUGUCCAACUUUAUAUCAAUGGGCAACCAAGCUAAAGGUUGCAAUUUAAGCAGACCUUGAAACACAUUACUGACAUUAGUGUUUUAACAGACAGAAGUAUGACGUUUAAAAAAUGAGUUUUUUUACAGUGUCCAAAUCUACUUUAUGGGUGUCCCAGACUGACACAACUCCAGGUGAAAAAUGAACUAAUACAGACAAAAAUAUUAAAAGGCAAAAUAACGCUAAAAAGGCAUUUCUGUCUAAAAACUUAAAUCACAACUUUUGGGGGAGAAAGAUAAAGUUUGUGUUUCUAACUUGACCUUUGAUUUACACAGCACAUUUUUUAAGGUAUCCAUCAAUCUCUACCUUUAUGAAGUUUCCGCACCAUGAAGCAGCUCCAGUCCAACCAUAUGUUUUUAAAGUGAUUUAUGAUUCAGAAUAUUGUAUUUCAAUGGUCCCUGUGAAGGGGUUUCCUUAGGACAACAGUAAGACAGCCAAAGCAUAGGAGGAGUGCGAAAGAAAUACAUCAAGUCGGAGAAGGAAAAUCCGGGAGGCUCAUCAGGGUCUCAUCACUCUGUACUGAAAUGUCUGACAUGUGAGCUAUUAGAUUCUGGUUUCCUUGACAGGGAAAAGUGUUGCUGAAGUGGAGGUUUCAUUACCAGCAUCAACACCAAAACCAGUUCUAGGCAGAGAGGGCCGCACACAUUGAGCAGAGAUCAUCCAUGAUGGACUGCAGCUUCUACGUGUAGCAUGAUCAAUGAUGAGAUGAGACACUUUCCAAAUGGAAACUUGCAGACACAAAGAAAAUGUCAUCCUCCAGAUUAUGACUCUGUCCUGUUGAUAACCAUGAGACAUUUUAGAUUUAAGCACAACCAAGGGAUGCAAAAGGAUUUCUCCAAAUAAAAUACUUCAAACAAGAUUUAGCUGUUGCUUUUAUUCUGAACAGAGAAAAACUUCUCACUGAUUUAUUACCUGCUGUCACUUCACGACCAAUAGCAACUUAGAUUGUCCAAAAAUAAGGUUAAAAAAAGCAAAGUGUCUGUCUGUUGGUUGGAAGGAUUCAAAACUGGGAUUAUUUCUCAUCUAUCUAAAGCCAGGAAAUUUUCUAAAGACACUUUCUUGGCGAGGAGCUAAUAGGCAAAGGUAAAGACUCCCUGCCAGAUGAAACUCGUUUUAAAAGUAAAAUAAAACCGAAGCACCAUGCUGUAAAAAAAUCAGUAAAACUAAUUCUAACCUUUAAAUUGGCUUACAUUCUCAAAUGACUUUCUAAAUGUAAUUUCUACCCACUGAGAGCACUUAUUUCUCAUUGAAUUUGUGACAAUGUUGGAUUCGUCACUUUUAAAGUCCCACAACUUUCACAGUGAAGCUGUUACAGAUUUUCUGCCAACACAACCGACACUGUUGCUCCCUGAUUUUUUCUCUCUCACUUAAUCGCAUAGACAAGAAGGGAUAAAAGAAGUAGGGGGUCUCCAAUGACAGGAGAAAUAUAUAUCCCUUAAUUAAUGUAUGAGCCUUUUUUUACAUAAACUGAUGAGUUACAGUCAGCACAUAAGCUCGGUGAUAUUUAUUGACUUUAAGUGACUUAUGAGAGAAAUAUAACAAGGACGGUUUAGAUGAAGAAAGGUAAAGUUAAAGACUCUCUUUCUUUGGGACAGAACAACACUCAUCCGCUUCAGUGACAGAUCAUUAUUUCUGAUCAGCUGAUGAGCAGGUUGGCACCAUGAUAUAAAGCUAGAGUUACAUAACUCCGUUAGAGAAUUAGAAAAGUAGAAAAUCAAAACUAAAUUAUCCAGGUAUGCUAGUCCAACUAUGACAAGUUUGGUUUUGUGCGAUUUCAAUCGACUAAUAUGUUACCAUUUAUUGUGAAAGUCCAGUUUCAGUCAGAUUAAAGCAAUAAUCUGAUCUUUUUAAACAGCAUGUAAACGUAGUGAGAGUCAGAGCAGCUGAAGAAGGCAGCUUUUGGUAUCUUGAUUUUGGUCUUGCAACUUUUUAUGAAACGUUGUGCAACUGAGUUAAUUGUUACCACAUUGUACAGUGCAGCGCAAGAUGUUGAUAUAAUCCUGAUUCAAGUCGUGUUAUAAAAACACUUAUAAGGCAAGUGCUUUAGGCCUUUACUCUUUGAAAUGAAAAGCGAGUACUUUCAUUUCUUGACUGUACAAACCCUCACCUCACUUAAAUCAGAUUAUCUCAAUGUGCAAAGUGUGCAUGUCAGCAUUAACACAUGAUUAGCACACAUAUUUCACUCCACACUAACCUCAGAGGCAGUUUGUGAUAGAUUAAGCUUUAUAAUAUCUCAUUGUAAAAUAUAAAUCUAAUUGGACUGUUGAUGUUAUGACUUGUAGACAGGCAGCUUAAACCUUCAGGUUAUGUUGAGAAUUUAAAGCAAAAACGAUUUUCAAGAGUAAACACCGCCUCCCAAAGCUUGGCUAUGAGGCAUGAAGAUAAGCAGCAGCAAUGAUAAAAAUGUCCUAAAGCACUCCUCUCAUUGGAAAUGUGCAGGUCACAGCAUGGAAUUUACACAGGGAUUUCUCCUAAUGAGGAAAAAAGCUGCUGUAAAUCCGUCAGCAAACGUAGUCCUGAAAUAUAGAUUACCUGUAAAUCUGUCGUUAUCGCUGAAGGUCAUUUAUCAUGGUCUAAAAACAAAGGUUAAAACCAACUGGUUAUUGUUCCAUAUUCAACACCUUCAAGUCCAAAUCUGGAGGAAUUAUGUUCCCUUCAAAAGGUGGUCACAGCAUGAAGGACACGCUCACUCAACACUUCUUAAAUUAAACUUCAGAUAAAGUGAAUUUUAACCACUAAUACCUAAAGGCACAGUGUAAUUACCACUUUCACUUCCUCCUAUAAGCCUCCUACAACUUGUCCCACUUGUGGCCCCCUUGCUCUGUUAACACUUUGAAGAGAAAAAAAGAUGACAUACAGCUGGAUCCACAGCUGGAGGCCUCUUUCCUCAGUUUUCAGGGCUUCAAUAGUUACUUUCCCCCAGAGCCUUCCGACCCUCACUCCUGACCCCAGUAGGGAGCUCAGAGCACUGCUGGUAGGUUUGGGCAUGAAGGGGGUUUAACAGCCACAGGCCUGGGAGGCAAAGAGGUGUUUCAUAUAAAAUUGUCCCACAUGGCCAUUAUACGUCUCCCUCCUGGUGGGUGCUGGGAACUCAGGGGAGCUGACAGCCUGGCAGGGAGGCCCAAAACGUGCAUGUUGACAAAUUUCUCUCCAACACAAUAGCUCCAAAUGUUUGCACCUACUUGAAGCUAUCUGAGGGUAUUUUCAAACAGAUGGCGUGAUUGAGAUUUGACAAAGAGGCCUACUGUACUGUGCUGUAUUUAGCUGUACCUGAGACUGUGCUGCUCAGCAUGUGCUGAAUGCAGACACCGUUACACGCACAUAUUAGAAACCACACAGCUAUAAGAGAGCCUCCUUCCUCCUAUGAUCUUUAGACAUUUUCCACGGUUAAAACCUCUAAGUCUCCUUAAUGUAAACAUAUUACUGCCUUAAAAUAAGCACUUGAUUCGACCAAGCAUUUUCCAAAACAUAGUAAUGUGAGCUUGCUGUUCUCCCUGUCUGAUAUUCUUAAAUCUCAUACCCCUCAUGGUUAAACCAGAUAAUUAAAACUCCAAUUUCAGUUUUUAAAGUCCAAAUCUUAAGCUUAAUAUUGAAUAUCAGCUACUCACUCAUUCUUGUGUCCUAUAUUUGUGUUUAAAAAUGCGCCAAAUGUCAAGUCAGACAGGCCGGUUUAGUACCCAGACUUUUUUGCAGAGCCAUGCAACUGCAGAGUGCUUGUUGUAUGUGGUUUGGCAUUGUAUUGCUGAAAUAUGCAAGGUCUCCCCUGAAAAAGACUGAGUUGCAGUACUGUAUAUGUUGCUCCCAAACCUGUAUGUAUUGUUCAGCAUUAUACCCUCCCAGAUGUUGGGAUGCUGAUUCUUGAACCAAGUGUGGAUAACAAGCCAAGUAUUCCCUCUCCUUUUUAGGGCAGAGGAUGUGACCUCUGUGAUUUCUGUCAGAUUUCUUGACAGAAACUUUUUCAUAUGAGUCAAAAUUUGAUUAAUCAGACCAUAGGUGAGUUUCCACUUCACCGUAGUCUAUGAAAAUGUCCAUAGUGGAGUGCAGCUCAGGGGCCUGAAGUUUACAACCAUAAAGUAUUGGUUUUGUCCAAUUACUUUUGCACGGAGGUUUUUCCAGACUUUCUGAUGAUAACAAUACUAAGUGCUUAGUGAAUAAUUUUUAAUCCCAGCCAUGUUUCUAACUUGUGGCAAACCUUGUUUUAAACAUGUUGCCGGAACCAAAUUUAAAAUGUUUAUUUUUGUCAAAACACUAUCCUGUCUUUUCUCUAUUUUAAUUUAAAUGUAGGGUUUAAGUAAUAUGCAAACUAAUCAAACAUUUGACACUCGUGCCGAGUAUUUAAAAAAAAAGGGGGUUGUGGUUCUCGUGAAGAUAUUUCAACAGAUCAAAUAACUCAGAGCCAGCAGGUGAAAAGGUGAAAGUGAAGAUCUGAAUUUGAAUUAUUUCCAUCCAUCAAAACAUUUGUGAGAGGAAAGUCUUCCAGUAAGUGAAAGUCGAGCUCCGCACUCACACUGUGCACUGAGAGGAGGAAUUUUAAGGUGCAAGGAAGAGUUAGGUGAUGAAAUCUUUCACUGUGAUAAUUCUGUCAGUGCUUUCAGACAUGUGUUUUUCCUCGCCCUCUGUCAGCACCUGUCUGCCCUUUCGUUUCCACCAAAAGCAGGCUUUGCCACACAGAAACACCUUCACUGCUCAGACGUCUGCUGCCAUUUCACAUGGAGCCUGAAAUGUGUUCGGAAAAAGAAAAAGAGCGAGGAAGAAGUGAGGGCAGCUCUACAAAGGCCUCAUUGUUUGAGAAGUCUAAUUGUCUUUUCAAGUGUUGCCACGGUGAAUCUUUGGGACGGAUGGCUCACCUGUUCUUUCCAUUGGCGCUGUGUCGUUGGAUCUCCCCUAGAAGACCAGAAGCUCUGUUGAACGGCUGGGAGGAGGACAUGGAAACAGAAAAAUUUGGAGGGUCACUCAGCUUUCAGAGCCUUCCAUAAUGCUCCAUUUAGAGCUGCUAUAUACAAUAUAUUUUCUUCACUUUCCUUUAGUGCCUUGAGUACUCCUAACCUGUAUUUAUCUAUUUGACAUAUUUUCUGUCGGAGAGGAAAAACCGACAUAUAGAAGCAAAUACAUCUGUGAACACUUGUAUUAAACCAUGUAAUACUUUAAAGUGGGGGUAUUAUCUGUUUUUUCAGACAGACUGUUUUUUCUCUAACUGGUGUAAUAAAAUACUAUUAUCUCAGCCUCGGUCUGAUAAACUCAGUUUUACCUGCUGUCUUUUUAAGCAUAAUAGCAUACAGACAAAAGAGAACAUGCAUCAUAGGGAUGGGCGAUAUGGCCUCAAAUCAAUAUCACGAUAUAUUGAGCAGUUCACCUCAAUGACGAUAACUACUCCACAAUCUGCUCACCCCCUCACUCAUCGACUUUGUCUACUUCAGCCGCCGCUCCAACUUUUUAACUGUCCUCAAUUUUCUCACCUGUCUUUCCCUCUCUGUUAUGGACUGGAUGAGGUGGAGUCAUGUCUCCAACGUAGGACAGCAUCUUAAAGGGACAUGAGACCAUAGCCUACCUACACACAUCCAAAACCAACUUUUAUUUAUUUAUUUUUUUGACACCGAAUAUAUUGACAGGGGCAAAACGACGUUGGUUAUUGUCGUAAAUUUCGGUAUCGGUAAGUUUUCAGUUUAUCGCCCAGCCCUCAUGCCAAGAUGCAUCAUCUUUAGUUUCUAAACUGAAGGAUAACUUGGCGUUUUCUAUCAUUUAUUUUUAAGCGAGAUUAAAUGAGGUACUCAUAAAAAGCAGGUGCGUUACCAACACAUCGUGCCUUCAGAAAAAAAGUAUUCCAGUGCUCGCCGAGUUUCAUGUCUUAGCAUUUUUGGUAUGUGGCCAGUAUCGGUGAAUCAUAAUGAAAGGAAUGUCUUUGUGCUCUCCUGAAGCUAGGCCAACAUUGCUUUUCACUUUUUUAAUAUCAGAAUUUCCUCAUUUGUCAAUCAAGGUUGAGACUUGAGAGUUAGUUUUGUUUGGCGUAACUCUUUGGCUUUGUUCUCAGUCACGUCUCAUCUAACAAUCAAGAGAUGUGAUAGUUUGGGGUUAUUCUUUGGCUGAAAUCAGACACUCAUAAACACUGAGUGGACAACAGGUAUUAAGGCUACGCUUUAAACAGUUGCUUACAUAAUUCAGCUAAUUUUACUGGAAGAAAGUCUAACCCCAACAUAGAGUGUAACGAAAGUUCAGACAGGACAUGCAAGUCAGGUUCAGCCCACAGUGGAACAGCUGAUCCUCCAGCCAGCCCACAUUGGCUCAAACCUUCCUUGCAUUCAACUGGCAAAUGUCAGAAUAACCUCCGCUUCAGUCUCUUGGUGCUUUCUUCACAACCACUUUGUGACCCACCUACACCCCUGUUCCUCCUUUUAUGCUGUGCCUGACAUUACUAAUACCAUAUAUGUUGUCACUGAUGUCAGCUCGGCUCCGUUCCAGGUUUUUAGGUCUGUAUGACUUUCACAUGCUACCAUUCACGUUCUCUUGUUUUACUGAUCUAUCGUCUUGGUGAAGUUAAAACAGUCAGUGAGGCAGCGUCACUGACAGUGCUACUGGUAUAUUUUGGAAAAUGGUCCCACUCAAGUUAGUAAUUGUCUCAGUUCAUGGUUAAAGGCUCACAGUCUGCUCCCCAGUUAGUUUAUUCCCUGCCCUCCCUGUAUGGGAGUCUUCUUUCUUUGUAAAUUCUCUCUUUCUAAAGGUUUUCCCAAGAAAAUAAUCUGGAAUCUUUUUCUUUUUGACACAUUUAAACUGAUUUUUGUCUUUGGUUUUAAAUUUACCUUUUUCUUAUCAAACAUUUUGACACACUCAAACUUCUAAUGACUCCCUCCUUUUCCAUCAAAUUUCCACAGAAAGGAGUUGGAUAGGUCAGCUGACAUCUCUUCAUUCACUCCACUGUUGAGCUGACAGCAAGGGGUCAGCUGAUAGCAGAUUCCUCUUAUUUCUUUUUCCAGAUGAGGUGCACCUGCUUCAUCACAAGUGUAUUACCAUACUGCUCAUAGCUUUUCAGAUGUCUUUCACUGUGUAACUGUGAGUGACACUGUAAAAGAUUUUAAUAGGACCUUCGAUACCAACUUUAAGACCUCCAUCUGGCUCAGUUCAAAUUUAAAAAUUUCUUUUACAACUGGGUGGUUUUCAAUUUUCUAUUUACUCGAAGUAAAAAAAGACUCAAAAAGGGGCCCCCAGAUUAACAUCUAGAGCCCUUGAACCACUUACACUGGCUUUCUGCUGUCUAUAUUUGUAAUCUGUAUGCUACAGACUGCCAAGGAAUGUGCCAGUAUCAACAUGCUUAAAUUCCACUAAAAAUUCCAGCUAAAUGGCCCAUUCACAAACAAAUCCAGCCUGUCCUGGCCUGAUGUGAGCCUCCUGCUCGGCCCCGGAGCUAAUGUAGCAGUAGGCUGAGUUCCUCAGGUGGCCUUACACCUUGUUUUGUAACUAAAUCUACUUGGCGCCUGGUAUUGUGUUUAGUGGUGCUAUAAAGAAGCUUGUUUCCUGGUGGCACUCUGACUGAGUGGGACAAUGGAGAAGCCUGGGAACAGAAACGCAGUAGGCAGCCACUGGUGGAAACCCUAGACCUGUGAUCUGCUCCCAAGUCACUGCCUUGUUUUUGUCGUUAUAGUACCCUAUAAUGUAGAUGCGCCUUCCCACCAAGAGUACUGUACAAUCUGGCUGUAGAGGGCAAAAACAGGACACAGCUUUCUCUUAGUGGUUUGCAUGGACACGAGUGACUGACGGAGUAGAGCUUUACAGAGGAGGUAGCCAGAGUUUAGAUAUGAAAAGUCUUUAUUCUUUUGCCAAAAAAGAGAGCGAAACAUGGUUUUAUUUUACAGACGGUAUUUUGUCAGUUGUCAGUUCAAAGGCGCUUCUGCUCAAGCAUGCCUGUAUCCAUAUGUGUUCACUUAUACACGUCUUAGUUUGAAAACAAUGGAGAAGGACCAGCCUUAUAAAUGAUAGUCAAAACUCAGAGAGACUACAGUUGAAACAAGACCCACAUCUGUCUGAGCUCAUCCUGUAACACCGCGUUUACUGAGAUCCAAAACAAGAAAGUGUUGUCAUUUUAAUGGAUUAUUCCGGUUAAAUGGAGCCUCAGUUUGUGUUUAUUAAGUUAAAUAGUUACUGGCAAGCAAAUUCAAGUGGGAGGAAUUUGAGUAAAUCAUUUUAACUAAAUAUCGAUUAAUAUCAGACAUAUAAUUAAUCACAGACAAGUAACAAUUACCUCAUUGUCUCUCCUGCAAGGAUUUCAUUCAGUUCUGGUUUGUUUUGUGACACAAAUUUGGUCUGCUAUUCAAUCAAAAUAGAAAGGACUAGUAUACUUUUGCAGUACCUUUCAGACACGAGGUAGAUCAAAGCACGUUUAAGGAGUGCUAAAAUGCAUUAAAGGGAUAUUUCACUGGAUGAGAAUUAUAUUAAGGGUUAUAUCUGAGUAGAUCUGCUAUAUAUUUUUUCCAUCACAGCCACUCAGCAAAGGUUGUUGGGGCUUUUACUUUUUAUACAGAGAAUUCUACUAAUUCAACAAAACAGUUUGAGAUAUCUUAAACUUCAGAUGAUGAAAUCCUCAAAUCCUUUGGAAAUCCAUGCAGAGUAAUGUUAUUUUGAAACUACAUAACUAUUUGCUUUUGUCGUCUUCAACAGAGCUGCAAGUGUCUUCCCAUCGUUUACCUAGGGUCUAAACCUCUCUUGAUACCACUCAGGUUGGAAACUGACCUCAAGAGUUGGAAGUUGAGGAUCUUUUAGUAUUACACAACUUUUUUAUUUUAUUUUUUUUAAUUGGGGAAUUGGAGUCAUUUCAUAAGUCUUUUAACCAUUUUUUUUCCAUUUUUUUAAGCAUUUACUCAUUUCUUUGUAUAUAUCCAUACACCUAUUUCUAUGAACUUGCUCCACCUUUGACCACUUUCUUUCUCCAGAAAAAUGUUAAAUGUUCAGUGAAAUUCUGUUUGGCUUAGGGUGACCAUCUGUCCUCUUUUACCCGGACAUGUCCUCUUUUUUGGGUUGUCUGGCUUUGUCAUGGGAAGUUUAUAAAAUCCUUCGCGGUUUUGUACAGAAGUUUCGAUUUUGUGUCACAUGGACUUACUGAGUUAGAAGCAUGAAAAAGACAAUCGAUCCGACUCGAAAAACUCUCAAAAUUAAUUUCAUGCAACUCUGUGACUCCGCCCCCGCGUAGUCGUGUCUUCUUUUUGGGAAGUCAGAAUAUGGUCACCCUAGUUUGGCUUAAGCUUUAAAAACUGUUGCUUUUCUGGAGCAUUUUCAUGCAUGGAGUAUGUCUAAUGCUUUGAUGCAUCUUAUGUGUGUAUUUAAGUGACUUGGGUGACAAAUAAGACAUAAAAAGGACAAAAGAAGACAAGUUAGCCCACUGCUAACAUUCGAAACUACUUAAAGACGGCAUCCUGGUUCAACUUUGUCUAAUCUACUGUCUGUGAAAUGAUUCAAAGGGCACUUGUUUGUCCCUCCAAAAUGCUGAAAUAGAUGCAAAUUAUUCUUCACUUUAAUGUUUCCUUAAAUAGAAAUAAUACCUUGUCCUUCCUGAUUAAUCCUCUAAUCAGCUCUCCUUUAAUUCUGCUAACAGCUGUGACCUACAAUAAUAUUUGUCUGGAUGACAGGGGCCACCCGGUGCUCUGGUCUUCUUCAUCCAGCUGCUGAGCAGAGAGGAAUCCCUGGUAUGUCACUGUGACACUGAGUGUUUGUCUGUACAGCUCUCUGUCCCUCUGAGCUCUUUGUCAUCUGUCAUACUGCUGAUACUGGCACAGGAAUAAACAGACUGACUCACAGUGCUGCAAACCAGACAUCCCUCCAGUGUAAAUCACUCUCUCUGUUUGACUUGUCUGAGGAUAACACGCAUGCACAUGUAGAUGUGCACAUACACUCAUGGAGCACACAGACAAGCUGGAUGAUUGAAGAUCUGGGAUUGAGACUGGGGUAUUUCCUGAGGCUGUGACGGAGGAGGGGCCUGGCUUGUCUAUGCUUGGCAGCUCUCUGUCCGCUCGUCUCUGUCCAUUAGCUGAACUCCCUUCAGCACUUCUCUCUGCUGACACCUUUCCAAAAUAACAGAGAAGAGAUCUCUGGGGGAGAUUACACUAUAACGACUCAUGAAUUAGCAUUUCUUCUCUUUGUAGUUUCUCCAUCCCAGUCUUGGCUGUCUUUCCUUCCCAUCACCUCUCUGUCUCUUUUUCUCUCUCGCUGUCUCUUUGAGCUCCAUCUGAACGGGUGCCACACUCCCACACAGUGAAUGCUGUGAGCCACACAUACCCUGUGACCCCGCCCGGCCACUGUGCUAUAAAAAGCCCUAGCAGUUUUCAUCCAAACCCAUGGAAAUCAGCACCAGCGCCAGCCGCCACCCUAACUUAACCCUCCAGUCUACUUCCUGCCAAGGUCCUACCAUUUGUGCCACUGUGCAGACUCUACAGAGCACAGACUGUUGUGAAACUUUGUAUCUAUUAUGAUUCUAUACAGUGUUGUUUUUAGCUUAGACUGAACUCUAGAUAGCUCUGCAAACAGUUCAUGUACUCAGUUUUUGUUUGCAAAGUACACUGGCUGCAGACACCCGGGAGCAACGGUCAACCUUUGGUGUUGAACAACAUCCAUCUCAAGAAAUGGUCAAUCUGGAUAUCACUCAUUCAUCUUAUCCUUUUUUACAAUGUUAUUAUAUAAAACAAAGUCUAGGGCUUUUCUGGCAAUCAUGGCCUUGUUAUUCUCUUGUUUUUUACUUCUACACAUACAAAAAUAAAUACAACUAAAUUAGUUAAAAUAGCAUCAAAUAAAGAAUAAAAUCCCCAAUAAAAAGAACAAUUAGACAAAUCAACUUGAUAAUAACUAACUCAGAGAAAUCAUGUCUUGAUAAGUUUAACUUUGAUUUUAAAUUUUUAAUAAGGUUUGGAUUAUCUGAUUUUUGAUUCUUGUGCUGCUUGGGUUCUUUGGUUUUCUAUCGUUGGGUCAACAUGUAGCUGAAGAUUUUCAUUGUCACCUUAGGAUCGUCUUCUGUGAUUUUGUUUAUUUUCCCUUUUGUGUCCUUUGGGUUUAAGGGUCUUGUUUAUUCCUCAUGCAUAUUGACGCCAGUAUCCGUCAAUCAAUUUUCAUUGAUAAGCACCAAAUCACAAUAAUCGUUGUCUCAAGAUGCUUUCCAAAAGAGCGGGUCUAGACCUAACUCAUUGCAUUAUGUCAAAGUACUUUGUAAACCCAUGUUUUCAAAUGUGUUAUAUAAAUAAAACUAUAAUAAUAAUAAUAAUAAUAAUAAUAAUAAUAAUUAUUAUUAUUAUUAUUAUUAUUUUAUUAUUAUUUUUUAAAAAAAAUUUCUUAAGGGGGGCAGGGUUAAUGACCAAAUCUUGAGGCCUGCCAAUAGAGGGAGCUCUAAAUAUUUUGGCUUCACAAUCAAUGAAAAAUUAUGGCAUAAAUUUUAACAUUUAAUCAUACAGUCUAUGGUCUUCACCAACUCCUAGUGUCACAUCUAUUAGUGGGUGUGGCCAAAAGGUAUAAAGCACACGUACAACAAACAGGUUGGCAAUUAAAUUCCCAGUUUUUAUAGUCUGUAUGUCAAAGUGUCUUAAAGUGAGACUUUCAGCCCCAAACUGUUGCUAUUAUUGAAUUGUAUGCAUGCAUGAGUGGAGUCUAAUACCUAUUCUACAGCUAGACAUUAUAAACAAAAUAGUUUACUCUGCAGUUUGCUGCUGGGUUGGCAGGUUGAAGUGGGUUCGGUGCUUUAUUUCCAUAACAGUAAGAUAAGUUGCAGCCAAAGCAAAUAAAGAGUUGUGUCGAAGACGUUGAUGAAAUGAGGCAAAGAAUGAGAAAUAGAGAAAUAAAAAAGACAUCUCCACCAAAGAAAAAACUCCUGAAGUUGAGUAAUGAUAAGUAAAACAGUCGAAGAGCUGGCCUGGUCCUUUACCCCAGACUGCAGGAGGAUGGUUGUUGUUGGCUGCUCAUCUGGGAGACACAGUCCCUGAGAGCUCUGGAUGAUUUUGUCUUGCAGUCGCCUGAUAUGACCUCUAGGGGAAAGAGAAGCUACAUAAAACCAGAUGGCGCUAGACAGUAGGGUUGCAAGUAACAUAGGUCUACAAUUAAGUAAAAAGCAAGAGGUAAACUAUGAAGAAAAAAGGCCCAAGGCUGGGCAGCUAAUUGAACUGUGUAAAAAGAAAAUAAAUGUUCACGUCAAAUGUCACCGUUAAGGAGAGGACUCGGGCUGUGAUGUGGUCAGUCUGCAAAAGGGUCAAGCUUUGAACACAAGGGAAGAUGGAUGGAGUUGCAGAGGGCGUGGGGGUAUCAAAGUGGAGCAGUGUACCAAAGGCCCGAGUCAAGACUGUUUAUCUCCUCCCCCCUUUCAUUUGGGACGUUGGUCGACCAUAACUGAAGCAUUGAUAUACACUAAUUCACACACGGCUAGCCAUAAUCACCCUUAGCCUGAAAUACUUUCUUUCAUGUGAGAGAAAAAAACUCAACUCCGAAUGACAAGAGAAACAUUUCAUAUCUUGCAAGCUCAGAAGAAAUAGGGUGAGUCUAUCUCCAGAGUUAAAAGUGGAUCAUCUUUCCUUUCUCAGAGCCAAACACAUGGAAGAAUGUUCUCCUCCUCCAAUCCACUGGCAUGAAAACAUCUCAUCCAGCUUUGCUAAGUAUCACUUUUGAGAGUAAUGACAGCUUUACUCAGCAAACUGUGCGCAUUUUAUAUCACAGUGGAAAGACUCCAUACUGCGAGAUUCGGUGUUGAGAGAGAGAGCACACACAAUCAAGUCUUUCCUCUGAGACCAUUUAUAGAAAACGUACGGUCACGCUUCCUGCAUUUGGCUGUUGUCUUGGUUAGUGUGCGGACAGGUUUAGUCAAAAACAUGUACAUUUAUGGAGGAAUUUGCAAAAAGAUGGUAGUUUACUGUCAGAGAGAGUUACUUUGACAUUUGACAGGGUAUGUCAGACUGUUCGAGAAGUGUGGCAUUGGGAUGAAAUUGGUCUUCCUAACAAAGAGACAGGAGGCAGGGGAAGCUGACUCUGAUAAACAUGUUUUAUUUUUAUCUUUUCACAUAAAGAUUGGACACAACUUUACAUAAAGCUUGACUGUUCUGUGAUGCACAGGUGUCGCAGAUUUAACCGAACAUGGACAUAGUCUUUGUGACAUCUGGCAAUGGCCACAAAUCACAAUUACAGGAGGAAGAUUUUUUUGUAAUUUCCAUUUCAAGAUUAAAGUCGAAAUUUGAAAAAAGUUGAAAUUUUGACUUUUAUCUCAAAAUUUCUACAUUAUUCACAGCAUUUUUGUAAUCUUGAAAUUUAGACUUUAAUCUCAAUUUUUUAAAUCUCAAAAUUAUUCACCACAUUUCAACAUUUUUAAUCUCGAAAUUCUAUUUCUUAUAUUUCGUUUUUUUAAGUUUCGACUUUAAUCUCAAAAUUUUGACUUUAAUCUCGAAAUGGAAAUUAAAGAAAUCUCUCUCCUGCUAUUACUUUUUUAUCUUCUUGUGGCCCUAAUCCUCUUCCGUACAAUGAAGUCUCUCAUGGUUCUUAAUAAUUAACAACAAUAUCAAAAAAGUUGUACUGUAAUAAAAAGGAAGGGCUGGGUUGAUUGAAAAUACUUUAUCGUGUUUAUUCUAUAUUCUUUUCUAAAUUAGUAUUUAGUAAGUUAAAAAGUAUCUGAUACAGAUAUCAAAGUAAAACAGUAGCAACUGAAGAGCUAAAUUAUCUUAGAUCUUAAUGAACUCAAAGUCACAGUUUAAUGAACUAUCAGAAAAUGUCAAUUCUAUUUUGUGAAAGUAUUUUACACUGUCCUUUAAAGUCAACUCACCAUAAUUCUUUGUCUUAUACCAAUCUGUACAUUGUGUUGGUCAAUCAACAAAGUUAAAAACAGUGUCAGACAUAACACCCCAGUAGGAAGCUACGCCUGUGAUUGGCCAGUUGAAGUAAAAACAUCAGUUUUGUUUCAGUGUUUUGCAGAGUGUUUGGACAUUACCUCCACUAGUUUAUAUUAGCCUUAGGCAGCAUCGCAGGCUUACUUCUCACACAUAAGUCAUACACCGGAAAAAGCUAUCCAAAUUUCAGCUCAACACAAAAAGCUUUUUUAAAUAAAAUUUAGGUAUGAGUGAGGGGGAACAAAAAAGACCAUAAGGACUUAAAUGCGAGCCAGAACACGGACUUUUUCUUGCAUUCACUUAGCCUGAAAGUUAAAUAUUUACUCUCUGAUCAUCUAUUUUGGUCUUCACUAGUUUAGGAAAACUAAUAUUUUUGAUUUAUUAUGUGAUAAGAAUAAGUGUCCAUUUCCCAAAAAUAGGUAUCUUACCCACGAGAUGAACUGAUGACCUUAAACAGGGUUGCUGAAAGUUGUCUAACUGAGCCAAAACAAGGCUGUGACUCCAAAGACAAUGGGCUGAAAGAAUUUUUUUUUUCCGGUGUACAGCUGGGUGAAACCAGAGAAUGAUUUCAGUCAUGUUUCCUUUCCAGGUAAAACCUGAUCUGCCAUCAGUGAAGGAAGUUCCUUCUCAUGUCACAUUAAAUUUAUACGCCUUUCUAGGUAACCCAGCCAGGUGGCAUGUCUGAUCUCCUAACAUGAUGGAUGCCUUUGCCUUUUAUUUCCUCAUGUUUUAUUCAUUGUUGUUCAUUAAUCUGAAGCCUGAAACUGUCCAUUGUUAAAAUGAGACCUAACACUGUGCUUUAUUUAUUAUCUGUAAUCUAACUGGAGAUCUUGGAGUCUUUCCAAUAAAGUUAAAGCUCACUGUAGUCCCAAAGCUUUGGUAAUCGGAUCAAAUUGUUUCUGCUUAUAUUUAAGGGAAAUCAUGGGACUGACAUGAGGACAGCUUGUGUUAAAAUCAAAGACACUUAUCUGCUCAUUAACUCUCACUCAGAUCUUUUUAGGGGCCUUUGUAGAAGGAGAAUUUGGGUUUUUCACCGUGGCAGUCUCUUCAGGCAUGUGCAGACACACAGAAAGCAGAAUUUCACACCAAGUUGACGACAGAAAAGACAAGAACUGCUCAUGUGUUCACUUAAUAGACCCUUGUUCUUUGAAAUUUCCCAAAGUUGUCUCCAACGUUACUACAUUUUGUUGUGUUUCUGCUCUGACUUAAAUUUCGGACAUCCUAAAUACUGUACAGGUUACGGAUACACCCUAACUUUCCUCAUGUCUCCUCCUGCUAUGAAACAUUGAUUGAUGUUUGCGGAGUUGCUUUCGUGAUCUUGCAAGUCUUUGAUUUCGUAUAAUGGCACCCUUUUUCAUGAUUAUCAUUGUUAUUUUACAAAGCUAUCAGUCUUUAGGGUAAAGGUGGUAAAAGUUGACACUUUUGAACAACUUCGCAGUAAAGCCUGAGCUCUUGUGAACUUUGAUAAUGUCAGACGUGCAGCCUGUGAGUCAGUGAGUCCAUGAAGGCUUGAGAUAGUAUAAAAAUGUGGAACAGGACACUUUUAUGACAUCAAAUGUUGCCUAGAAAUAUGACGAGCCGUUAAAUGAUGAGAAAAAAAUGCCAAUCUCAAGGGUGACUUUGUGUCUUUCCGAACAGGAGGGUUUUUCAAAUCUAACAGCAAGGGGCCCAUACAGAAUAUUUAUGGAGCUCCUAAGAGGACAUGGAGGGAAAGAAAAAUAAAGUUUAUCCCAGGAAAUGUUUUGCAAGAUCUUGUAAAACCAUUUUAUUCAGUUUACUUCCUACUUCUGAUUACAAACACAGUGAAACACUGUAUUUUACUAAAGUUAACUUUGAGUUGGGCCUUGAAUGUAAAGAAAUUUACUCUCCAAGCAGCAAGGUUAUGAGAAAUGUUUGAGGUGAAUACUAAUCGUAAAGAGAGUCUUGUACCAUAUUUUGUCCUAAUUAGAACUGACAUUAGUGAAACUGGAGAGAUUUUUACACAUGUACGCCAGUGAAGUUGAAAAAAGCAGAUUGGAAGCUGAUUUUCAUCAUUAUAAGCUGUACUGGAAACUGUACAUCAGAGCUCAAUGAACACAGUCAGCUGAGAGGUGAGAGUGGAAAGACUUUCUGCCCAACAGAAUGAGAAUAAUUAAAAAAAAAAAAAAAAAACAGUUUCCAAACUGUAAGGAAUGGAAAGCAAAUACAUUUGUGUGUAAGGUAAUGAACUGAUGCCUGGAUAGAGAUACUAAAUCCUUUGGCGUUUCAGCAUCACAUUGUCAUAAGUAUCAGGAAAUAUGCAAGAAACGCAUCUUUUGUAGGUGAACUUGUAGGGAAUCGCUGUUUUUGAGGAGGGGGAAAUGGCUGGAAAUGGCUGUGCAGAGGCUAAAUUCCUCAAUGCAGCCGUUUAUAGCAACAUCAUAUGGCUUUAGUUUAUCGUAUGAAUCUAUACGCCAUAAGGUGUUGGUGCCUCUGCAGGUGUAGGUUGCUGCUGGUGUUGUGCCGGCAUCAGAGACAGACGUGGUGCUCAUCUGAGCUCGACUCCCUCUGAAUCACAAAUGUUGAUCAUCAUUUAGAUGUUUCUUGAGAAACCGCAAAAGCUCUCUGAAUAACCCACUGAUGCACCAACAGAUAACUCUGCAGUUGACCAGUUCAGCCAUUUCCUCCUCCACAAAAGCAGCUUUAAGACUUCAUUUACUUUACGACUUUAUUCUCUUAAGUAAUUCCGAGGUUUAAAAUUUUUCUUUUCUUAAUGUGGCCCUAAUGCUUCGUCGUAAAAUUUCGAUCUUUUUCAUGAAAAACUUUAAGUAAGGUAACAGAGUAUUUGUAUUACUUCCUACCUUUGCUUCUGGGGACUCUAAUAAUCACAAUAUGAAUCCCUUUUCCACCUGAUAUUGCUCCUAACUCCGAAUGUGACCAUGGUGUGAAGUGCUCGCCAAUUCUUUGUUUUUGACAUCUCAAGAUUCACAGUCACUCCUCUGACAACUCUUGGAGUGUGCUUCACAUCUUCUCUGACCCCACAGCUCUUGUUUGAUCUGCUGUAAGAGAGAGAGAGCUAAGUUGUUAAGUAGACACACAGUCAUGCACGGAUACAGCUGUGAUUGGAUGGAUCAGAUCUGCUGGGACGGAGAGGUCGACGCGGUCCGGUGAUGAUCAAGAUUUUACACAUGGCAAAAGUGUUUAAGCCGUAAAAGAUUGUGUCCUUUGUGUGUUCUCUGAAGCACAUGGAAGUCAUAAUCCAUACUCAUGCAGGAUCAUCAUGGACCUGAAUAGACUAGUAAACAACCACUUAAGUCAGUGUUUGUCUAUGGUAUAGACAGGAGGAAAAAAGACCAUAUAUUUUAAUUACAAGCUGUCUGUAUGGUUUUAAACUCCAGAUAAAUGUUUAUUACUAAAGUCCAGUUGAUGACAGAUGAAGUGAAUGUGUGCAAACCUAUAUAGCUUUCUAUUUUUUCAUUGCUAUAACUGUGAAUGAGUCACCGGGGAUAUGGGACCAGGUCAGGAAAUACCAAUGUGGAAGGCAGUGGUUCUCCUUAUGAUUCCUCUGGCUGGGAGGCCCUCUCUGACCGGCCAGUCUGGAAUCUGCAGAAAAGAGGAAACAGGUCGGCUAAUGCACCGAGUGAUCCCUCUCAUCAGACUGCUGCAACCUUUCAAAGGCAGAGAGGGAAAGAGAGAGAGAGAGACAGAGAACCAAAUACCAUUUUUUUCCCAGAGAGGAACUAAGGCUCAGCAUUCCUGGCAUUGCCACUGGUCUGCAAACAAUCCAUACUCUAUCCUGUGUGUGCUGGGAGAGUGAAUGGCUGCAGUGUGUGAGGCUCACAGGCCCAGUUUGCCUGGCUAGAGGGAGAGCGGCCAACACUGCCAGCACACUCAGAGAACCGGACCCGGCCCAGCCUCUGUCCCCAGCCGCUUGGCCAAACACUUGCACGUCUGAGACAGCACUGUUUAGCCACCGCACAUGCCCGACCGCUGCUGAAAACACACUCCAAAAAAUAAACAGGCCGGGGCCCGAGAAGAGCAAAUAUUUGAUCAAUCUGAGAAAGGCGAGAAAGAGGAUGAAUGUGUGGAGGUGGAGGAGAGAGAGAGAGAGGGGGGAAGCAGGGAUGACCGGGGAUGAAAGAAGUUAACACUGCAUGAAUUAAUCUUAAUUAGGUCAAAUGCAGCUUAAAUGGUGAUAUCUACAGCUUUUUAGUUUACCAUAAAGAAAAGAUAUAAUCAAAUGCAUGCAUCAUCUUCUCACCUGACAUGUAUUUACACUACAUACAUUAAUUCAAUAUUAAAUGUUUAAUGUAAAUACUGUUUUUCCACAGAAGAAGACUUCAUAUAAAGUAUUAUCUCACCAGAUUUUAUUUUUUCUCAAAGUGAAGAGACAGAGAGAGUAAGGAGCAGGUGAAGGAAAAUUUGACUUAAACAAGGACUCUGCUUUUCUCUUUUGCAGCAAUAGUCAGUACAGUAUUGAAACGGCUUUGACAAGUUAAUCAGUUUAGAGUCGUACUGAGUGAGCUAACAAGUCAGGUAUGGCGGGUUGAGAUGCCAAUUUUAAAUGUCAGCCUCUGCUCAUACAAAUAUACUGGAAUUUUGCUCUGAGUUUGUCACUCAAAGCAGCCAUCCCCCUGGUAUGUAGCACAGAAGUUUCUUCCCUCUCUUAUGCAGUCUACUGAGUUUCAUUCCCCCUCUUUGUAGUCUGGUUCAUAACGAUGUCUGCGGUUGACUUUCUUCAAAUCAGCUAAAUUAAAUUUCAUAAUAGUGUAGCUGUAGGGAUCUGUCAGGGAUCUCCCGUGACCAAUACGCUCAGUAAUGACGAUUGAUUUAUUGUUUUAUGAACCAGCAUUAAGUAGUUAUUGAAGGGAUGCUAAAUUUGAAAACUUUCCAGUACAGUAAAGUUAAAGGGCUAUUUCAGUAUUUUUUAAAUGUGGUUGUAUAAGUUUUUUGUCACUAAACAUAUAAGCCACAGUGGAUGCUAGGUGGCUCUGUCCUUUUAAUGAGAAUCUGCUGAGAUAACCGCCAAGCAAGCUAGGCAACAGUUUUCUGUACAUAAGGCCACCUAAAUGAGCAAUUUUGAGAUACUCAAACCCAACCACUUAUCUUAAUCUAAGUGUUCAGUCCACUGAGGAAUUUUCAAUGCUUUACUGAGCCGGUGGAAAACUCACUUGUUCUUGCAAUACUUGCGGACACAACACGCCAACAGCAUGGAGAUCAGCAAAUUUGGUCUAUCGUGAUAAAGUCACUGAUAUAUGAAAUUAAAUGAUUUUGCAUCUCAGUUUUGCAUUAUGUUAAGCAUCAAAUUCUUAAACCUAACAAUAAAGUGACUAAGUGGGUUGUAGUCUGCAGCCUAGCUUGCGUUCUAGUUAUCCUGGCAUUGAACCAGAACAUUGGGAUUAAAGUUAUAUUACACCACAUCAAAAAUAUCAAACUAUUCCUUUAAGAACGAAGUGCCACCAUAAUAAACCUUGAACCUUAAGUUUUUUUAUUUUUUAGUCACACACACCCUUUAUUUAACAAAAUGUAUGGCUUUACUGCAAUUUAAAAAGACAUGGUUUAUUUUCCUUCCUAUUUUUCAGUUUCAACAUUUACAAAUACACUGUAAUUUGAAACUAUUAGAGCAUACAUAAAACUAUUUAUAACUUGUAAUUGCUGUAAUUUUCUUGUGUACGCCAUCCUCUGAUGUGCCGUCAUACUUGUUGAAGUCACACUUCUGACAGAUGAACAUGCCCCAACAACAUUCUUUACUAAAAACAGCAUCAGGUGCAUCAUAGACAGGUUUUGCAUGUGUUUGAAAGUCACUUUGUAAUUAGGUCGAUCAUGUAUGACACACAGGUCUGAAUAUGAGUCUGUUAAUCUCAGUGAGUCAGCGAUGACACACAAGGCUUUUACAUCUCCCUACAUUCUUGUACGUGUUUCCUCUGUUCACCAAACAGAUCCAUCUGCAUGUCAGGCAAUAACUCAUCACCCUCAGCCUGCAGGGUUUAUUUUUAUAUAAUCAGCAUAAUACCUGUGAAAUGAGGAGAAAAACAACUCUUUUAAAGAUAUUUUAACAGUUAUCUUAUUUAUAAAAGAGAGCAAGUUCAAUAGCUUUUGUACAAAGUUCAUAGUGAGUGUUUUAAUAACAACCCAUCCUAGUCUUCACUGCUUUACUACCUCGAAUCACUGGAAAGAAAUAACAGGUGACAAGGCUGCUCGCCCUGUCAGAGAACACCCUGAAGGAGAAAAGUGACUAAAAUCAAGAAGUUCCAUUCACCCCGGGGUCACUCUAACAACGUAUAAGUUAUGCAAAGAUUCCCAACAGUCAGUGAUGUGUAAAAUUGUAAUCCCAACUCUGAUCAAGCUCUUUGAGUACACACCCUCUCCCACCUCUUUUACAGUCAUCUCUAACCUGAAGCUGAAGAUCCAGUUUAGGAUGCAGGGAAGAUAGGCUCUCAGUCCAAUCAGACAAAGUCAUUUUUGCUGAUUCCUCCACUUGUAAUACAGGCAGCUGUGGUUCAAGGGUAAAGUGAGUCAUCUCUUUAUAGGUGUACUUGGGCGAGACACUGAAACCAAAACUGCUUCUGUUAAAGGGGAAAGGAGCAUGUGAAUGGGGUCACCUAAUUCUGAUGAGCGUUAGUGUCAGAAAAUAACGCUUUACCAGGGUUUUGUAUCACCAUUUCCACACACGCAUCGUACUUAGUUGUUCCCUGGAGCCCCAUGACAGGGGUUAAAAUGAAGACAGGUGGGUGCUUAGUGUAGCAUCCUCUGUAAUUGAAUGAGUGAAUGUGACAUUAAGUGGUCACAAGACUGUAUAAAACAUAGUCCGUUCACCACCAUCUCCUACUCUUGUGUUUGUACAGUAGCUCUGAAUGGACAAAAUAGUGACAGGUACAUGUUUUUCUAUGUUGUCAAUGACCACACAAACCGUUUGGAAGAAAAGGAGAGUGGCUCUUGAGUAGUUUUUGUAUUAAUACGUGUCUUGACAAAUGGAAGUUCAUAUUUACCAUGAAUCACAGUAGCUUCUGGUCCUAAGCCACAGUCACUUUAUAUGGAGGAAGUGACUGUUUAAAGGGAUAUUCCGGCGUAAAAUGAAUUUAGGGUUAAAACCAUCAUAACACUGAGUUAGACACCCCCUUGAGAGAUGAAUGUUGCUGACCGCUUGCUUCUCUAGUUAUGCAAACUUCGUGUAUGACCGCACAAUAGCAGUACACAGGGUUCUGAGGAGCCAUACACAAACCUCAACCAAAACGCCACUCUAUAGCCAUAAAUAAUGUUCAGAACAGCACCUAACUUCAUCAACAGUACAUAUAGGGUCCCAGCCACAGCACUAGCCACCAAACAUCUUUUUAACUUUGCCUAAUUUCUUUAGCAAAGAGACUAAACACAACUCACCCACUUUCUUCCAGCAGCCGCUUGUUUUUAGCCAGACCUCGGACUAGUCCAUCAUUGACUGUUGCGGGGGACGCAGCUCAAGUAAGAACAUUUAUGUUCUUUUAUUUACGGUUACUUAAGUUGGUAUGACAAGAGAAGGAAGCGGUUGGCAACAUUCAUCUGUCGAGGGGGUGUCUAACUCAGUGUUACGGUGUGUUUGACCCUAAAUUAAUUUUACACCGGAAUAUCCCUUUAAAUCUAGAAUCUGACUGCUGCGUAUAACUUUAUAAUGCUGAAUACGCUCCUUACUGCACACUGUAUCUUAAAUUAAACAGUAUACUAUGUAAUCAAUUUAUAAAAACAGUACCGUAUAUAAAAUAUUUUAGGUACUUUCCUAGAGAUCACCAGUCAACCACAUUGUGAGGAUGACAUGCUGAGGCUGUUUUCUUUUUCACUGACCUCUUUACAGAGUUCAAGUCUGUUAACCUGAUGUUCAUGUUUGGAGAAAAGCAAAUGGAAAAACUUUCCAGAGCUGUCUGUAUCAGUUUUAGCUGUAUCAGCAGUAGCUCAGGAGGUAGAGCCGUCGUCCAAUGACCGGAAGGUUGGCGGUUCGAUUCCCCCCUAAUCCAACUCUGUCCGUUGUGUCCUUGGGCAAGACACUUAACCCACCUUGCUCCCAGUGUGUGUCCUCCACUGGUGCAUGAUUGUGAGUGUUGUGUGGUGGUGGUAGGAGAGGCCGUAGGCGCAGAAUGGCAGCCACGUUUCCACCACCACCAAAGUGUGACUGUGUGAGUGAAUGAAUGAUGUAUCCAAUGUAAAGCGCUUUGAGGGUCUCUGAUAAAGCGCUAUAUGAAAUCUGAUGCAUUUAAGAUUGUAUAUUCCCGCCAGCCCUAGAGAGCAGCAAAACAGAUCUAUGCAUAUGAAAAUGUCACAGUUAUUAAUUUAGUGUGUUUCUGGAAGUACAAUUAAUUACAUGAUUGGCUGAGGAUCGUCACCAACCAGAGUUUAUAGCGUCCCCUCUUCCAUAAUUGAAUCAACUUUAUCCAGGAUAUGAUAGCAGGAAGCUCUUCAGAUCAACCACAGCAACUAAGUUAAUCUCAAGUUUAUCUGACAAGUGAACAGAAGAUGUGAUUUACCUUAUUUCCACUGCGGGCAGCUCCGGACCCUGCAGAGGUUUAGAUGGAAACAGAGGCAGGCCUGUCCUUCCCCACCUGGGCAGAUCAGAUGUCAUUCCCUCUCGCUCACAGCAUGUCAAACCAAAGCCACUGCCUUGUGGCUUAUCCAUCAAGCCUUUUUACCUCCCUCUCAGCAUGGAGCCUUGAUGCCAUUGCCUGCUGAGUCGUAUUUCAUGAGGAAACAUCAACACUGCCAGUGAGUCUUGAUAUACAGUGUGUAACUCUGGGAAGUCCAGUUUAGAGGAAAAUGAGCCCCAGAGCUUGCAGGCAGGAGGUGUAUGCAGUUUGCUUGAAAUAACAUGGUUUAAGACCUGAUGUUUUAUAGGAGUCAACUUGCACAUCUUAAAACUUUCCAAUUCAAUCAUUGGAGCGCAGAGUGAAAUGCAAACUCUUACACAUGCAUACUUACCUGGAAGAUUUCUUUUGGGGUUUCAGAAAGAAAAUAUAUGUGCACCCUGAAAUCCCAAAUUGAAAGGUCCUGAACUUUUUUUUUCCAUAUCUGGAUUACUCUUGAUCAAACAUCCCUUAAGACUUUUCCUGAUUUGUGUCCAUAAUUUGGAGACUCAUGGUUGUCUUGGAUCAAAUCAAAACAGCUUUUUAUCCACCUUGGCAGCUGUCUACACAUCAUUUGUCUUCAGUAAAAAUCGGUAGCAUCCAGAUGUAAGCGUGGUGAGCUUCUUUGCGAAGCACAGUGAACCAUGACUGUGUGGCUCAGAUUAUUAUAAAACUCAGUUAUACAAGCUGUCUAAGGUUGACUGAUAAACAAGGACAACUACAGUAUAAGCCCAGCUGGUGAGGAGAUCAUAUGAGGAGACUUUUGGUAACACUUUAUUUGACGCCUAUCUCUAUAGCGCAUUAUAAAUAUAUUUAAAAUGUGUUAUAAUCAUGUUAUAGCACUGUAUAACUAUAGUUAUAAACACUCAUAAAUGGUCAUAAUGCUCUAUAGCAAUAAUAAUAAUAACACAUUAUAAAGCAUUUUAUCAUAACUUACUGUAUUAUAAUGUGUUAUAACUGUUAACAACAGUUGCAUUGCAUUAUCUAUGUGGGAAUUGUCAGUGAGUUGUUAACAGUUAUAACCCAUUAUAGUACCAGACCUUGUAAGUCAUGAUAAAUGCUUUAUAAUGUGUUAUGAUUAUUGCUAUAAAGCAUUAUGAUCAUUUAUGAGUGUUUAUAACUAUAGUUAUACAGUGCAAUAACGUGAUUAUAACACAUUUAAAAUAUAUUUAUAAUGCGAUUAGACAUAGGCAUCAAAUAAAGUGUUACCAGAUCAUCAGAACAUCAUUUUGUAUUGGAAAUGAUUUAACACAUUAUGAUGCGUUACAAUACACUUCAACCCAAUACAAUAUAGUAUAACACAUUAUGAUGUUAUAAGGUACCCUACAACUUGAUAUGAUGUGGUAUAUUACAACAGGAGAGAUUACACUAUUAUGUUAUACACAGUAUUUUGAUGCAAUACAAUAUAACACAAUACAAUACUUCCCACACAUACAACACAGUAACAUAUGGCACAACACAAUAUGUGAUGAUACAAUACAAAAGGAUGUAACAUAAUAGAAUUGGCUUGAAUAUGACACCAUACAAUACAUUACAAUACUGAAUGACAAGACAGGAUACAAAACAGCAGAGCACGUCAAGAUAGAAUGUGACGGGUUCAUCAAGACCGGUUACAAGUCAAUAUGAUCAGAUACAUUACAGCAUGGUAUGUGAUAUGAUACAAUACAUUAUGGUACAGUUCAGAAUUACAGGUCGUUGUGUCACAUUGUGUAACGUUAUGCUUAGGAAUGAAAACAGGUUGAUCAUGAAGCUUUAAACAGCAGCUAUAAAUAGACAUAUACAUAAACUGUAUCUCUGUGAAAGGUGUGACAUUCAUUGGAUUUAUAGCGUCAGGCUGAUGGAGCUGUCUGAAAAGCACAAAGUCCUACACCACAGUGUUCCCACCUGUGUUGCAGCUCAAGCAACAUUUCAGGGGAGGUGUUCAUUUGUGCCAUGAGUAAAUAAGUAAAGUGUAUUUUAAAGAAUGUAUUUUAUAGACUAACCCUAACCCUAACACCUACAGUACAGCAAAGUCACAAAGUGCUUCAUGAAAAGUCAAUCUAAAAGCAUUGACAAAAGUAAACAAAUCAUGUUUAAGUUAAGCAAGGAUUCAACAGAUGAAGUCAAGUGGCUUCUCAUAUUACUUUUAGCCCAAAGUGUGUCAGUCACUUCAGUUUAGCAGCGUUUACAUAUCCUUUUAGUUGUCCUAUCACCUUGUCUUCUUUGUGCUUUCUUGACAUGCGUAAAUUUAAAUGUUUCCAGGUGUCAGAUUUAAAGGUUACCGGCAGAUCGACAUUUUUUAAAAUUAACAACGCGUGACGAACACUUUUGCCGAGACAACCAGCAGAGUACAAAUGGUCUCUGUAGUUCCAACUGCACAUCACUAUGACUGUCUUUUAAGACCUUGUCUAUUGCUCUUUUCAUAAUUUCAUCUAGUGUCCUUGAUACAUUGGCAUUUUUGAAAGACCUUGCGAGCUCUGUAUCACUUUGAAACUUUAAAUAUUAUGUAGAGUGUCAGCGUGAACAUUCACAUUGAUUGCUGAUUAGUUCCUAUUAGUCACAAAGGUAUUUUAUCCCAAUGAUGACAGUUUUGUGAAAAAAGAAUUGGAAUUUAUCGACAUUUUUUUUUUAAUCUCUGCCAAUCCAAUUUUGAAAUGUCCAUAGCCAGCAAAAAAGGCAAUGCUUUGGGUUAAGUAGGGUGACCAUAUUUCCUCUUUCACCUGGACAUGUCCUCUUUUUGGGGGCCUGUCCAGCCCUGUCUGGGGGAGUUUUAAAAAUCCUUCAAAUGUUCUGGGUUUUGUUUGGAAGUUUUGAGUUUGUGUAGCAUGGACUAACUGAGUUACAAGCGCAUAAAAAAUAUUCGACCCAACCCGAAAACCCCCAGAGUCGUGUCCUCUUUUUGGGGGUUCAGAAUAUGGUAUGGUUAAGCGAAUCAUUAACUGUCUUGUGAAAGACUUUGGUGCAUGUUGAGUUUUCUUAAAUGUUCAUGUAACUUGCUCUUUGCUGGUAUAAACAGAAAUUAGUCCUCUAAAGCUGAUAAAGUACUUUUUCCUUUCUUCAAAGGAGGUUACUUUUGUGAAAGGAGCCUAAGAAGAUCUGUUGAAGCAAGAGUCCGACUGUUACAGGUCAGUCUCCUCUCUGUUUUCUUGUGGCCCCUCAGCAGAGGAGCCUCUCACAGUGCUAAAAAGAACGCCCCUCUCUCCUACCAUCCACACCCCUUCUUAACAGUCAGUGGCCCCAUUCGGUAUAGUCGUCAUUAAUAUUUAUGAGAGGAGGGCUCCUCGCACAGGCCCGAGGGUGACAAACAGUGUGACCUUUCAGGGGGCUGGUGUUUACUGUGGCUGUCAGGAAGCUCGUGGGGUGAGUGAAGAAAGCACCCCCCCUCUAAACUAAAUGAAAGCAGGCUGGUGUUUAGCCUGAGCAGAUGUUGGUGUGGUACCACUAGUUUUUCAACUUCUGCCUCUGUCUCCAGGAACUGUGUGUUAGCUGAACUUAUUCAUUUCCCAUAAAGAAAUCUCUCUGUGCCAUUUUUAAGAUGUGACAUUUCCAUUCAGCAAAUCUUUCCCAAAACUUGUGUCACGCUCUCACACGGUGUCUCUUUUUGUUUAUAGUCUACACCCUCAGUGGUCUGGGACUCUCUUAAAAAUACAGUUCAUUAUUUUCAGUCUGGGAAUGACUCAACUGAAUUGGUCUGUGCUCCAACCCUUAUUUGUCAUGAAAACACAGACCAGGACCUCUCUCCAGCGCCUGUGAUGUUGUCUGUAAAUUAUAGCGUACUCACUAAUUUGUUCAAAUAAAGCAGCCAGAGCAGUGAAUUCAUAGAGGGACAUUUCUGUUCUGCUUGUUUUGGAAAAAUAAAUUCAGCUACUGAAAGAAUUAUACAGCAUGUGUCAGUCCAGGAAAAUUACAACCUGCUGUGCUUUGUUGAUUGAUUCAUCACCAGGCUGGCUUUUAUGGGGAACUUGUUGGGGUUGAAUGUCUGUUUUUAUUUCUGUGCAAUGGACCUCAAAUUAGAAAUUAGAGAAGACUCGUAUUGGUUUCUCUGUAGUUUUUCACCAUUGUGAGAAUGGGGUUUCAUUUUCCAAUUAGACAAGAGGGACUGAGUCAAAGUAGGAUUGACCUAAAUGUGCAGAUGACUAGAUGAUACUUUUCUGAACAAUUUUAAGGUAAAAGUGUGUAGCAUUUAGUAGUGUUGGGCAGAAAUGUUUAAGUGUUACUAAAUCAGCGUGCUAAAUAUAAAAAGGGUUGUGUUUUUGAUAACUUAUUUAUGCUUUUCCUUUCUAAACAGAAGGGGGUCCCCUUUCAUGGAGCCUGCCAUCUUGCACCAUGCAGUUUUUAAGGUCAUCUGUUAAGGUGUUGGACUGAGGCGUCAUUUUCACAGGGAAAUUGGACUGUACAUAAUGGAGGUGGGGCCAAAGCAUUUAGAUCCUUGUACAUAACACAUAUCCUGUAGCGGAAUAUUGUGGUAAAAUAUGUCACAGUGUUGUUCGUAAAAUUGGAAAUACUUAUUAUAUUGAUCUAAAAGUACAUUCAUGAAAACCAGAGUAACGAUUACAAAAUUUACUACGAAUAUUUUAACAAUCAAAAGAAAAAAAUGAAAAGAAACAUUCAAGAUACAUAUUGUCUCCCAUUCUACACAGAGACUUUCAGACUUUUCUGUUUGGUCCGAACCAAAGUGAUAGGUGUGAAACCUCCCCUAGACCUUGGUCCGGACCAAAAGAGGUGGUCUUGGUUCAAACCAAAGCAAACCAUGGUUCAUACGUACAGUGAAAGCAUUAUUUUGAAAAGUUCGGACCUACGUGCCAAAGACAGGAAAUGACCUGAGGAGCAUAAGUGUUGGUUAUCAUGUUGAAUAAAGAUUAUCCAAGAAAGGGAAAUUUUUUAAUAUUGUAGAUUAAGUAAUACCUCACUCUUGAUAGCUUAUCUUUUUAAAGAGUUUUACGACUUUCUCUCCUGAGUCUGUGUUAUGGUUGCUUGCAGGAUUGUAUACUUUCUUCUCCUUUUCUGUUGAAGACAAUAAAGUUGUUGUCUAAUAAUAAAAUUCAUAAGAUGAACUUGGAUCAGCCUCAUGUACAGCUCUUCAAGUUGUCGCUGUCGAUAGUAGAUAAUCAACAACAAUAAGAUGGUGGGAAUGACAAUUUCAUUCACGUUUACAACAUUCAAGACCCGCGUUAUUUGACAUGUUGACGUCAGUAGCCCACCGGCCAAGAGACCAAUCAAUCAAAACUACAGAGACACGCAAAGCACGUAGUUGAUGACGAUAUCACGAAGGUUUGUCAUGUAGUCUUUUAGUCCGUUUGCAAUAAUGACAGUGUGAAACCUAAACAGACCAAACCAAGUGUAUACAAUGUAACGUAAACACAGAGCUUGGUCCGGACCUUUGUCUGGACAGGUUUUAAGACGUGAAGAGUGUAGGGAUAUGGCAAAAACUGACAUCACAGAAGACCAAAAUGCCAAUGCGGACACGUGUUAAUAACUUCUGGGGAUGUUACUCUGCCCAAGAGGGAAUGAAAUACUAUAUAUCAUGUUAUGGAUGGGUACAUCUAGCCCAAGUGAGCAAAGAAAGAGUGGAUACAUGUGCGAAACACAUUUUUGUAAGUAUUGAGUUUUAUAUCUUCACAUAAAUGUCAUAGAUUUUCAGUCUUUUCUAUAAAAAUUCUCUAUUUUUCAUGUAUUUUGAUCUCAUUUUUGUGGCACACGGAAUUGCUACAAAAAGCCAAGGUGGGUGCAUUGUUAAAUGGCCAACUUUAUGUUUCAUAUGGCACAGGCAGACAAUAAAUAGGCAUCACCAUGGUGAGGCUGUUCUGAAUAGCCACAGAUCCUACAAAUAGAAAUCCUGCGAGUCCCCAGGAAUCGGUUGCUAACGACAUGAUGAUGGAUGGAGCAAUGCCACCCGCUCCAGUAAAAGUGCUUUAUGAGAAAAGCUCUAGCACCACUUCCUUCAAUCUUCAGCUGUAAAGACUCAAAUUAGUAUCAGUCCAAUACAAUCAUUCUUGAGUAGAAGAAUUUUAUUUGCUUUUAUUAUAUCUCAGUUGCAGAUUUUUGUUGCUUUUAUAGAACUCAAUUGUGGACUGUGGCAGCUGAAACUUGGAAGCAUAUUUUUGACCACUUUAUUUAUAUCUUUUGAUAUGUUUACUUCCUCUCUAAUCUACCUCCCGGGAUAAAUACUUCUUUAAGAUCUUUCUCUUAGCAUGCUCUUGAAAGUUCAUUGCGUUCGUCUUUGAGAAGAUUCAGCCGCCCGUGAAGCAUCUCAUCCAGGACAUAUUUGUUUUUGAUAACAAUCUCCCCAGGCAGCAAAUAUUCCCAGAAAGGGAGCCGAGAGUUGACAACGAUGAACAGUUUGUUACACUGGAGACCACUGUAGGCUCCACACUCAUCCUGACCCUUCCCAUCGUCCCCCAGGUGGUUUCAGUCACCACUAAAGAAGACAUUCCCAUAAUCUAAUCAGCCGGUAUGCAAACCCACCCCACUCAUGAACAGCAUGCACACAGCGAUCAUCAGACUGAGAUUACUCUUCACAGCAGACUGACACAGAAAGGAGGGGAACUGUGAUAACAGGACCUUUAGGGCCUCAGUGUCUGUGGUGGGAGUCAAACCCAAAAGGGCCCACCCAUGUCGACCGAAGAAUACAGCGGUGAGAAGGCCAAGCUGCUAAGAGCCGGUGUGGGGCAGUGAGCAAAAUGAACUUACUUACCAGUGUUGGGUUUAUGUGUUGUAUCUGUCCAGAUAAGAACAAACCUCUUUGUCUUAAACCCACAAUGUAUAACCCAUAAACUGUCUCUCUUCCCUUUAAUGAUAGAGUUUGUGUUAAAAAAUAAACAUCUAUGGCAUGACUCCUAAAUCAAUGUUUGAGGCUUUACUGAAUCACAGCUUAGCAAGGCAACAGGAUUUUCCGUAAUAAAAACCUUGGAACCCUGGACUCUUAGGGGAUAGUGUGAGUUUUAUUAGGGUCUUAACAACAAAACCAGAGGAGUACCAGAUUUCAUGAUAAUCUAUCUACUCUAACUACUCAAAAAUGUUGUGAAGACUGUGUCAAAUUUAUGGUGCUCUAGAAACACUUAAGUUUCAUGGUCUAGGAACCUUUUUUUCACAAGUCUCUCAUGUUGGUUAAAAGGUAUAUGAAAUGGCACAUAUACAUUUCUAGGUUGAGGUCUAAAUUGUCUUUACAGUCAGUGUCUUCCUUUGAAAAUUAUUGAUGUACACCCAACAGUUUUUUAGAUAUUCUCUUGGAAACCAACAACACUUUGGUGUGAAGAAACAUAAAGUCAGGAGAUUAUCAAAUAAUGUGUUUAGUUGGAUAACCACAGUUAUCCAUCCAAACCAUCCAUCAUGUAAGAAUCAUAGACUGUAUAUACUAUGGACAACUUGGUUCAGCCCUCCGCCAGUAUACGGAUUUGAAGCCAACAAGCUCUCGGUAUCUCCAUGAUUUUUCUCCAUUUCCUGAAACCAACAUCGCGCAGUAGCGUUGUACGCUUUUCACCACUUUUCAAACAGCGUAUCCCCCCGGGUGAGCUACCCAUCUUCGUACGCCCAUAGGCUGUAUCAAGUGUCAAUCAUAGAAAACAUGAACCCCCUAAUAACUUUUGAAAAUGGAGCUGCACCAAAAAAAAAGGACUUGAGCACAAAUCAGUCUUACAGUAACUACAUGUCAACAUUGCAUCCAGGGGGGAGACACAUUUAUAUUCUGUGUAAUAAAUUUCUAAAGUUUGUCCACAGUGUCAUAGGGAUUGCUGGAGGAGGCAGAAUUUAUGACCUAUACUGCAGCCUGUCACCGGAGGGGGCUGUUCUCGGGGUGGCUUCACCCAGCGUCUCCCAUUCUACUAUGGAAAGAAUUCAAGGGGAUCUCUAAAUUCAGUUCAAGUGUUGAACCCCUGGUAGCCUUACAUAACAGAUGCUGGGAUGACAGGUCAUUUAGACAUUUCAAGGAGGUUUAUAUGUGCAUAUAUUUGAAAACUGAUCUGGAUGAGGACAAAUUUCUACUUGGUGGUGUUGUUGAAUUAAAAGUAGGAAGCCUUAUGCAUACAUCGAAUGAAUGUUUAUACAAUUAGCUUAAUACUUUCGCUUCUAACUGCAUGCCAAAGCCAUUAGGAAUUUCAAGAAGUUUAAGUGUAAGAAAAAAGACCUCACAAAUAGAUAUUCACAGCUGGCUUUAAUUUGUGAAGUGAUGUUUUUCAUGGCACUUUGGUUGACUCUCAGUGAUUGGUGCCCAGGCACAAAAACCACUGAUUCGUUAAGAAUGCAACAAGCUAGGUCUCAGUUGUGACUUUAAUGUCUGUUUUUUUUCUUUUUUCUUUUUCCAGUGAAACUUCUCAGGGGAUUCGUCCACUUCCUGGUGUGUUUUUGUUGCAGUCUGGAGACGAGUCUGACAGCUAACCCUUAGAGAGAUAUUUCCCGUGAUGAAUCUUUAUCCCGCUCCCUUAAUCAUUGUGACAGAUGCUUUCCUUCCAAAUGAACUCUUAUUAAGAAAUCACCGAGCCUUUCACACAAGCAUUCCUUCAGUAAAGUAAUUUCUGGCUUCAUCAGGAGCAAUGGUAAGCAGGUGUGACCCGGCUACACGCCACUUUAUGCUACACUUAACCCUAGGAUGUCUUUCCCCAUGCUAAAGUAAUUAAAAUAAAAUGUCAUAGCAAAGAAAUGGUGGAUCAUAAUGAUUAACUGUUUUGAUGAUACAGGAAGUCAGUGCAUCAACUCAUUUACUGAAAAGCCAGCAGUCUUGUUUCACCACCUGGUCCUCAGCUGCCCCCUCAGAGUUCAACUCAUCCAAGAC
rnacentral:lncRNA from 1 species